rnacentral:lncRNA from 1 species
AAAAACAUGGCAGCAACCGGUGGUUCCAGCGCGUUGGCGACCCGGUACGACGUGUUCUUGAGUUUCAGAGGGCCCGACACUCGCGACACCUUCACCGACUGCCUCUACCGAACCAUGAUCGGCCAGGGGAUCGCUGCUUACAGAGACAGCGAAGAGCUUCACGCCGGUGAUCGGAUCGACGAUCUCCUGAGAGCGGUCGGCGAAUCCAAGAUCUGCAUACCGAUCCUCUCCAGAGGCUAUGCUUCGAGCGCUUGGUGCCUCCGCGAGCUCGCUCGAGUGACGGAGCUCCAUGAAUCGACUGGGAAGCCGGAGAUCCUACCCAUCUUCUUUGAUGUCAUCCCCACCGACGUCAAGCUCAGGACGAAACUGUACCUCAAGGACUUAAAGAAGCAUGAGCAGAGGCACGGUGCCGAGAUCAGGCAACGGUGGGAGGCGGCUCUGGGAAAAGUGGCUGAGAUCAAGGGAUGGGAAGUCCAAGGGAAAGCGUAAGUAAAUGCUUAUUUAUGGAACUUUUUGCAAGCUUCAGUCCAAAUGCUAUUCUCUUAUUGUUCUUGUAAAUGGCAGUGAAAACUAGCUGGAGGGGUGUAUGUUGUUGAAAUAUAUUGGUUGACGUGGCAUGUACAAACCGGUUUUUGGUAUAUGAGCAAUAAAUUUCAUUUCUCACCGGGGAGGAAAAAACAGAGGCAAUUCGCUAAUUCUCAUACAUAAGCAGGGCCAUUUGACUAGUGACAGUUACAUGAGUGAAUUCGAUCUAAUUCUGGAAUGAAGUUUGUAAUUCGGACUGCAAAUGAACAUCUUCUUUCUCAGAAAUAGGGUCAAAUUGUAAGUUUAUCGUACCAAUCAUAUCCUAUGGAGUCUAUUACACCAAAAUUCUUGUGGCUCUAUAGAAUUUGUCUGAGACUUAAAAAUAGUGAUCCAACUCAAAUACUAUCUGCUAGGAAGUAGUAGUGAGAUUGUUAUUUGUUUUCUUUAACUAAAAGUGUUUGGUAUGUGGCAGACAAGGUGAAGUCAUUGAACGCGUUGUGAAAGAGAUUUUGCGUAAGCUGAAAGUAAAACAAAGACCUUUGGACAACAAAUUGGUUGGGGUAGAAAAACAAGUAGAAGCCAUAAUGGAGUUGUUAGAUGUUGACUCUGGCACGGGUGUGCGUUUUGUUGGAAUCCAUGGAAUGGGCGGGAUCGGUAAAACCACUCUUGCUAAGAAUGUUUUCAAUGAAUUAUGUCUUCAGUUUGAUGGCCAAUGCAGCUUCAUUGGGAACAUCCGAGAAUCAUCAAAAGGAAAUGGCCUAGUGAAUCUGCAGAAACAGUUGGCAUCUGACAUCUCUGAUUCUAGAUUUGUAGAAAAUUUUGGUAACACCGAUGAAGGGAUAGACAGCAUAACAAGGAGAGCUAGUUCUAAAAAAGUUCUCAUUGUUCUAGAUGAUCUAGACAAGAAAGAACUACUUAAGAAACUAGUGGGGGGGCCUAACACUUUUGGUUCUGGGAGUAGGAUUAUCAUAACAACAAGAAAUAGAGGGAUUCUGGAUGAAGAGAUGGGAAUCUUACCUUAUGAAGUAAAGCAAAUGGAUCAUGAUAAAGCGCUGGAGCUUUUUAGUUUGCAUGCCUUUAACAAUGUCUCUCCUCCCGAUACUCAUCAAAGUCUCUCUCGGAAAGUUGUAUCUACGACCGGGGGACUCCCAUUGGCUCUUGAAGUAAUAGGUUCCUAUCUUCAUCACCAAAACGAGGAGAUAUGGAAAGAAAUGCUAGAAAGGUUGAAGAAUAUACCUCAUGAUGAAGUUUGGGAUAAGUUGAAAAUAAGUUAUGAUGCAUUACGGGAGGAGGAAAAAGAAGUUUUUCUUGAUAUUGCAUGCUUCUUCAUAUCUGGAAAGAAAUUAUGGGCAGCCUAUUUCUGGGAUGCUUGCCAUCUUUACCCCCAUAAGUCAUUGAAAAAACUUACCGAUUUGUGUCUAAUUAAAAUUGUUGAGGGUGAUACUAUAUGGAUGCAUGAUCAAUUGAGAGACCUUGGAAGAGACAUUGUUAAAAAAGAAUGUACCCUUAGUAGGUUGUGGAAUGACAAAGAAGCUUUGGAAGUAAUGAGAUCAAAAGAGGUAAGGUAAAAGUAGGAUCCAUACAUUAUCCACCGUGAAAUUAUUUUCCCACUUCCCAUUUAAGAUAUUCCUUUUAGGCAUUCUAAAGGACAAAUUUAAUGUUUGCAAGCUCAUACUCAUUGAUGGUUUCUAUUGGCAGAGAAAGGACAAAAUUAAAGCACUCAAUUUAGGUCAAUAUAAUUCGGAUCCCAUCAGCAUUGUGGAUGAAGAACUUGAGAGGAUGCCAAAUCUAAAAUUUCUCAAGUUAUAUAGAGGGACUUUUGUUGGAGACAUCAACAAUAAUCUCCAAGAGCUAAGAUGGCUUUCUUGGCGUUGUCCUCCUUUAGAUCCUGGAAUGGCCAAUUUACACUUGAAAAAUCUAGCAGUUUUCGAACUUUCAUACAAUAAAAACACCGACAACUGGGGUGGAUGGAACAUUUUGAAGGUGUGAAUUUGUACUUUUGUUCUCUUAACAUAGACAUAGUAUUCUCUGUUUUAUCCUCUCUGAUAAUAUUUCAGUGACCUUUGCAGAUGGAAAACAAAUUGAAAGUUCUUUCUCUCUUCAAUUGUGAUGGAUUGAAACAGACUCUAGACUUUUCUAGAUGUGUGAGUUUGGAGAUACUCUCUCUUUCUCACUGUCAAUCCUUGCAAGAAGUUGACUUUAUUGGGAAACUAAAAGAUCUUACUCACUUGAAAAUUAAUUGGUGCGGAAAUCUUCGAAAUUUCCCGAAAGAGAUUGGAGGACUAGUGAAUCUGAAGCACCUUUCUCUCGACGGGUGCUCCAAAAUCAAGAAACUUCCAGACAUCGGGAAAUUAGCAUCAUUGUCUAAGUUGGAUAUAGCACGAACAAAAAUUACAAUUUUACCCGAUUCUAUUGGCAAUGCAAAGAAGCUAUCAUCCCUUGAUCUAUCAGGGACGUCAAUUGCGGAACUUCCAAUUUCUAUUGGAGAGCUUAUACAACUCGAAUUCCUUUCACUCUCUGGUUGUCAUAAUUUUGUGGAGCUUCCAGAAUCAAUAGGUUAUUUGACAAAAUUACAGAUGUUGGAUCUCUCAGGGACAAAAAUUAUUGAGUUACCUAAUUCGAUAAAGAAUCUCAAGCAGUUGAAGGUGAUGAGGAUGGCAUUCUGUCCAAUACAGAGGUUGCCAGCCGGUAUUGGAAUGCUAGAGAGCAUGGAGGAGCUCAAUGUCCGAAAUUGUCAACAACUUGCGGGCGAACUCCCAACUGCAAUUGGCGAACUAUUGUCUCCAAGUAUCCUAGACAUAUCGCAAACUAGUGUUUGUGCAGUCCCAUCGACGACAAUUAAUUCCCUUACGCAACUCCAAGAGCUGGAUCUAUCAUUUUGUAAUGAGCUUCAAGAGCUGCCAGAACUUCCCUCGAGUUUGAAUUGCCUACGUGUUAGAUCGGCAUCAUUGCAGUUAGUUCCGGAUCUUAGUUACCUCACGAAUUUGGUGGUUUUGGAACUGUCCAACAACUCUGGACAAGCACUUGCCCAAGCAUCAACUCUUCAAUUGCAAUGGGUUGGGAAGUUAUCUAAGCUGGAGCGGUUGGAGUUGUGCCUUUCAGAUCUUCCCGUGCCGUCAACGGAGUUGGGUUGCCUACCUCGACUUAAAAAACUCACCUUACCUUGCAUGGAUAGUUUCGAUUCGGUAGUCGUUGGACCACAAUUUUCGCACUUGAAAAAUUUGUCCACAUUGCAUCUUUGUCGCUGUCCACUGAUGGAAAUUCAACUAGAUGGGCUUGAACUAUUGGGAGAUUUGACUGUGACAUACUGCGAGUUUCUCGAGGGAUUGUCAGUUAUUUCAUCGAGCUUGAGGAAGCUCUCUAGAAUGGAAGUUAGAAAUUGCCCAAAGCUAAUUCGAUUUCUCAGUAUGAUGGAAUCAUUGGAGCAUCUCGAAGUUGGUCACUGCAAAUCCUUAGGAGGGUUGUACGGUUUAUCAAACUUGAAGAAGCUGAAGUUUUUAACAUUCAUCAGGUGCCCUGUGCUACGGGUUAUGGAGGGCCUUGAAGAAUUGGAUCAUUUGCAGCACUUGGAAUUCGGCACGUGUCCAUCGUUGAAAGUGUUGACUAAUCUAUCCAACUCAAAGAUACCAAAUAAAUGCAGGAUAGAUGUAUGGGAUUGCGAGAAGUUACCAGAUUGCUAUGGUGGCUGUUACGGGGAUUACAGAAAGGAGAUUCUUGAGUGGACGAGGAGGGGAUUAAACCAGGUGCGCCUUCCUUCUACCCUUCACUUAUUUUUCAAAUUUUAAUUUUUCGGAGACGCAGGUGGUAGGCAUGAGUUUUAUUUCCCUUGUUCCGUUUACUUUCAUCUCUCUCUCUCUACGUUCCGCAAACAACUGCAUCCUGUCAUUCUUUCUCUGUUAACGUUUCUCAAUACUCGGCCUUCCUCCUUUCAGGAGGGUGCGGCACAGUUCUUGGAACGCGGCCAACCGCUCAUCGUACAGGUAUGGUCUCUUCUACGGACCCAAAAUUCUUCUCGCGUUGGUGAAGUGAGAAAAUUUUUUUUCUCAAAUUUGUUGUAUGAAAAUUUUAUCUUUUGUGAACUCAAUAUAUUCUCAAAUAUCAAAGAGCUGUAUUGCAAAAUGAAAUUAAGGUCGUUUUCAGAAAAUAAGUUGCAGUCUCUAGAGAUCUUUGUGCUAAAAUGAAAAUAAAAAAUGUUCCCUAAAACCAAAUUAACUCGAAAUUUUCUUUCAAAUAUGGGGCAAUCCGUAAGCAGAGAGAUGAGUUUAAGGUAGAAGAUAGAGAUCCUAAAAUAUCACUCGAGUCAAAUUAAAUUUCAAUUACAGAAUUUUUUCCUAUAGGGAGUAGCCUCGUUAAACUAGACAUGUAGAUGCACUUUGUGACUAGUCUAGAAGGUAGACACCUGAGAUGAUUAUUAACUCUUUCACAUGUCAACCAUAUAAUUAUGAGUGUAGUUAUUUCUUACACUUGCAAUUGAUGUAAUAAAGAUCCUUCAUAUGAACAAGAAAGUGAUUGUGUCAAUAUUUCCCCAACCAAAGAUAAAAAUCUCUCACGCGGGCACAAAAGUAGAAGCUCAAAUGUAGUUAACUGUUCGAAUAAAUUUCUUUUAAAUAACUAAACUUUCCCUUCAUAUUUUAAAUGAAAAAAUAAAUAUAUAGAAACGAAUAUAUAAUUAAUGUAUUUGAGGUGUUACAAUUGGGUGAGCCACGAGAAAAGGAAUAGUAGUGAAAAAAGAUACACCAAAAAUAGAGUUAGUUUAUAUGCAAUAGCCGCUUGCCAACAAUGUUCUACUUAUCCUGCUACACCUAUUAGACUAACUAUAUGGUUUGGCAUUCUCCAUUAGAAGGCAAGCAUGUUAAAUAGUACAACUCUAUCAUUUGCCCUAAUUUUACAUAUUGCUUGAUAUUACAAUUUUUUCUUGUCAAAGGAUUUAUUCAAGUUUUCUAUUAAAUAAAAAGAAUUCUGUGAAAAAUAGAGGUGCCUAUACAAAACUUAAUAUUCAUGAUGUCCGUUUAUCUAGCAAAACAUAUUGUUUUCUUUUCCUGAUAGCUGAAUUUAAUUAGAGUGAAAUACGAAGUAGUCAAUAAAAUUUGAGUGAAAUAUGUACAUACUUCAUGGAUAUUGAAUCAAUAUACUGCUAAAUCGUUGGAUAAUUUCAUCAAGUUCUCUUUUAUGAAUACAUGUCAAAAGCUUAUAAAACCAGGGACUUUUGGUGGAGACGUCAACAAUCAUCACCUGAAGCUAAGAUGGCUUUCUUGGGGUUUUCCUCCUCUAGAUUGUAGAAUGGCCAAGUUGCACUUGAAAAAUCUAGUAAUUUUCGAACUUUCACACCAUAGAAACACAAAAAACCGGGGUGGAUGAAAAGUUUUGAAAGUCUGAAUUCAUGCCUUUGUUCUCUCAACAUAGUAUUUUUUUUCUUUAAACCCUCUCCGAUAAUGUUUCAACUACUUUUGCAGAUGUUAAUAAAAUUGGAAGUUCCUUAUUACACGUUACCUAAAUUUUAUGAAACUUUCGUAACAUUGAAAUGGACUGGUUACCCCAGUUUGGAGACAUUGUAUUUUCACUAUUGUCUAAACUUGCGAAAAUUUGACUCCUCUAUUGGGAAGAUGAAAGUUCUUACUCACUUGGACAUUAUUCGGUGUACGAAUCUUCGAACUUUGCCCGAAGAGAUUGGAGAACUGGCGAAUUUGACGCACUUCUCUAUCAAAAAGUGCUCUCAAAUGGAGAAACUUCCACACUCUAUAGGGAAAUUAGUAUCAUUGUCUAAGUUGGAUAUAUCAUCCUCAAGAAUUACAAGUUUACCUGAUUCAAUUGGCAAUGCAAAACAUCUGUCAUUCCUAAAUCUAUCAGGCACACCAAUUGUGGGACUUCCAAUUUCCAUCGGAGAGCUUAUGCGACUUGAGUUUCUUUCACUCAAAGAUUGUCGAAAUUUGGGGGAGCUUCCAGAAUCAUUAGGCAACUUGACAUCAUUACAGAAGUUGAAUCUCUCAAGGACAAACAUUGUUGAGUUACCUAAUUCGAUAAAAAAUCUGAAGCAACUCAAGGUGAUGAGGAUGGGAUUUAGUCCAAUAAGGAGGUUACCUGCCAGUAUUGAAAUGCUAGGGAAGUUGGAGGAACUCUAUGCCGAACAUUGUGAACAAUUUGCAGGCGAACUUCAGACUCAAAUUGGCAAACUAUUUUCUUUAAGUGUCCUCGACAUUUCAUAUACUCGUGUUAGUGCAAUGCCGAAGGCAAUCGAUUAUCUCACGCGACUCCAAAAGCUGGAUUUGACACAUUGUAAUGAACUUCAAGAGUUGCCAAAGCUUCCCUCGAGUUUGCGUUGUCUACGUGUUCACUCGGCAUCAUUGCGGUCAGUUCCCGAUCUCAGUAACCUCACGAAUCUAGUAGAAAUGCUUUUGUCUAAUGGCUUUGGACAAGCUCUUGCCCAAUCAUCAAACCCAAUGCAAACUUUCCAAUUACAAUGGGUUGGAAAGUUAUCUAAGCUAGAGAAGUUGAGCUGGGGCCUUUCAAAUUUUCCCAUUUCGUCAAUAGAGUUGGAUUGCCUACCUCGACUUAGAGAACUCACUUUAUCUAGCAUGGACAAUUUUGACUCAAUAGUUGUUGGACCACAAUUUUUCAACUUGAAAAAUUUGUCCAUAUUGUGCCUUCAUAGUUCUCCACUGAGGGAAAUUCAAUUGGAUGGGCUGAAUUAUUGAGAAAUUUAGGUGUGAGAGAAUGCGAGUUUCUCGAGCGACUGUCAGUAAUUUCAUCAAGUUUGAGGAAGCUCUGUAAAAUGGAAGUUUUAGAUUGCCCAAAGCUACUUGAAAUUCAAUUUCCCAGUACAAUGGAAUCAUUAGAGGAACUUCGAGUUGGCUACUGCGAUUCCUUGGGAGGGUUGCAUGGUUUAUCAAACUUGAAGAAGCUGAAGGCUUUGCGGAUCUACCAAUGCAAUGGGCUACGGGUUGUUGAGGGCCUUGAAGAAUUGGAGCUUUUGGGUAUUUUGUAUUUUUCCAGGUGUGGAUCGUUGGAAAGGUUGACUGAUGUAUCCAACUCAAAGAUACCAAAUGAAUGCAUGAUAGAAGUAUGGGGUUGCAUGAAACUAAGUAGUUAUGAGGGCACUUACCGGGAUUAUAAAGAGAUGAUUCUUGUCAGGAUGAGAAUGACAUUCAACGAGGUGCGGCUUCCUUCUAUCUUUGACUUAUUUUUCAGAAACGCCAUGCUGUAGGCAUCACAUUUCCUCAUUUUCGCUUGUUCCGUUUGCUUCCUUGUCUCUCUGUCUAUCUCUGUCUUGCAUGUUCUUACUUUUUUAUAUAAAUCUAUGGAUUAUUGUUUGGUCCACUAUUAGUGUAAAGGAAACAUUCAUCGUUUUACUGUCUGAGCUUAAUUUUGUAAUCGGAAUUUUUCAACGUGUCAACCAUCUAAUGGUGUGUAUGUGUAAAUUGUUUCUUACAAGAGCAAUGGGCUUAAUAAAGAUCCUUUCCAUAACUAAGCAACGAUUAUAUUAAUAUUUCACCGAGCAAAGGUAAAAAUCACGCUCUCUACACUUAUCACUUGAGUUUAAAAUGAACUAGUAAAUUAUAUAAAAACAAAUAUUCGAUUUAUGUAUUAUGAAAAAUUUGAAGUGAUACUUAUCGGACGAGACAUGAGAAAAGGAAAAACAGUGAAAAAAGGUAUAUUAGGAGUAAGUUUAUAUGCAAUACCCACUAGUCAACAAUACUUUGCUUAUCGAGCUAUCCCUAGCAAACUGUAACUGUUUGGUGUAAGAACGGGCAUUUCACCUUUAAUUGUUAGCGAGAUGGUGACUCAAUAAUGGGUCUUCUAACCCACUCAACAGUAGUUAUUGCAACUACGGAUCAAUUAUGUCAUGGGAGUAACAGUAGACUCUGUAAUUGGCACAUUUUUAUCUAAAGCAAUCAUUGAUCGUCUCAUGCCCGAUGAUUGUACCAUCAUAGACUUGGUCGUUUGACUGGCUUUGCCCUACGGUUCAUAAAUGCUGGUGAAGCGAACGACUGUAAUGUUUGGACUUUAGGGCAGGCCGAUUAGAUCAUAUUUGCAUUUUCUUGUCCUCCAAUAUAGGUAGAAGACUAAUUCAUAUUUUUCCCGUUCUAGGAGGAUGAAAUGGAGGAGAACGACCGCAUUGAUUUUUCCACGGGCAUAUUAGAAUGUAUCUGCAAUCCCUUAUCGUUUUUUCAGGGGAGGAGUCUUCGGAGGCAGACAGGAUGAGUAAAUUGUCUUGCGGGAUAAUGCAGACGUGGAGUCAGGAAAAAUUGAAUUGAUCUCUAUGCAUUUUGGUUAAGGGUACAAAAACUAAAUCGAUGGCUCCAAGAGAAUGCUUUCACUCUUUUUGAUGAACUCAAGUGCACAGAGGUCGAGGGACCAGUUUCCUGGAAACAGGAAUGCAGUUUGCAUGUGGAUUUACUCUGCUUCGAGGAUUUGCUAACUGUCCAUUCGUUGAGAGGUAAGUCAUUCCCUCUGUGAAUAUCAAAUUGCUUGCCACAUAGAAGCAUGGUCAAGAUUCUCGACAACUUAGACAAUAGUUUCCAAUGCAUAUGAUACUUUUAUCUGGGUAAAUGAAUGAUUCUACCAAAAUUUCUCAAAUAACUGACGAGUGCAAAAAACCAAGAGGGGAGAUGAAGAGAAACAAGCUGAAGUGGGCAAUUUUGGGAUGUCCCAAACGGUGAUCAUUAGAUCAAAUAUUGCAUGAACGCCCCCAAAAUGUGUCAAGGUUACUAACACGUGCAAUCCUUGGCCCUAGCAUUAUGCUGUCACGGAUGACUAGAUUUAAUAGGAGAAAAUAUUAGUCUUUCCUGUGCCAAUGUGUGAAGUGGGCAAAACUGAUGGUAGAAGAGACUAAUUAGAAGAUUAUCUGCAAGCCAUUCUAAUUUCUUCUAGGAUGAGGUUGUAGUGGCAGAAGCAAAAGCAGACACUAUUGACGUCUUCUCAAUUCUCAAGAGUCUGACGUCGAGCAUUCACUUGAGUUUUUGUAACAACAAUUCUAAUUUCAUUUUGUUCGGUUCUCAUCCGUUCAAAUCAUCAAAUCUCAUUUGGCUUUCAUUUCAUUGUUUAUUUUCAACUCAUUUACAGCUCUUGUUUCUUCUCAAAUCAUGCAUACUUGCAGCUCGCAUGCUCCAGACACAAACUCUUUUGAUAUUUGCAACAAGCAUGGACUACUGAUGUAUAUGAUCAUAAGUAGCCUCAUGUCGAAAUAGAAAAUAGUACUCCCACCAUUCUCCUCUUUCCUUCAGCACCUCACCAUCUCAAAGUAACAUGCAGGAGCACCAUUUGACAUACACAAUCACAUAUGAACAAGAUUUGAUCCACACAAACACUUAUGAGCAGCAUUUAACAUACAUCACCUAUAUAUCUAAUUAGUUCACAUUCCAAUCAGCUAUAUACGGGAAAUCUAGCAAAGACACAACAAACGCAACUUCAAUUGAACAUUGAGACAUUGGUAAACAGAAUGCAAUAGGAACUAUCUGCGAUGGAGUCGGGCAUUCCGCUGAAAAGGUUGUGAGCAUGUGGUGUGAAGUACUAUUAACACCAGAAUGGCAUAGUGUAAUACAGAACACAAACAUCAGAGUGGAAAAUCCAUGCGUACAAGCAAUUCUUACCACUUAAUUGGAAAAGAAACAACCCGGCGGUGAUGAGAAUUGACACAAAACAGAACAGAAAUGAAAAGAGACAACGGAAUUAACUUCAUCUUCACGGAAUGCCCUCAAGCUCAUUGGUCCCUCUGUUUUCUUAUGGACAACAUCAGAAUUGACAAAAAACAGAACAGAAAUGAAAAGACAAAACCAAAGGCAAUCGAAAUCACUUUUAAAAUUAAUCGGAGACGAAGUGACCUGGCAGGUGUGGCUCUCAGUUGUACUUAUCGAGCUAUGCCUAGCAAACUGUAACUGUUUGGUUUGCAGUCACCUUAGAAAGGCAAGCAUGCGAAAUAGUACAACUCUAUCAUUUGUCAGAACUUUAAAUAUUGCUUGGUAUUCAUUUUUUUUCUUCUUGUCUAAGGUUUAUUAAACAGAAAAAUUUGUGAAAAAAGAAGAAGAAGAUGCCUGUACAAAACAAAUAGUUCAUGAUAUCACGUACACUUUAUCUAAUGAAAUGGCGGAAUGUAUGUUUUUCUUUUCCCUGAUAGCUAAAUCUAAUUAGAGCGAAGUAUGAAGUAGCCAAUAAAUUGUUGGUGAAAUAUUUACAUGGUUAAUAGAUAUAUAAUCAUCAUACUGCCAAUAGUUGGAUAAUUAUGUUGAGUUCAUGAAGUCCUUUCAUAUAGAUAUUUGCCGGAAAUUAAUAAAGCUAUGGAUUAUGAUAGAUCUGCUAGCACUCGUUUGCAUAAUUAGUUUUCAACGUGAUGUGUAAACCAAGGUGUAUAAUGUACACCUUGGUUUAUGCAUGAUCCAUAAAUAAAAUAAAAUAUGCAUUGUACCUUAACUAUGAUAUGAAGCAUUGGAAUGGUUGGACUUCGAAGCAGAUGGAUUGGAUAAGAAGACUGAUUCAUUUUUUCUUGUACUAGAAGAUGCAAGGGAAACAGAUGCAGAAGAAUCAGUGAUGGAGACCCUAACUACUAUUCUCAGAACUUGUCAUUGACUAUAGGUUUUCUAUGGUCUCCAGAACCCGAUACUGAGCUCGAUUCUACAAGUAAGUCAUUGCUGUUAAAAUGAAUAUAAUGUCAUCCGGUCACACAAAUUAACAUCUGUUAGCUUAUCAACGUACAAAAACUAACAGGAAUUGAACUAAUCUUUGGAUGUUCUGCUGCUGCUAUUUUGGAUCUAAUAUCAUCUAUUAGCUUCCCUCAAUAGUACAAACUAUUCUUGCAGGCUUGAAUAAUUCCAAGUUCUUCCACGAACCACAUCUUCGGAUGUUUCCAGAAGUUUAUGCUCAAUUCUAUAAGCAAAAUGUUACUGAUUCUAGCAAUGGAGAGAUGAAUGAAUUCACAAUGUGGUCGAGUUUGGGAACCUGUGAAAUUGCCAGAAGUAAUGGAGUUUGCUCUAAGGACAUGUCCCCCCUCUCCCGGGUCCAUCACAAGAGAAAAUUUUUGUGGAUUUGUCCGAGGUAAUUAAUUCCGUUUUGUGAAAACCCAUUUGUGUGCCACAUCAAUUUCCGAUACAUACGAUACUUUUCUCAAAGGUGUGCAAUAUCGGACCAGGUCAAGCUCUAGGUAAUGGUAUGUUCUUCUAAUUAUUUGUGCCUUAGGUCCCUCUUUUUUGUCAUGCCGUAAGAAGUCAUUUUUAAGCAGUUAAAGAAGAAGAAGACCUAAUUCUCCAGAUAAACCAGUAUUUCGGAGUCAGUAGCAGUGAUUGUGAUCAAUUUUUUGGUCAUAUACAGCAGGGCACUGUUUCUUUAUCCAUUUUUGGUAGAUUAAUGGUUCUACCAAAGUUGCUCAAAUAACUAAAUAAUGCCAAAAUACGAAAAAAAUAAAAAUAAAAUGAACGAAACAAUCAAGCUGGAAAUAGACUGUAUCUGGGGCUGUUGAUCCUUUAAUCUAAACUAGCUCACAGUACACAUGAACUUGAAAAGAAAAAGGACAGUGAAAUAAGAAAGUGGUGACAGUAAGCCUCUUGACAAAACUCUUCUGCCUUUGCAGAUAUGGAGGAGAGCUCUAUUCCUAUGUGCUACCGAUGAAUGACGGCUGCUUCAAUUUGAUGCUCAAUAUCAGCAAUAAAUGUUUCGAGCCUCUCUUUUCCCUCUGCAAGCUAAGCCUUCUUUCAAAGAUCUCUCCCUCAUAACAAAGUCGAACUUGUAGCCCUCCAAAGCUUUCUUCUAUGGCUUUUGACACUUUCAUUUGCUUUUGCUUGCGGUUGUACCUAAAAGCUUCAAUGCCAUCCUCAGAGAGAGUAUAAAAUUCUUCACACUUGUGCUGAUAUUCAGUAAGAUUAAGUCUAUCUUCAUCCUGGAUCAGUUAGACCAGCCGAAACUUUAUAUUCUUUUAUUUUCGAGGUCUGAGUCAGAGGCACUGUGGGAAUAUCCACACCAAAGGAGUAAAUAUAAUUCUUCCCACUCGGCUUCAGCUCUUCAGAAAUUGAUGGGCUAAGAUGGCCAGAUGAUGAAGCCAUACCGACAGUAAUUGAGUUCAACUCCUGGUCGAUUUUAGGGUUGACAAUGCUGAGCAAUCCUUGAGUUCUGUUUCGCUUGGCCAAGGGAGUCUCUUCUACAUCUUCUCCGACAAUGACUGUUGAUGACUUUCGUUUGCAGGUUUCAACAAUCGAGAGAAAGAUGUUAGAUGGUUAUUAAAGGACGAAAGGAAACGAAGGAAAUGAUAAACAAAUUUUUACGAAGUCCUGUCCUGUAAUUACUCUUGAGUAUUGAUAAUGAUGGAUUCGAUGGGGAUGCAUUAGAAGUUUGAGACACUCCAAACGGAUCAUCCUUCUUUCACCUUCUCUAAAAAUGAAUCACCGCUUUUGACAAACAUCCAAUUGUAACAGGAAUUCCACCACCCAAAAAAAAAAAAAAAAUCGUGCUUUGUGGGUUCUUGAGGAAUGGAAUAUGCAUGUACCGAUUGAAUAUAUUGAGGCGGAUGUCGAUGUAGUGCAAUGUCGCAUCUAUGCUCAGUCUAUGGAGAGAGGAAAUUUUGUUUGAUAUAUAGUUGGCCUAGGAAUUCCCUGAGCCAAUUCAAACUGUUGAGUACAAUAUUUAGGAUGAUAAACCCAGAUUCCGGGAAGAACAUUUCUCCGUUUGACAAAUUUAAGAGGAUGAUCAACAGAGACCAAGACGGUCCUCCAGAAUCUCCCAAUCAUGGCCGAGCCAUUAUAAGAGUAAAUAGAGAAGUAGGAAUAUCUAUGGGACAUAAGUUGAAAUUUUUACGCCUUAGGUCGCAAUAAGAAAAUACUUGGACUGGGGCAAGCUCUAGGUAUCGGUAUGUUCAACUAAUAAUUUUUUAGCCAUAUGUCCCUCCUUUUUUAAAGUCGUAAGAAGUCAGUUUUAAAUAGUUAAAGAAGAAGAUGACCUAAUUCUCCAUGUAAUUCAGUAAUUCAGAGUCAGUUGCCGUAAUUGUUAUCAAUUUUUUGGUCAUAUACCGCAAACCACUGUUUCUCUUUCCUUCCUUGAUAGAUUUUCUGCCAAAGUUGCUCAAUAUCUAAAGAAUUCAAAUAAUAAAAUAAGGUGAAAAUGAAGAAACAAUCAAGCUGGAAAUACAGUUUUUGGGCUUGCUGAUCGUCAAAAUCAACUUAGUGAAAGCUCCUUGAAAAUCUGUCAAGAUUUUACUAACAUGCACAGUAGAUGGCCCUGCAUUUCUCAGCCAUAGAUGACUAGACCUAACAGAAGAAAAUCUGUCUUUCCAGUGCCGAUGUUUGCGAAUUAGACAAAACUAAUGGUCAAACAAACAUGGUUGGAUGAUAUGGGCAUUUGCACAUUCCGUAAUGCUAGCCAAAGAGCAUUUGUAAUGACUAUCAUUAGAAUUUUUGUUCAAGUAAUUCACUGGUAAUGGCAGAAGAGACUAAUUAGAUGAUAUCUGCAUUUUUGCAUCCUACAAUGCUAGUGAAAGAGCCAUUCGAAUUUUCUUCUAGUAGGUGGCAGUGGAAGAGGCCAUUGAAGGAUUGAAGGCGGAUAUUCAAGCAAUUUACUGCUAUUAAUUUUCUGUUCUGCUAUCAUAUAGUGCAAUGUACAUCAGCAUGUUUUCCAUUUACUGCUAUCAUUUUGCAGGUGCACCUGCCUGGCGCAUCUUUGGAUGUUUGACAAAUGGUGCUACAACUUUUUGUCCAGUGCUGAUAUCAUCUGUAGGCCGGCGUAUUGCCAAGCAUUGAUGGCUUCGAAUUCCAGUUGAAAUAUCUUCUUCAGCUUCUUUCUGGUCUAAUACUUCAUUUCAACUUCUUCUUCAUGAGAUGCCGCCUCCCUUGGCGUUGGUGAUUUGGUAUAUGAAUAGGAUUCUUUGACAAGUAAAUUUAAUGUCACUACCUAAAUUAUGAAGAAGGCUGGCACAGAGUUAAUAGAGAAAUGCCAAAAGCAAGUUAAUCACGGCAUAACAAUGAGAAAUGUAGCAAGAUAUCCCCUCCCUAAGGCGUGAAGCAAGAUAUUUGGAGUUCAAUUGUAUUGGAUACAACCUUUGCGGUUCCUUGAUUUAUGGACUUUUGCCCACUGGGGUCCUUGAUCUCAGGGCACUAUAUUGAUUGAGUGAUAUCAUCUGAUUACCAACUAGACCUUAAGCUUUAGCCAUAGGCUGAUGAGGGUGUAGAAAAAAGAAUCCUGCUUGACUCGUCGAAGCUCAUAGUACACAUGAACUUGAAAGAAAAAAGAAAGCAUAAUAACAAAAGUGGAAAAAACAUGCCUCUUGACAAUUUUCUUCUCUCUUCGCAGAUAUAGAGGAGAGCUCUAUUGCUAUGUGCUAUUGUUCGAGUUCCCAGGAAUUGGAUUUUGGACUUCACUGGAUAAAGCAGGCUGCUAAGGGACUAGUUUCAGGUUGAUUAUGCCGAAGCUAGUGUGGAAAGGUUCCAUAUACAAUCUAUGGAGAGCUAGGAGUGACUUGCUGCGUAAUCAAGUUACUCCGGUUGUUGAUGUUGUGAUGAAGUCUCUUAUGUUUGCAGUAAGACUAGGCAUCAAAGGGCCCAAGCUGCUGCAGCAAAAAGUUUGUUCUAAUUUGGCAUUGGCCUUAAGUUUGUAACUGGCAAAUUCAGUGUAGCGGAACACAAAUUGGUGUGCUCGGCCUUUAGCAACUAGUCCUGUAACUGCUUCGGAUAUUUGGGCAGUUAUUAUUCAUGUUCUGGUUGAAGUUGAUGUUGUUGCUUGAGUAUUUUCCUAGUCUGUUAUAAUCAACCGCCGGUAAUGGUUUGCUGAACGCAAUCACCUGUUUGCGACUUGUACUGGGUUUGGCUUCCGAGCAUGGUUUGAUGAAGAAAUGAAUUUAACUUGCCCAUAAAAAGGUAGGUAUUUAAAAACAUUUUCGAGCUUGACAAGGACAUACAUCCUUGUCUGAACAUAGACAUUUCGAGAGUCAUUCCUUCGAAAAGAUCCUGAAAUCCACUAUUUAUCACGGUGGUACAAGUCCCUAUUUUAAUCUGAAUACGAAAAUGAAAUGUGGAUAUAGGGGGCAUGGACACAGUAAGAGAAAAGUUGGACAUCAACAAUUUUGGAAAUAUUGUUGGUUUUGGAUAAAUAAUAUUGAGUAGAUAAUUUUGGAAAAAUUUCAUUUGUAUGAUGAAGAUCUUUAAUUAAUCAACUUUUAGGAUGGUGGGUUUUUGUUUGAAAAGCUGGAUUUAACGUAUGGAGGUUUCGUUGUAGGAUAAUACUCUUUGCUCAUACCAUCAUUGGGCAUAUGCCGGAGCUAAUGCAUGGAAAUAUCACAACGUAUACCAUUUAUAUGGUGCAUAUAUCCUCAUCUCACAUAAUUAUGAGUUUUAUAUAAAUGAGAUUCAUACAAUAUUGACAUAUAUAACAUGCUCAUAAGUAAUUUCUUGUCGGAGCGGAGUUAUAGACUAUGUACGAUGGCUCCUUUGAAUAGGUAGAGAUGAGCCCUCAAUCCUUCUUGACUUCUUAACUAUAGUUGCUUUAUUCAUGGAAAAUCCUUUGCUGGAAGCAGCUUGACAGUUUUUGUAACAGUACAAACCGUGCCAAGCUCCUUUUUCAUUUUUGCAAUAUAUAUAUAUAUAUAUAUAAUGUCAAAUGGUCGAUCAAAGGAGAAAUUAUUUUAUGCACUUAGUAUAUAUGAUAAACUAAAUCCAGAUUGCCAAAUUUGGUGAAUCGCUGAUCAUUUCAAUGGCCCACAUUCAAUUUGGUAUAUAUACUACGCACAUGUAAUAUAAUUUCUGCAUUAAGAAAGUCAAUGGGAAGAGGAGAGCUAUCCAUGUUGGUUUUAGUAUUGCAAGGAAAUUAUCCUCUCCGCCCAUGCCUAGAGUAUAAUUUGUUAUGAGAUUUCAUACCACAUUAAUUGAUCCAUUAAUUAUUAAGAAAAUUGUCCAAAAAAUCAUAAAUCUAUUAUAUGACGUUCAUGUCAAUGAUUUUCGAUACUUUGAUUUUCCGAUUUCUCAUCUUUUUUUUUUUUUUGAUAGGGUGGAUCUGCGAGGGAAAAAUGAAUGUUUGUUUCUGUCCCUUUCUUUUUAACUAAAACCGCAAAACGAAUUGUGAUUAGGAUAGAAGGGCAUGUUUGUCAGGCAUUAAAUAAAAGUAAAAAUUAUUCAUCUUAUUUUUCAUCAAAAUCUAUAUAAUUAUGGGUAAUUGUUUAAAAAGAUAUUUCUUCUUUUAUCAAUAUUAGGUAAUUGUUUACGAUCUUGCAAACCCAAGAGUUGAUGCAAGUGCAAUUUGUAUAAUCUAAAUUUUGACAAGAUUUGAAAGUUGCUCCCUCUUCCGAAAUCCAAUUGAGUCGAAACUACACAUACAUCAUUGUUUAAAGGGUCCGGCUUUUCCCACUCCUCAUUUGGCUUGUACAAGUCAUUCCACUGUGUUAUGACCAUAUUACCCCUUGCCUUUUCAAAUGUUAGCAUGCUCAUGCGUGGUGCCCAUUGGUGUCCCUCUUUUUUAUUUGUUUCGUCUUCUUCUUCCACUUUCUCCUCCUUCUUAGUCCGCCCAAGCAUGGUCAAUUUAAGUUCUUUGUUUAGUUUUGCGUUCUUUUUUUUUUUUUUCGGUCUCUUUAGAAUUCUAUCAAUUCUUGUGCACCCCUAACUUAGAUGAGAAAAAUCAUACCGAAAAUCCAUUCCAUCAUCAACAUGACUUGGAGCAUCACUAGGCCAAUCUUGCACAUUAUUAGCCAUUACAGCCACAGAACAAUGAGUUUGCGCAUCAAUGCUAAAGCCGGACAAGUUGCUCGAGUAAUCGUCAACGGUGUUGGAGGUGUGGAGGAUUCGGGCCGGUUAGUGAAGUCGGAGGUGUACCGGUGGUAGUGGGUGGGGGAAGAUGGACGGCUUGGAAUGGGAGUCCACGCAGAUGAUUGCAGGUCUUCGCCGUUUUGAUUAGACGAGCAUUGGACAUAGAAGAAGAAAAAGAAGCAGAGCGAGAGAGCGAUGUCGUUUUAGAGUAUCUGGAAUUGGCGGAACGGAACGAAAAAUUGGCAAAAGAGAAAAAGAGGACUGGCUAGGUGGGUGACGAAGUGGACGGCGUGUCAUUUUAUGGGUGCCCAUAUCAAAUGGAAAUGUUGAAUCUUUUUUUUUUUUUUUGUUAAUAAGUAAUUGAUUAAAUGAACUAAUUAAUUUAAUAAAAAAUGAUUAAUUUAUUUUCCCUUCCUUUCAAGCAAUGUUGGACGAACGAACUUGCCUCAAAAUUGAUAUGCUCACGCAUGUGAAGGCUGAUGUCAUAUUCACGAGGAUAACGUCAUCCACGUCCAACAAUAUAAGUAUAAUUAUUAUGUAAUCACAUAAGAUUACAUAUAAUUGGAUAAGUACACUGGUGGGCAAAUGCUUGUUGAAUCUAAAUAUGUAUGUGGAUGUGAAACGAAACUUUUCGGAUAAGAUCUUUACCAAAAAAAAAAACUUUUAGGAUAAGAUUAUUUUUAGCAAUCAAACUCUUAGUGAAUGUUUGAAGUUGGUCGUCCAAUUUCUACUUUGUUCAAAUUGAUCCUAGUACUCUUUUAGGUGGUCUCCGACUCUCCAUGGUCAAGUAAUUUUAAUUGGUCUUCCCAAAGAAAAGCUUACGUGGCAGCAUUUCUUUUUUUCUUUUUUCCUGAUGGAGAAUGCAAGAAAGCCGAUCUUUGCAAUUAGAAGGUGACUUUUUGAGCUAUUUAUAGAUCUACAAGUACAUGCCAUCUUUAGAGACAAUACUUACAAGUGUUCAUGUACACAUAUAUAAAAAAUUUCUUCAGUAAUCCAUAGAUUUAGAACCUUUAGAAGAAAGAAUGUUACUUAAAAAAAUAAAUAAGCUAGGCAGAACUUAUUUAUAUUUUCUAUUGCGUAUAUAUUUUCUCAAUUUAACUUUAAUUUACAUGUGAAACAAAAAAAAAAGGAAAUUUGCUCCAGAAUCCAAUUUUUUGCAUUUAUUGUACCGCUAAUUUCCUUAUAACAUGUCUUUAGGUUAAUACAAUCAAGACAAAAACAUAGUUACAAGUUUACUUUUGCCAUAUUUUCGGAAUCAUGAGUAUAGUAGUAUGACGUAUUUUCUUCCUCUUAUCAGUAUUUCAACUCUUAAAUUAUUAUAUUCAUCUAAGAAGUUAUAAAUAUUAUUAUUCAAACGACCUUCGACUCCUCUCUUGUAUCACAUUUCCUUUACCAUAAGUUAUUCAUAAUUGAAAACUUGCAAGAAAAGAUAUAUCCGAGUGAAGUGUGCAUCAAGUAAUUAACCAAAAAACCAUAAAAACAAAAAUGGAGCUAGUGUCGUUGCGUGGGCAGUUUUCUAAUCAAGUUACUAAGCUGCAAGUAAUGGUUUGCUGAAUGGGAUCAAUUGUUAUGGGUUUGGUUUGGCUACCCAGCCUAGUCUGAUGAUGAAUUGAACUUAACCUGCCCGUCCAAAAAACAAGAAAAAAAAAAUUGAAUUUCGGAAUAUUUUUCGAGCUUGACCCGGGUCAAACGUCCUUCUCUGUUUACUUUAGGCAUCGGAUGCCGAUCCAGGCCGAAAGCUCGUAUAUCCGCAUCUUGCACGUGGGCGCGGGUCCAUUUCGAGGAAGAGAACUUUUGAGGGAUUCCUUGAGAUCGGUUUGUGCAUUCACAUAUGAUUUCUACUUUCUAACCCUAACAAAGAGUUUGAUGAUGAAUUGAAUUUAACCUACCAGUAAAAAAUCCAAGAAAAAAAAUUGAAUUUCGGAAUAUUUUUCGAGCUUGACCGGGUCAAACGUCCUUAUCUGUUUACUUUAAGCAUCGGAUGCCGAUCCAGGCCGAAAGCUCGAAUAUCCAGUUCUUGCACGUGAGCGCGGGUCCAUUUCGAGGAAGAGGGCUUUUGAGGGAUUCCGUGCAUGGAACGUUUCCGGAACACUUCUGUACGGAAAGUGUUUCCGGGAACAAAAAAGGAACAGAAACGCGUUUAGUUGCGUUUCUGUUCUUUUUGUUUUUUUGUUUAUGGAACGAAAUAAGAACAAAAAAAAGAAACAACAAUUUGUUGUUUCUUGCUCCGAAAACAUUUCUCUUCUCUCUCUUCUUCUUCUCUUCUUCUUUUCUUCUUUUUUUUCUUCUUUUUUCUUUCGCCGGUCGCCGGCCUCGGCCAUGGCCGGCGACCGGCUGUCGAGGCUCGGCCUCGCCCAGAUCCGGCGAGGCCGAGCCUCGCCUUGGCUGGGCGGGCUCGGCCUCGCCGGAUCUGGGCGAGGCUGCCGGCCCCGUCGGCCGGUCGCCAGAGGCCGGGGACCGGCUGAAAAAAAGAAAAAAUAAAAAGAAAAGAAAAAAUAAAUAAUAAAAUAAAAAUGUUUAAAAAAUUAAAAGAAACAAAAAAAGAAUAAAAUUUACCAAACGUGUUUCUAUUCAUUUUUUAUUCCCGGACCAAACGUUACCAAACGCGUUCUUUUGUUCAAAAAUUGUUCCCCGGAACAGAAACACUUUUUUUUGUUUCUGUUCCCAGGAACAAAAAAGAAACAGAAUUGUUUCCAUGCGCAAUGAGAUCGGUUUGUGCAUUCACAUCAUGAUUUUUUACUUUCUAAACCCCACCGAAGACGCAGCUCCAACUCUAAGCAGGCAAAAACUAGAGAGAGACAGAGAGAACUUUUGCGAGAGAAGCCCCCCAAAAACAUGGCAGCAACCGGUGGUUCCAGCGCGUCGGCGACACAGUACGACGUGUUCCUGAGUUUCAGAGGCCCCGACACUCGCGACACCUUCACCGACUACCUCUAUCGGACCAUGGUCGGCCAGGGGAUCGUCGCUUACAGAGACAGCGAAGAGCUUCACGCUGGUGAUCGGAUCGACGAUCUCUUGAGAGCGGUCGGCAACUCCAAGAUCUGCAUACCGGUCCUCUCCAAAAGCUAUGCUUCGAGUGCUUGGUGCCUCCGCGAGCUCGCUCGAGUGACGGAGCUCCAUGAAUCGACUGGGAAGCCGGAGAUCCUACCCAUCUUCUUUGAUGUCACGCCCUUGGACGUCAAGCUCAGGACGGAACUCUACCGGAAGGAGUUGGACAAGCAUGAGCAGAGGCACGGUGCCGAGAUCAGGCAACGGUGGGAGGCGGCUCUGGGUAAAGUGGCUGAGAUCAAGGGAUGGGAAGUCCAAGGGAAAGCGUAAGUAUAUGCUUAUUUAUGGAACUCUUUUCAAGCUUCAGUACAAAUGCUAUUCUCUUAUUGUUCUUGUAAAUGGCAAUGAAAACUAGCCGAAGGUGUAUAUAUUGUUGAAAUAUAUCGGUUGACGUGGCAUAUACGAAUUAGUUUUUGGUAUAUGAGCAAUAAAUUUCAUUUCUCACCGGGGAGGAAAAAACAGAGGCAAUUCACUAAUUCUCAUACAUAAGCAGGGCCAUUUUGGCUAGUGAUAGUUAGACGAGUGAAUUGGAUCUAAUUUUGGAAUGAUGUCUGUAAUUCGGUCCGCAAAGGAACAUCUUCUUUCUCAGAAAUAGGGUCAAAUUGUAAGUUUAUCGUACCAAUCAUAUCCUGUGGAGUCUAUUACACCAAAAUUCUUGUGGCUCUAUAGAAUUUACUUGAGACUUAAAAAUAGUGAUCCAUCUCAAAUGCUAUCUGCUAGGAAGUAGUAGUGAGAUUGUUAUUUGUUUUCUUUAACUAAAAGUGUUUGGUAUGUGGCAGACAAGGUGAAGUCAUUGAACACGUUGUGAAAGAGGUUCUGCAUAAGCUGAAAGUAAAACAAAGACCUCUGGACAACAAAUUGGUUGGGGUAGACAAACAAGUAGAAGCCAUAAUGGAGUUGUUAGAUGUUGACUAUGGAACAGGUGUGCGUUUCGUUGGAAUCCAUGGAAUGGGCGGGAUUGGUAAAACCACUCUUGCUAAGAUUGUUUUCAAUGAAUUAUGUCUUCAAUUUGAUGGACAAUGUAGCUUCAUUGGGAACGUCCAAGAAUCAUCAAAAGGAAAUGGCCUAGUAAAUCUGCAGAAACAGUUGGCAUCUAACAUCUCUGAUUCUAGAUUUGUAGAAAAUUUUGGUAACACCGAUGAAGGGAUAGAUAGCAUAAGAAGGAGAGCUAGUUCUAAGAAAGUUCUCAUUGUUCUAGAUGAUCUAGACAACAAAGAACAACUUAAGAAACUAGUUGGGGACCCUAACACUUUCUGUUAUGGGAGUAGGAUUAUCAUUACAACAAGGGACAAAAGAAUUUUGGAUGAAGAGAAGGGAAUAUUAGCUUAUGAAGUGAAGGAAAUGGAUCGUGAUAAAGCGCUAGAACUUUUCAGUUUGCAUGCAUUUAAUAGGGUCUCUCCUCCCAAUGCUUAUCAAAGUCUCUCUCAAGAAGUUGUAUCUAUGACCAGGGGACUCCCAUUGGCUCUUGAAGUCAUAGGUUCCUAUCUUCAUGACCAAAAGGAGGAAAUAUGGAAAGAAAUGCUAGAAAUGUUGAAGAACGUACCUCAUGAUGAAGUCCGGGGUAAGUUGAAGAUAAGUUAUGAUGCAUUAGGAGAUGCGGAAAAAGAAGUUUUUCUUGAUAUUGCAUGCUUCUUCAUAUCUAGAAAGAAAUUAUGGGCAACCUAUUUCUGGGAUGCUUGCCGUCUUUACCCCCAUAACUCAUUAAAAAAACUUACUGAUUUGUGUCUAAUUAAAAUCGUUGGCGAUGAUGCUAUAUGGAUGCAUGAUCAGCUGAGAGACCUCGGAAGAGACAUUGUUCGAAAAGAAUGUACCCUUAAUAGGUUGUGGAAUGACAAAGAAGCUCUGGAAGUAAUGAGAUCAAAAAAGGUAAAGUAAAAGUAGGAUCCUUACAUUAUCCACCGUGAAAUUACUUUCUCACUUCCCAUUUAAAAGAUUCCUUUUGGGCAUUCUAAAGGACAAAUUUAACGUUUGCAAGCUCAUACUCAUCGAUGGCUUCUAUUGGCAGAGAAAGGAUAACAUUCAAGCACUCAAUUUAGGUAAAUAUAAUUCAGAUCCCAUCAAUAUCGUGGAUGAAGAACUCGAGAGGAUGCCAAAUCUAAAAUUCCUUAGGCUAUAUGCAGUGAAUUUUGGUGGAGACAUCAACAAUUAUCUCCAAGAGCUAAGAUGGCUUUCUUGGCACUCUCCUCCUCUAGAUUGUACAAUGGCCCAUUUGCACUUAAACAAUCUAGUAUUUUUCGAACUUUCAAACAAUGAAAACACCGAAAACUGGGGUGGAUGGAACAUUUUGAAGGUGUGAAUUCGUACUUUUGCUCUCUUAACAUAGACAUAGUAUUCUUUGUUUUAUCCUCUUUGAUAAUAUUUCAGUGCCCUUUGCAGAUGGAAAACAGAUUGAAAGUUAUUUCUCUCUUAAAUUGUGAUGGAUUGAAACAGACUCUAGACUUUUCUAGAUGCGUGAGUUUGGAGAUACUCUCUCUUUCUCACUGUCAAUUCUAGAAGUUGACUCCUCUAUUAGGAAACUAAAAGAUCUUACUCACUUGCAAAUUAGUUCUUGCUUGAAUCUUCGAAAUUUGCCUAAAGAGAUUGGAGGACUAGUGAAUCUGAAGCACCUUUCUCUUGACGGGUGCUCCAAAAUCAAGAAACUUCCAGACAUCGGGAAAUUAGCAUCAUUGUCGAAGUUGGAUAUAUCAGAGACAAAAAUUACAAGUUUACCCGAUUCUAUUGGUAAUGCAAAGAACCUAUCAUCCCUUGAUCUAUCAUACACGUCAAUUGAGAAACUUCCGAUUUCUAUUGGAGAGCUUACACAACUUAAGUUCCUUUCACUCUCUAAUUGUCGAAAUUUUAUGGAGCUUCCAGAAUCAAUAGGUUAUUUGACAACAUUACAGAAUUUGGAUCUCUCAUUGACAAAAAUUGUUGAGUUACCUGAUUCGAUAAAGAAUCUCAAGCAAUUGAAGGUGAUGAAGAUGGGAUAUUGUCCAUUAUGGAGGUUUCCUAUCGGUAUUGGAAUGCUAGAGAGCUUGGAGGAGCUCAAUGUCCAAUAUUGUGAACAACUUGCAGGCGAACUCCCAACUGAAAUUGGCAAACUAUUGUCUCUAAGUAUCCUAGACAUAUCAUAUACCUGUGUUUUGGCAGUGCCGACAACAAUCAAUUCUCUCACGCGACUCCAAAAGCUAGAUUUAUCAUUUUGUGAUAAGGUUCAAGAGUUGCCAGAACUUCCCUCGAGUUUGAAUCAGCUACGUGUUCGAUCGGCAUCAUUGCAGUUAGUUCCGAAUCUCAGUAACCUCACGAAUCUAGUGGAUUUGGAACUGUCCACCAACUCUGGACAAGCACUUGCGCAGGCAUCAACUCUUCAAUUGCAAUGGGUUGGGAAGUUAUCUAAGCUGGAGCAAUUGGAGUUGUGCCUUUCGGAUCUUCUUGUGCCGUCAACGGAGUUGGGUUGCCUACCUCGACUUAAAAAACUCACCUUACCUAGCAUGGAUAGUUUCAACUCGGCAGUCGUUGGACCACAACUUUCGCACUUGAAAAUUUUGUCCACAUUGCAUCUUUGUCGAUGUCCACUGACGGAAAUUCAACUAGAUGGGCUUGAACUAUUGGGAGAUUUGACUGUGACAUACUACGAGUUUCUCAAGGGAUUGUCAGUUAUUUCAUCGAGCUUGAAGAAGCUUUCUAGAAUGGAAGUUAGUAAUUGCCCAGAGUUACUUCAAAUUCGAUUUCUCAGUACGAUGGAAUCAUUGGAGAGGCUCAUAGUUAAAUACUGCGAAUCCCUAGGAGGGUUGUAUGGUUUAUCAAACUUGAAGAAGCUGAACUUUUUAACAUUCAUCAGGUGCCCUGUGCUACGGGUUAUUGAGGACCUUGAAGAAUUGGAGCUUUUGCGGGACUUGGAUUUCAUCACGUGUCCAUCGUUGAAAGUGUUGACUAAUCUAUCCAACUCAAAGAUACCAAAUGAAUGCGAGAUAAGUAUACGGGAUUGCGAGAAGUUACCAGAAUGCUGUUUAGGCCGUUACGGGGAUUAUAGAGAGGAGAUUCUUGAUUGGACGAGGAGGGGAUUAAACCAGGUGCGCCUUCCUUCUACCCUUCACUUUAUUUUUCAAAUUUUAAUUUUUCAGAAACGCAGGCGGUAGGCAUGACUUUUCUUUCCCUUGUUCCGUUUACUUUCAUCUCUCUUUCUCUCUCUACGUUCCGCAGACAACGUGUCGUGUGGUUCUUUCUUUGUUAACAUUUCUCAAUACUCGGCCUUCUUCCUUUCAGGAGGGUGCGGCGCGGUUCUUCGAACGUGGCCAACCGCUCAUCGUACAGGUAUGGUCUCUUCUACGGACCCAAAAUUCUUCUCGCGUCGAUGAAGUGAGAAAAUUUCUUUUUCUCGAAUGUGUUGGGUGAAAAUUUUAUCUUUCAUGAACUCAAUAUAUUCUCAAAUAUUGAAGAACUUAAGUAUUGCAAAAUGAAAUUAAGGUUGUUUUCAGAAAAUAAGUUGCAGUCUCUAGAGAUCUUUGUGCUAAAACGAAAAUAAUAAAUGUUCCCUAAAACCAAAUUAACUUGAAAUUUUCUUUCAGAUACGGGGGAAUCCGUAAGCAGAGAGAUGAGUUUAAGGUAGAAGAUAGAGAUCCUAAAAUAUCACUUGAGUCAAAUUAAAUUUCAAUUACAAAAUUUUUACCUACAGGGAGUAGCCUUGUUAAUCUAGACACAUAGAUGCACUUAGUGAAUAGUCUAGAAGGUAGACACCUGAGAUGAUUAUUAACUCUCACAUGUCAACCAUACAAUUAUGAGUAUAACUAUUUCUUACACUGGAAAUUGAUGUAAUAAAAAUCCUUCAUAUAAACAAGAAAGUGAUUGUGUCAAUAUUUCCCCAACAAAAGAUAAAAAUUUGGUGCGUGGGCACGAAAGUAGAAGCUCAACUGUGGUUGGUUGUUCAAAUAGAUUUCUCUUAAACAACUACACUUUCCUUUCAUAUUUUAAAAUGAAAAUAUAAUUGUAUACAAAUGAAUAUAUGAUUUAUGUAAUUUGAAAGAUUUGAGGUGUUACAAUUGGAUGAGCCAUGAGAAAAGGGAUAACAGUGAAAAAACAUAUAACGAAAACAGAGGUAGCUUAUAAGCAGUACCCUUUGUAACAAUGUUCUACUUGUCCUGCUACGCCUGUCAGACUAACUGAAUGGUUUGGCAUUCUCCAUAAGAAGGCAAGCAUGUGAAAAUAGUACAACUCUAUCAUUUGCCCAUAUUUUACUUAUUGCUUGAUAUUACAAUUUUUUCUCGUCAAAGGAUUUACUCCAGAUUUCUAUUAAACACAUGUAGAAAACAGAUAAUUCAUGAUAUCUAUUUAUCUAAUCACGCAGCGAAACAUAUUGUUUUGUUUUGUUUUCCUGAUAGCUGAAUCUGAUAAGAGUGAAAUACGAAGUAGCCAAUGAAAUCUGGCUGAAAUAUGCACAUACUUCAUGGACAUUGAAUCAUUAUACUGCUAUAUUGUUGGAUAAUUAUGUUCAUCAAGUUCCUUUUUAUGAAUACAUGUCAAAAGCUAAUAAAAGCAGGGACUUUUGAUGAGACAUCAACAAUCAUCACCUGAAGUUAAGAUGGCUUUCUUGAGGUUUUCCUCCUCUAGAUUGUAGAACGGCCAAUUUGCACUUUAAAAAUCUAGUAACUUCCAAACUUUCACACAAUUAAAACACCAAAAACCAGGGAAGUUGAAAAUUUUUGAAAGUCUGAAUUUGUACUUUUGUUCUCUCAACAUAGAAUUUUACUUCUUAUUUUUUCCUUUGACGCCGCUCUGAUAAUGUUUCAGCUACUUUUGUAGAUGCUAGAAGAAUUGAAGGUUCCAUAUCACAAAGACUGGGAUGGAUUGAAAUGGACUGGUUACCCUAGUUUGGAGACAUUGUAUUUUCACUACUGUCUAAACGUGCGAAAAUUUGACUCCUCUAUUGGGAAGAUGAAAGUUCUUACUCACUUGGACAUUAUUCGGUGUACGAAUCUUCGAACUUUACCCGAAGAGAUUGGAGGACUGGUGAAUCUGAAGCACUUGUCUAUCAAAAAGUGCUCCCAAAUGGAGAAACUUCCAUACUCUAUAGGGAAAUUAGGAUCAUUGUCUAAGUUGGAUAUAUCAUCCUCAAGAAUUACAAGUUUACCUAAUUCAAUUGGCAAUGCGAGACAUCUAUCAUUCCUAAAUCUAUCAGGCACGCCAAUUGUGGAACUUCCAAUUUCUAUCGGAGAGCUUACGCAACUCGAGUUUCUUUCUCUCAAAUAUUGUUGAAAUUUGGGGGAGCUUCCAGAAUCAAUAGGCAACUUGACAUUGUUACAGAAGUUGAAUCUCUCAGGGACAAACAUUGUUGAGUUACCUAAUUCGAUAAAAAAUCUGAAGCAAUUGAAGGUGAUGAGGAUUGGAUUUAAUCCGAUAAGGAGGUUACCUGCCAGUAUUGAAAUGCUAGAGAAGUUGGAGGAGCUCUAUGCCGAACAUUGUGAACAACUUGCAGGCGAACUUCCGAUUGAAAUUGGCAAACUAUUGUCUCUACGCAUCCUAGACAUUUCAUAUACCCAUAUUAGUGCAGUGCCGAUGGCAAUCAAUUACCUCACGCGACUCCAAAAGCUGGAUCUAACACAUUGUGAUGAGCUUCAAGAACUGCCGAAGCUUCCCUCGAGUUUGCAUUGUAUACGUGUUCACUCGGCAUCAUUGCGGUUAGUUUCGAAUUUCAGUAACCUCACGAAUCUAGUGGAAAUGCUUUUGUCUAACGGCUUUGGACAAGCACCUGCCCAACCAUCAAACCCAAUGCAAACUUUCCAAUUGCAAUGGGUUGGAAAGUUAUCUAAGCUGGAGAAGUUGAGCUGGGGCCUUUCAUAUUUUCCCAUUUCGUUAACAGAGUUGGGCUGCCUACCUCAACUUAGAGAACUCACUUUAUCUGGCAUGGACAGUUUUAACUCGAUAGUUGUUGGACCACAAUUUUCCAACUUGAAAAAUUUGUCCAUAUUGUGUCUUCAUGGCUCUCCACUGAGGGAAAUUCAAUUGGAUGGGCUUGAACUUUUGAGAAAUUUAGGUGUGAGAGAAUGCGAGUUUCUUGAGCGACUAUUAGUAAUUUCAUCAAGCCUGAGGAAACUCUAUAAAAUGGAAGUUUUACAUUGCCCAAAGCUACUUGAAAUUCAAUUUCCCAGUACAAUGGUAUCAUUAGAGGAACUUCGAGUUGGCAACUGCGAUUCCCUGAGAGGGUUGCACAAUUUAUCAAACUCGAAGAAGCUGAAGGCUUUGCAGAUCUACCAAUGCAAUGGGCUAUGGCUUGUUGAGGGCCUUGAGGAAUUGGAGCUUUUAGGUUUUUUGUAUCUUUCUAGGUAUGGAUUGUUGGAAAGGUUGACUGAUGUAUCCGACUCAAGAUACCAAAUGGAUGCAUGAUAGAAAGUAUGGGGUUGCAUGAAACUAACUAGUUAUGAGGGCACUUACCAGGGUUACAAAGAGAUGAUUCUUGUCAAGACGAGAAUGACAUUCAUUGAGGUGUGGCUUCCUUCUACCUUUCACUUAUUUUUCAGAAACGCAUGCAGUAGGCAUCACAUUUNNNNNNNNNNNNNNNNNNNNNNNNNNNNNNNNNNNNNNNNNNNNNNNNNNNNNNNNNNNNNNNNNNNNNNNNNNNNNNNNNNNNNNNNNNNNNNNNNNNNNNNNNNNNNNNNNNNNNNNNNNNNNNNNNNNNNNNNNNNNNNNNNNNNNNNNNNNNNNNNNNNNNNNNNNNNNNNNNNNNNNNNNNNNNNNNNNNNNNNNNNNNNNNNNNUGUUUCUUACAAGAGCAAUGGGCUUAAUAAAGAUCCUUUACAUAACUAAACAAUGAUUAUAUUAAUAUUUCACCAAGCAAAGAUAAAAAUCAUGCUCUCUACACUAAUCCAUUAGAGUUUAAAAGAAAUAGUAAAUUAUAUAAAAACAAAUAUACGAUUUAUGUAUUUAGAAAAAUUUGAAGUGGUACUUAUUGGAUAAGCCAUGAGAAGAGGAAAAAUAGUGAAAAAAGGUGUACCAGGAGCAGAGCUUAUAUGCAAUGCCCACUAGUUAACAAUGUUUUACUUAUCGAGCUAUGCCGAGCAAAUUGCAACUGUUUGGUGUAAGAACGGGCAUUUCACCUGUUACUGUCAGUGAGAUGGGGACUCACUAAUGAUUGUACCAUCAUAGACUUGGUCGUGUGACUGGCUUUGCCCUACGUUCAUAAAUGCUUGUGAAGCGAACGACUGUAAUGUUUGGACUUUAGGGCAGGCCGAUUAGAUCAUAUUUACAUUUUCUUGUCCUCCAAUAUAGGUAGAAGACUAAUUCAUAUGUUUCCCGUUCUAGGAGGAUGAAAUGGAGGAGAACGACCGCAUUGAUUGUUCCACGGGCAUAUUAGAAUGUAUCUGCAAUCCCUUAUCAUUUUUUCAAGGGAGGAGUCUUCGGAGGCAGACAGGAUAAGUAAAUUGUCUUGCAGGAUAAUGCAGACGUGGAGUCAGGAAAAAUUGAAUUGAUCUCUAUGCAUUUUGGUUAGGGGUACAACAACUAAAUCGAUGGCUCCAAGAGAAUGCUUUCACUCUUUUUGAUGAACUCAAGUGCACAGAGGUCGAGGGACCAGUUUCCCGGAAACAGGAAUGCAGUUUGCAUGUGGAUUUACUCUGCUUCGAGGAUUUGCUAACUGUCCAUUCGUUGAGAGGUAAGUCAUUCCCUCUGUGAAUAUCAAAUUGCUUGCCACAUAGAAGCAUGGUCAAGAUUCUUGACAACUUAGACAAUAGUUUCCAAUGCAUAUGAUACUUUUAUCUGGGUAAAUGAAUGAUUCUACCAAAAUCUCUCAAAUAACUGACGAGUGCNNNNNNNNNNNNNNNNNNNNNNNNNNNNNNNNNNNNNNNNNNNNNNNNNNNNNNNNNNNNNNNNNNNNNNNNNNNNNNNNNNNNNNNNNNNNNNNNNNNNGUCCCAAACGGUGAUCAUUAGAUCAAAUAUUGCAUGAACGCCCCCUAAAUAUGUCAAGAUUACUAACACGUGCAAUCCUUGGCCCUAGCAUUAUGCUGUCACGGAUGACUAGAUUUAAUAGGAGAAAAUAUUAGUCUUUCCUGUGCCAAUGUGUGAAGUGGGAAAAACUGAUGGUAGAAGAGACUAAUUAGAAGAUUAUCUGCAAGCCAUUCUAAUUUCUUCUAGGAUGAGGUUGUAGUGGCAGAAGCAAAAGCAGACACUACUGACGUCUUCUCAAUUCUCAAGAGUCUGACGUCGAGCAUUCACUUGAGUUUUUGCAACAACAAUUCUAAUUUCAUUUUGUUCGGUUCUCAUCCAAUCAAAUCAUCAAAUCUCAUUUGGCUUUCAUUUCAUUGUUUAUUUUCAACUCAUUUACAGCUCUUGUUUCUUCUCAAAUCAUGCAUACUUGCAGCUCGCAUGCUCCAGACACGAACUCUUUUGAUAUAUGCAACAAGCAUGGACUACUCAUGUAUAUGAUCAUAAGUAGCCUCAUGUCGAAAUAGAAAAUAGUACUCCCACAAUUCUCCUCUUUCCUUCAGCACCUCACCAUCUCAAAGUAACAUGCAGGAUCACCAUUUGACAUACACAAUCACAUAUGAACAAGAUUUGAUCCACACAAACACUUAUGAGCAGCAUUUAACAUACAUCACCUAUAUAUCUAAUUAGUUCACAUUCCAAUCAGCUAUAUACGGGAAAUCUAGCAAAGACACAACAAACGCAACUUCCAUUGAACAUUGAGACAUUGGUAAACAGAAUGAAAUAGGAACUAUCUUCGAUAGAGUCGGGCAUUCCGCUGAAAAGGUUGUGAGCAUGUGGUGUGAAGUACUAACACCAGAAUGGCAUAGAGUAAUACAGAACACAAACAUCAGAGUAGAAAAUCCAUGCGUACAAGCAAUUCUUACUACUUAAUUGGAAAAGAAACAACCUGGCGGUGAUGAGGUGAUGACGCACAGCAAUCAUGAGGUGGCUGUUGCUAUGGUUCAUGUUCCAACGCCCCGACUUCAUCUCCACAGAAUGCCCUCAAGCUCAUUGGUCUCCUCUGUUUUCUUAUGGACAACAUCAGAAUUGACGCAAACAGAACAGAAAUGAAAAGACAACCGAAAGCAAUCGAAAUCAAUUUUAAAAUUAAUCGGAGACGAAGUGACCUGGCAAGUGUGGCUCUCAGUUGUACUUAUAAAGCUAUGCCUAGCAAACUGUAACUGUUUGGUUUGCAGUCACCUUAGAAAGGCAAGCAUGCGAAAUAGUACAACUCUAUCAUUUGUCAAAACUUUAAAUAUUGCUUGGUAUUCAUUUGUUUUUCUUUGUCUAAGGUUUAUUAAACAGAAAAAUUUGUGAAAAAAGAAGAAGAAGAUGCCUGUACAAAACAAAUAGUUCAUGAUAUCACGUACACUUUAUCUAAUGAAAUGGCGGAAUGUAUGUUUUUCUUUUCCCUGAUAGCUAAAUCUAAUUAGAGCGAAAUAUGAAGUAGCCAAUAAAUUAUUGGUGAAAUAAUUACAUGGUUAAUAGAUAUAUAAUCAUCAUACUGCCAAUAGUUGGAUAAUUAUGUUGAGUUCAUCAAGUCCUUUCAUAUAGAUAUUUGCCGGAAAUUAAUAAAGCCAUGGAUUAUGAUAGAUCUGCUGGCACUCGUUUGCAUAAUUAGUUUUCAACGUGAUGUGUAAAUCAAGGUGUAUAAUGUACAGCUUGGUUUAUGCAUGAUCCAUAAAUAAAAUAAAAUACGCAUUGUACCUUAACUAUGAUAUGAAGCAUUGGAAUGGUUGGACUUCGAAGCAGAUGGAUUGGAUAAGAAGACUGAUUCAUUUUUUCUUGUACUAGGAAGAUGCAACGGAAACAGAUGCAGAAGAAUCAGUGAUGGAGACCAAUAACUACUAUUCUCGGAACUUGCCAUUGACUAUAGGUUUUCUAUGGUCUCCAGAACUCGAUACUGAGCUCGAUUCUACAAGUAAGUCACUGCUGUUAAAAUGAAUAUAAUGUCAUCCUGUCACACAAAUUAACAUCUGUUAGCUUAUCAACGUACAAAAACUAACAGGAAUCGAACUAAUCUUUGGAUGUUCUGCUGCUGCUAUUUUGGAUCUAAUAUCAUCUAUUAGCUUCCCUCAAUAGUACAAACUAUUCUUGCAGGCUUGAAUAAUUCCAAGUUCUUCCACGAACCACAUCUUCGGAUGUUUCCAGAAGUUUAUGCUCAAUUCUAUAAGCAAAAUGUUACUGAUUCUAGCAAUGGAGAGAUGAAUGAAUUCACAAUGUGAUCGAGUUUGGGAACCUGUGAAAUUGCCAGAAGUAAUGGAGUUUGCUCUAAGGACAUGUCCCCCCUCUCCCAGGUCCAUCACAAGAGAAAAUUUUUGUGGAUUUGUCCGAGGUAAUUAAUUCCGUUUUGUGAAAACCCAUUUGUGUGCCACAUCGAUUUCCAAUACAUACGAUACUUUUCUCAAAGGUGUGCAAUAUCGGACCAGGUCAAGCUCUAGGUAUCGGUAUGUUCUUCUAAUUAUUUGUGCCUUAGGUCCCUCUUUUUUGUCAUGCCGUAAGAAGUCAUUUUUAAGCAGUUAAAGAAGAAGAAGACCUAAUUCUCCAGAUAACCCAGUAUUUCGGAGUCAGUAGCGAUGAUUGUUAUCACUUUUUUGGUCAUAUACAGCAAGGCACUGUUUCUUUAUCCAUUUUUGGUAGAUUAAUGGUUCUAUCAAAGUUGCUCAAAUAACUUAGUAAUGCCAAAAUACGAAAAAAAUAAAAAUAAAAUGCACGAAACAAUCAAACUGGAAAUAGACUGUAUAUGGGGCUGUUGAUCCUUAAUCUAAACUAGCUCACAGUACACAUGAACUUGAAAAGAAAAAUGACAGUGAAAUAAGAAAGUGGUGACAGUAAGCCUCUUGACAAAACUCUUCUCCCUUUGCAGAUAUGGAGGAGAGCUCUAUUCCUAUGUGCUACAGAUUGAGUUCCCGGGAAACGGAUUUUUGGACUUCACUGGAUAAAGCAGGCCACUGAGGGACUAGUUUUCGGGUUGAUUACGCUGAAGCUACAGUGGAAUGGUUUCAUAUGCAAUAUAUGGAGAGUUAGGAAUGACUUGCUGCAUAAUUAACUUGCUCCUCCUGGUUGUGAUGAAUCCCCUUGUGUUUGCGGUAAGAUAUAGCAUCGAAGGGUGCGUAAGCUGGUGCAGAAAAAAGUUAUUCUGACUUGGCAUUUGCCUGAAGUGUAUUGGUAUGCUUGGCCUUUAAUAACUAGUCUUGUAACUGUUUUGGAUAUUUGGGCAGUUAGUGUUCACGUUCUAGUUGGAGCUAAGAUUGUUGCUUGAGUAGUGUGCUAACGAUAUUAUUAGGUUUGGAUAAAUUAUAUUGAGUGGACAAUUUGAUGGAGAUCUUUGAUGAAUCGACUUUGAGGAUGGUAGGUCUCAAGGGUUCUUUAUUUAUUUAUUUGGGUAGGUCUUGAGUUUGAAAAGCUGGAAUUCAAUGUAUUUAGGUUUCAUUGAUUCACUAAAUAAUGAUUAUCACCACAAAAAUGAUUCUGGUCACCUGUUAAUUAUCACCACAAAAACGAAAUGUCUUGAUUAACUAAACAAUGAUUCAAGUGAUUUGGAAGAGCUAUGCUGAUGAUUGUAGGGAGCUGCACGAUGAACUUCCUCCUGAACAAUGGAGAUCGGACCAUUUGAGAAAAGCAAGGGCUGGGAUCAAUUCGUUGAAUUUUGCCGAAACGGACUAGGCAGGAUGGGCAGCAAGAAGGGCGACAUCAUGAGCGUUGGUUAGUGUCGUGAUCAAACGGUCCCAGAUUGAAACAAUUUGAUCCAAAGGUGGGGAACAACGACGAGCUUAACUUCCUCGGCAAGUUUUGCACGCUAAGAACACAAUCGACGCAUUUCUAGAAGUUUAUUUACCUUUUAGACCAUCUAGAUCAUAAUCGAUGAAGCUUGAGAUUGGGGGCAAGUGGUUGACUCCAUGCUACAUCUUGCGUCAGAUCAUCAUCUCGCAACUUCCUCUGUAAUUUAUUAGAGAAACGCUCCUGUAACAAUGAAUCGGUAUAGUGAUUUUACGACUCUCAUAGAAAAGCCAACAAUAUCAUGCUCUAAUUCUUAUUUAUUAGGAUAUUACCUACGUUCUUCAAAUUCAUCAUGAGCUUGUUAAACUCAUCUGAGCGGUCUUUGGUGGAAGUACAUUUAGCAUGUUGAAACUGAAAUGUCAUCUUCAACAUAUAUGAUAAUUAUUUAAACCCUUUCUCAUGUAAAGAGCCCGAAAUUUUCCUCAUAAUGCUGCGGCAUGUCUCUUCUCAACCGCUUUUAUUAAAACCUAAUCCAACGAUAUCGAUAUGAUUAUACUAUUUGCCCUCUCCAUUAACUCAUCUUUAUUGGCAUCUUUGAUCAUUUUCAGCAACUUAGCCUUGCCGUCCAAUUUCUCAUCUCACUUCGCUGCCCAAUUUGUUCUUUCCAUUGAACUUCUGAAUUUCUAUUUUUGCCUUAGACAGAAUUGCAACAACAAAAUUUCGAAACAAUGAUCAUACAAGCAAAAACCCUAAAUCAAAUAUAGAAAGAUCCUAAACUUAGCUCUAAUACCAAUUAUCGUAAAAUUAAUGCGAAAGCUAAUCGGAUCCUAUUAUUAGAUCAACGAGCAAGCAUGAAAUAACCAGAUAAAUCAACAAGGAACAAUAAGAAAUGCAUGAAGUCCCAGUGUCAGUAUCUACUUUAGAGGGAGAUCGGUUGCAAAUUAUCCACUAAUCAAUCGAAGGAUUAUAAAGUACGACAGCUCACAUUUUCAAGCGCUUCUCAUUCCACCUAAAGCACAGUGUUUAGCCUUAAGAAGAAUUACGGUUUGAAACACCCGCAUCUCCGGAAAGAGAAGGGAGGAUGUAACUCUUCGCGCAAAAAACGAUCACCGUGAGUUCCUCUUCCUCUCCGCGUAGCUAGAAGGACACCUCCACCUUUUUACUUUUCUUUUUACGCGGCUGAAGGGGAUGAGAAAAUUAGAACCCACGCCUUUGCAUUUUUCUUCCUCUGACAAAUCUACUGAACCCACAAGUAUAUAUAGAAUAUGAGAGCCCCUUCUUCUUCUUUUGUACGGCCAAAAUAAGUCCCUCCUCCACAUGCGAUAUAGACAAAGAGCCCAAGAAGUCGAAUCUGUCAAACAUAAAUACACUUCAUCGAACAGAAAACAAAAUCAAAUUUUCCAAAGCCCAAAAGGUCCAAAUUUGACUUGGAUUAAAGCGAACACCAAAUUUGAACAAAUCAAAAUCCUUUGAGGUUUCAUGCACAUUUCAAAACUCGAGACAUAACUUAACAAAAAGUAGGUCGCUAAGGUAUUAGUAAAGGUCUAGCAUCGAAUGGCCCAAGUUGCCGCAGCAAAAAGUUGAUCCCCAGCUUAGUUUGAUGGAGAAAUGAAUUUAACUUGCCCGUUAGAAUAACUCAUCUUUUCCUGUUCUAGGAUGAUAAGAUGGAGAAAAAUCUGGAAUAUAAAAAAUCAAAAAAGACAGCAUUGAUCGUUCCGUAGGCAUAUUACCAUGUAUCUGCAAGCCCUUGGGUUUUCCAAGUGAGAAGUCUUCGCAGGCAGACAGGAAAAGUACAUGUCUUGCAGGACUAUGCAGACGUGGUGUCAGGAAAAACUGAAUGGAUCUCUAUGCAUUAUGGUUAAGGGAAUAAAAGCUAAAUCGUGGCUCCAAGGGAAUACUUGCACUCUUCUUGAUAAACUGAUGUGCAUUGUGGUCAAGGGACAAGUUUCCUGGAAACAGGAAUGCAAUUUGCAUAUGCAAUCUACUCUGCUUUGAGGAUUUACUAACUGUCCAUUCGUUGAGAGGUAAGUCACUCCCUUCAUGAAUAUCAGAUUGCUUGCCACAUGCAAGCAUCAUCAAGAUUUUCGACAACUUAGAUAAUAGUUUCCAAUGCAUAUGAUACUUUUAUCUAGGUAAAUGAAUGAAUCUACCAAAAUUUCUCAAAUAACUUACAAGUGCAAAAAACCAAAAGGAGAAAUGAAGAGAAAACAAGCUGAAGUAGGCAACUUUGGGAUAUCCCAAAUGGUGAUCAUUAAAUGAAUAUUGUACGAACACCUCCAAAAUUUCUCAAGAUUACUAACAUGUGCAAUCCUUGGCCCAAGCAUUAUGCUGUCACGGAUGACUAGAUCUAAUAGGAGAAAAUAAUAGUCUUUCUUGUGCCAAUAUCUGUAAAGUGGGCAAAACUGAUGGUAGAAGAGACUAAUUAGUUGAUUAUCUGCAAGCCAUUCUAAUUUCUUCUAGGAUGAGGUUGCAGUGGCAGAAGCAAGGACAGACACUACUGACUACGUCUUCUCAAUUCUCAAGAGUCUGACAUCGAGCAUUUACUUGAGUUUAUGCAACAACAAUUCUAAUUUCUUUUUGUUCAGUUCUCAUCCAAUCAAAUCUUCGAAUCUCAUGUGGCUUUCAUUUCAUUGUUUAUUUUCAACUCAUUUACAGCUCUUGUUUCUUCUCAAAUCAGGCAUACUUGCAGCUCGCAUGCUCCAGACACAAGCUCUUUUGAUAUUGCAACAAGCAUCGAUGACUCAUGUAUACAAUCAUAAGUAGCCUCAUGUCCAAGUAGAAAAUAGUACUCCCAGCAUUCUCCUCUUUCCUUCAGCACUUCACCAUCUCAAAGUAACAUGCAGGAGCACCAUUUGACAUACACAAUCACAUAUGAACAGGAUUUGAUCCACACAAAUAUUUAUGAACAGCAUCCGAUAUACAUCACCUAUAUAUCUAAUUAGUUCACAUUUCAAUAAACUAUAUACGGGAAAUCCAGCAAAGGCACGACCAACGCAACUUCAAUUGGACAUCAAGACGUUGGUAAACAGAAUGCAAUAGGAACUGUCGAAAAGGUUGUGAGCAAGUGGUGUGAAGUACUAUUAACACCAGAAUGGCAUAGAGUAAUACAGAACAGAAACAUCAGAGUAGAAAAUCCAUGCGUACAAGCAAUUCUUACCACUUAAUUGGAAAAGAAACAACCUGGCGGUGAUAAGGUGAUGACACGCACGGCAAUCAUGAGGCGGCUGUUGCUAUGGUUCACGUUCCAACGGCCCGACUUCAUCUCCACGGAACGCCCUCAAGCUCAUUGGUCCCUCUGUUUUCUUAUGAACAACAUCAGAAUUGACACAAAACAGAACAGAAAUCAAAAGACAAAUCCGAAAGCAACCGAAAUCAAUUCUAAAAUUAAUCGGAGACGAAGCGACCUGGCAGGUGUGGCUCUCAGUUGAUGGAUUUCGUCAUCCCCGGAGCGUCGUGGAGCAGGAUAUAUGGCAGCGGAGAUGAAAACGCAGCGGAGGAUCGGAGAUAAAGCCGCCGGAGUCAUCGCUACUCCCAGAGGAAUAGCAAUCGAAGGAGCGAAUAGAGCCGCGGGCGAUUAAGAGGAGCAGCGACGACGACAACGAUGGAAGGUGCGUAGCGACCAUGGAACCGCGAGCCAACAUCAAACCGCCGGAGAAACUGGUGCACGGAUACGUCAGGACACUUGAAUCGGCGGCGACGAUUCCCCUCUGGCGAACCUCGAAACGAAGGAAAAUGGAGCUUCCGGCGAGAGCCCCGACGAAGGAUUUGAGAGUUCUCCAUCUCAGAGCAAGGAUCUACAUUCUCGGUCGCUAUGGAGCGCGGGCUCUUAAUAAAAUAUAUUUUAGCGGGAUUUCUUGGUACAUAAUAGCAUUUCUAUUCUAAAAAGUUAAAAUGUAUGCAAGUCCUUCAUCUUCUAGUCCAACUUCCCCGAUUUCCCACUAUUUCUUCGAAUUUUUGGGCAAAUUAGUUAUUAUUUCGAAUCUAAUAGUGAACAUGGAAAACAUUAAAGGGAAGCAACAACUUAUAAGCAGUAGAUACAUAUUCAAUCGAUUAUGCAGUCCAUGACGAAGCACCGUGACGAUAUUCAAGAAAUGCAAUAGCUUAUGAGUGAAAUGUCCAUAUUCAAGAUAUCUAGCCAACGGUUCAACUAAAUCUCGAUAUUCUUUAUACAUGAUGAUCUUGUAGAGCUAAAUGCAACUAUGUCGAAGGAACAAAGUUCACUUCAUCUUAAUAAGAGUAGGAUGCAACAAUGGAUUGAGAUUCUCAAUCAUUAGCAGUCUAGUCAUGUUAGUAGACACAAGCAUCUUUGAUAGUGAUUUACUUUUGUCAAUGGGAUGAAAACCACAUUUCCUAACAGUUAUAAUGGAAGAGAGUAUAAUCAAGAUUUAAAGCUUUUUGAAUGGUCUGAUAAAAUCCUAAAAUUUGUCUAAAGAGUGCAAUUGGAUACUUCUAUUAGCACCCUUAGUUUGGAGCGACAAAAAAAUUCCAAUGCGACUUUAUACAAUAUUUUGGAGGAUACUCGAUGCCAGACACCAAUCAACAAAAUGGACUAGAAACUUGAAAAAAUUUAGGGAGGGGUGGGAGAAGGGGGUGGCGCUGCCGCACCUCUAUGGACAGCAGCGGCGACCAACCCUCUCGCGGCCACUCACACGAGUACCACAGCGUUUCCAUGAGGGCAAGCACCUCAGCAAAUUGAUACCACGUCAUCGCCUCAUCAAAGGUUGAGCACAAAUGUAAGCCCUUACAUGUUAACGUACGGGCAAGAAGCUGUUUUUCUUUUGAAAAUAACUACUCAAUCCCUGAGAGUUAGGUUACAAACGACAUGUUAAUGAAAGACUGCGAACGAUCGAUGUAUAUGAAUUUAGAUGAGUUGGAUGUAAUUAGAUCAUUGGACACUUGAGUAUAGUACUGCAAGAGAUGCAGGAAAAUAAAUCACAAAGCCGCGAGGAAUGAUCAGAAGAAAAUCUGCAUUGAUGUUCUUUUUCUUUAGGUCAAAGUCAUUCCUUUACAGUAGUUAUAAAUAUCGGAAGGCAUUCCUCCAUUUUUCUAUAGGUUUCUAUAAAUUGGUGCCUGAUGGAUGAGUGGUUCUUGAUCUCUGGAUGUCGCUCAUCACAAUUCUGCAUAAGCACGUCGACUUUCCUCUGCUUUUCCUUCAUAAGCUUCCCUUCGCGAUGAAUGACGGCUGCUUCAAUUUGAUGCUCAAUAUCAGCAAUAAAUGUUUGGAGCCUCUCUUUUCCCUCUGCAAGCUAAGCCUUCUUUCAAAGAUCUCUCCCUCAUGACAAAGUCGAACUUGUAGCCCUCCAAAGCUUUCUUCUAUGGCUUUUGACACUUUCAUUUGCUUUUGCUUGCAGUUGUACCUAAAAGCUUCAAUGCCAUCCUCAGAGAGAGUAUAAAAUUCUUCAUACUCGUGCUGAUAUUCAGUAAGAUUAAGUCUGUCUUCAUCCUGGAUCAGUUAGACCAGCAGAAACUUUAUAUUCUUUUAUUUUCGAGGUCUGAGUCAGAGGCACUGUGGGAAUAUCCACACCAAAGGAGUAAAUAUAAUUCUUCCCACUCGGCUUCAGCUCUUCAGAAAUUGAUGGGCUAAGAUGGCCAGAUGAUGAAGCCAUACCGACAAUAAUUGAGUUCAACUCCUGGUCGAUUUUAGGGUUGACAAUGCUGAGCAAUCCUUGAGUUCUGUUUCGCUUGGCCAAGGGAGUCUUUUCUACUUCUUCUUUGACAAUGACUGUUGACGACUUUCGUUUGCAGGUUUCAACUGCAAUCGAGAGAAAGACGUUAGAUGGUUAUUAAAGGACGAAAGGAAAGAAGGAAAUGACAAACAAAUUUUUACCAAGUCCUGUCCUGUAAUUACUCGAGUAUUGAUAAUGAUGGGUUCGAUGGGGAUGCAUUAGAAGUUUGAAACACUCCAAACAGAUCAUCCUUCUUUCACCUUCUCUAAAAAUGAAUCGCCGCCUUUGACAAACAUCCAAUUGGAACACAAAUUCCACCACCCAUUAAAAAAAAAAAAAUCGUGCUCUGUGGGUUCUUGAGGAAUGGAAUAUGCAUGUACCGAUUGAAUAUAUUGAGGCAGCUGUCGACGUAAUGCAAUGUCGCAUCUGUGCUCAGUUUGUGGAGAGAGGAAGUUUCGUUUGAUAUAUAGUUGGCCUAGGAAUUCCCUGAGCCAACCCACACUGUUGAGCACAAUAUUUAGGAUGAUAAACCCAGAAAUCGGGGAAGAAUAUUUCUCUGUUUGACAAAUUUAAGAGGAUGAUCAACAGAAGUCCUCCAGAAUCUCUCAAUCAUGGCCGAGCCAUUAUAAGAGCAAAUAAAGAAGUAGGAAUAUCUAUGGGAAAGAAGUUGAGAUUUUUACGCCUUAGGUUGCAAUAUGAAAAUACUUGGAUUGGGGCAAACUCUAGGUUAGUAUGUUCAACUAAUAAUUUUAAUGCCUUAGGUCGCUCUUUUUUUAAAGUCGUAAGAAGUCAGUUUUAAACAGUUAAAGAAGAAGAUGACCUAAUUCUCCACAUAAUUCAGUAAUUCAGAGUAAGUUGCUGUAAUUGUUAUCAAUGUUUUGCUACCACAAACCACUGUUUCUCUUUCCUUCUUUGGUAGAUUGACUGUUCUGCCAAAGUUGCUCAAUAACUAAAGAAUUAAAAUAAUAAAAUAAGGGAAAAAUGAAGAAACAAUCAAGCUGGAAAUAGACAGUUUUUGGGACCGCUGAUCGUCAAAAAUCAACUUAGUAAUAGCUCCUUGAAAAUCUGUCAAGAUUUUACUAACAUGCACAAUCACAAUAGAUGGCCCUGCAUUUCUCAGCCAUUAGAUGACUAGACCUAACGGAAGAAAAUCUCUGUUUUUCCUCUGCCGAUGUUUGCAAAUUAGACAAAGCUAAUGGUCAAACAAAAAUGGUUGGAUGAUAUGGGCAUUUGCACAUUCCAUAAUGCUAGCCAAAGAGCAUUUGUAAUGACUAUGUUUUUCCUCUGCCGAUGUUUGCAAAUUAGACAAAGCUAAUGGUCAAACAAAAAUGGUUGGAUGAUAUGGGCAUUUGCACAUUCCAUAAUGCUAGCCAAAGAGCAUUUGUAAUGACUAUCAUUAGAACCUUUGUUCAAGUAAUUCACUGGUAAUGGCAGAAGAGACUAAUUAGAUGAUAUCUGCAUUUUUGCAUCCUACAAUGCUAGUCAAAGAGCCAUUCGAAUUUUCUUCUAGUAGGUGGCGGUGGAAGAGGCAAUUGAAGGAUUGAUGGCAGAUACUCAAGCAAUUUACUGCUAUUAAUUUUCUGUUCUGCUAUCAUAUAGCGCAAUGUACAUCAGCAUGUUUUCCAUUUACUGCUAUCAUUUUGCAGGUGCACCUGCCUGGCGCAUCUUUGGAUGUUUGACAAAUGGUACUACAACUUUUUAUCCAGUGCCGAUAUCAUCUGUAGGCCGGUGUGUUGUCAAGUAUUGAUGGCGUUGAACUCCAAUUGAAAUAUGUUCUCCAGCUUCUCUCUGGUCUAAUACUUCAUUUCAAGUUCUUCUUCAUGAGAUGCUGCCUCCCUUGGCCGUUGUGUGAUUUGGUAUAUGAGUAGGAUUCUUCAAAGUAAUUGUAAUGUCACUACCUAAAUUAUGAAGAAAGCUGGCACAGAGUUAAUAGAGAAAUGCCAAAAGCAAGUUAAUCACGGCAUAACAAUGAGAAAUGUACGAAGAUAUCCCUCCAUAAGGCAUGAGGCAAGAUAUUUGGAGUUCAAUUGUAUUGGAUGCAACAUUUGCGGUUCCUUGAUUUAUGGACUUCGGCCCAGUGGGGUCCUUGAUCUCAGGGCACUAUAUUGAUUGAGUGAUAUAAUCUGAUUACCAACUAGACUAUAAGCUUGGGGCCUAGGCUGAUGAGGGUGUAAAAGCGAAUCCUGCUUGAUUUGUCGAAGCUCAUAGUACACAUGAACUUGAAAGAAAAAAGAAAGCGGAAUAACAAAAGUGGAAACAACAUGCCUCUUGACAACUUUCUUCUCUCUUCACAGAUACAGAGGAGAGCUCUAUUGCCAUGUGCUAUUGUUCGAGUUCCUGGGAGUUGGACUUUUGGAAUUCACUGGAUAAAGCAGGCCAGUAAGGGACUAGUUUCAGGUUGGUUAUGCCGAAGCUAGUGCAGAAAGGUUCCAUAUACAAUCUGCGGAGAGCUAGGAGUGACUUGCUGCAUAAUCAAGUUACUCUGGCUGUUGAUGUUGUGAUGAAGUCUCUUAUGUUUGCAGUAAGACUAGGUAUCGAAGGGCCCAAACUGCUGCAGCAAAAAGUUAAUUCUAAUUUGACAUUGGCCUUAAGUUCGUAACUGGUAAAUUUGAUGUAACAGAACGUAAAUUGGUGUGCUUGAUCUUUAGCAACUAGUCCUGUAACUGUUUUGGAUAUUUGGGCAGUUAUUAUUCAUGUUCUGGUUGGAGCUGAUGUUGUUGCUUGAGUAUUUUCCUGCUUAUCUGUCGUACUCAGCCGCCAGUAAUGGUUUGCUGAACGUGAUCACCUGUUUGUGACUUGCACUGGGUUUGGCUUCCCAGCAUGGUUUGAUGAAGAAAUGAAUUUAAAUUGCCCAUAAAAAGAUAUGUAUUUAAAAAUAUUUUCAAGCAUGAUAGGGACAUACAUUCUUGUUUGAAGAAAGACAUUGCGAGAGUCAUCCCUUCGAAAAGGUCCUCAAAUCCACUAUUUAUCAUGGUGGUAGGAGUCCCUCCUUUAAUCUGAAUACGAAAAUGAAACGUGGAUAUAAGGGGCGUGGGCACAGUAAGAGAAAAAUGGACACCAACAAUUUUGGAAAUAUUGUUGGUUUUGGAUAAACAAUAUUGAGUAGAUAAUUUUGGAAAAAAUUCAUCUAUAUGAUGAAGAUCUUUAAUUAAUCAACUUUCAAGAUGGUAGGUUAUCAUUUGAAAAGCUGGAAUUUGACAGGAGGUUUCAUUGUAGGAUAAUACUUUUUGUUCAUACCAUCAUUGGGCCAUCUACUAGCAUCGAUGUAUGGAAAUAUCACGAUGUAUACUAUUUAUACAGUAUAUAUAUCCUCAUCUCACAUAAUCAUGAAUUUUAUAUAAAUGAGAUUCAUACAAUAUGACAUAUAUAACAUGCACACUAAGUAAUUUCUUCUCGGAGAGGAGUUAUAGACUAUGUAGGAUGGCUCUUUUGUAUAUGCACCAAAACCUUAGAUCAACCCUCAAUACUUCUUUGACCACUUAACUAUAGUUGCUUAAUUCAUGUAAAAUCCUUUCCUGGAAGCAGCUUGACUGUUCAUGUAACCGUACAAGCCGUGCCAACCUCCUUUUUCACUUUUGCAAAAAGAAAAUGUGAUCACAUAAAUGGUCGAUCAAAGGAGAAAUUAUUCUAUGUACUUACAAUAUGCACUAAACUAAAUCUAGAUUGCCAAAUUUGGUGGACCACCAGUGAUUUUAAUGGUCCAUAUUCAAUUUGAUAUAUAUACUGCGCUCAUGUAAUAUAAUUUCUGCAAUCAGAAGCCAAUGGUAAGAGGAGAGUUAUCUAUGUUGGUUUCAGUAUUGCAAGAAAAUUUUCCUCUUUGGCCAUGUCCGGAGUAUAAUUUGUUAUGAGAUUUCAUACCACAUUAAUUUAUUUGUUAGUUAUCAAGAAAAUUGUCCAAAAAGUUAUAAAUCUAUUAUACGACAUUCACGUCAAUGAUUUCUAGCACUAUGAUUUUCUGGUUUCUUGUCUUUUUUUAUUUUUUGACGAGGUGGAUUUGUGAGGGAAAAAUGAAUGUUCGUUUCCGUCCCUUUAUUUUUAACUAAAACCAUAAAACUAAUUGUGAUUAGGACGGGAGGGCAUUUUUGUUAGGCACUAAAUAAAAGUAAAAUUAUUCUUCACAUUUUUUGUCAAAAUUUAUAUCACUAUGGGUAAUUGUUUAGAAAAAUAUUUCUUCUUUUAUCAAUAUUAGGUAAUUGUCUAUGAUCUUGUACAACCCAAGAGCCAAUGCAAGUGCAAUUUGUACAAUCUAAAUUUUGACAAGAUUUGGAAGUUACUACCUUUUCCAAAACCCAAUUUAGUUCGAACUACGCAUACAUCAUUUUUAUAAAGGGGCAUGCUUUUCGCACUUCUCCUUUGACUUGUACCAAUCAUUCUGCUGUGUUUUGAUCAUAUUAGCCCUUGCUUUUUCAAAUGUCAGCAUGCUCAAACGUGGUGCCCAUUGGUGUUUCUCUUUUUUAUUUGUUUGGUCUUCGUCUUCCACUUUCUCCUCCUCCUUAGUCCGCCCAAGCACAGUCCAUUUAAGUUCUUUGUAUUGUUCUACGUUCUCUUUUUUUCCCGUCUCUUUAGAAAUCUGGCAAUUCUUGCGUACCCCUAGCUUGGAUGAGAAAAAUCAUACCGAAAGUCCAUUCCAUUAUCAACGUGACUUGAAGCAUCGCUACGCCAAUCUUGCACAUCAUUAGCCGUCGGAGCCACCGAACAUUGAGUUUGCUUAUCAAUGCUGAAGCCGGAAAAGUUGCUUGAGUAAUCAUCGAUAUUGACGGAGGUGCGGAGGAUCCAGGCCAAUCAGCGAACUUGGAGGCAUCCUGGUAGUAGUGGGUGGAUGAUACGCAGGUCUUCACUGUUUGAUCAGACAAGCAGUGGACGUCGAAGAAGAAGAAGAAGCAGAGCGAGAGAGCAACAUUGUUUUUGGAGUAUUGGGAAUUGGCGCGAACGGAUUAUAAAAUUGGGAAAAGAGAGAGUGGAGAAUGGAGAUAGACUGGGCGGAUGACGAAGUGGACGGCUUGUCGUUUUGUGGGUGCACAUAUCAAAUGGAAAUGCUGAAUCUUUUUUUUUUUUUCAAUAUGAUUAAAUGGACUAAUUAAUUUAAUAAAAAUGAUUAAUUUCUUUUACCCUCCUUUCAAGCAAUGUUGGAGGGAUGCACUUGCAUCAAAAUUGAUGCAAUCAUGCAUGUGAAGGCUGAUGUCAUAUUCACAAGGAUGAUAUCACUCAUGUCCAGCAGUAUAAAUAUAAUUAUUAUGUAAUCACAUAAGAUUACGUAUAAUUGAAUAACUAUACUGAUGUAAUCUAAAUCUAUAUGUGGAUGUGAAAUGAAACUUUUAGGACAAGAUUGUUUUUACCAAUCAAACUCUUAGUGAAUGUUCGAAGUUGGCCAUCGAAUUUUCACUUAUAUUCAAAUUGAUCCUAGUACAAUGUUUUCUUUUAGGGGGUCUCUGACUCUCCAUGGUCAAGCAAUUUUAAUUGGUUUUCCCAAAGAGAGCUUACAUGGCAGCAAUUUUUUUUCCCUGAUGGAGAAUGCAAGAAAACCUUUCUUUGCAGUUAGAGGGCAACUUUUUGAGCUAUUUAGAGGUCUACAAGUAUAUGUCAUCUUCAAAGACAAUACUUACGAGUGUUGAUGCACGCUAUUUAGUAAUCCAUGAUGCAAUGGAGUCAGAACCUUUAGAAGAAAGAAUGUUACUUAAAAAAAUAAAUAAGCUGGGCAGAACUUAAACUUAUUUAUAUUUUCUAUUGUGUAUACAUUUUUUCAAUUUAACUUAAUUUACAUGUGAAAGAAAAGAGAAAAUUUGCUCUAGAAUCCAAUUUUAUGCAUUUAUUAUACCACUAAUUUCCUUACAACAUAUCUUUAGGUUAAUAUAAUCCAAGACAAAGACAUAUUUACGAUUUUGCUUUUGCAAUAUUUCCCGGGAUCACAAGCAUAAUAUUAUGACACAUUUUCUUCCUCUUAUCAAUAUUUUGACUCUUAAAUUAUUGUAUUAAUCUAAGAAGUUACAAAUAUUAUUAUUCAAACAAUCUUCGACUCUUUCUUUGAAUCACAUUUCCUUUAUUGUAGAUUACUCAUGAUUGUAAACUUGCAAAUAAAGACAUGUUCAAGUGAAGUCUGCAUCAAGUAACUAACAAACAGACCAAAAAAACCAAAAAGAGAGCUAGUGUCAUUGCUUGAGCAGUUUACUAAUCAAGUUACUAAGCUGCUAAUAAUGGUUUGCUGAAUGGGAUCACUCGCUAUGGGUUUGGCUAUCCAGCUUAGUCUGAUGAUGAAUUGAAUUUAACCGGCCCGUCCAAAAAACAAGAAAAGAAAAAUUGAAUUUCGGAAUAUUUUUUGAGCUUGACCAGGUCAAACGUCCUUCUCCGUUUACUUUAAGCAUCGUAUGCCGAACCAGGCCAACUCCGAGCAGGCAAAAACCAGAGCGAGACAGAGAGAACUUUUGCGAGAGAAGCCCCCCAAAAAACAUGGCAGCAAUCGUUGGUUCCAGCGCGUCGGCGACCCAGUACGACGUGUUCCUGAGUUCCAGAGGCCCCGACACUCGCGACACCUUCACCGACUGCCUCUACCGGGACAUGGUCGGCCAGGGGAUCGUCGCCUACAGAGACAGCGAAGAGCUUCACGCUGGUGAUCGGAUCGACGAUCUCCUGAGAGCGGUCGGCUUGUCCAAGUUCUGCGUACCGCUCUUCUCCAGUGGCAAUGCUUCGAGCGCUUGGUGCCUCCGCGAGCUCGCUCGAAUAAUGGGGCUCGACGAAGCGUAAGUAAAUGCUUAUUAAUGGACCUUUUUUCAAGCGUCAGCCGAAAUGCUAUUCUCUUAAAGUUCUUGUAAAUGGCAGUGAAAACUAGCUGGAGUGGUUCAAAAAUUCGACAGGAAAUAUAUUGGUCGAUGCGUCAUAUGCAAACCGGAUUUUGAUAUCUGAGCAGUAAAUUUCAUUUCUCACAAUAUAUAUAAUAAAACAAAAAUAAAACAGAGACAAUUCACCAAUUCUCAUACAUAAGCAGUGCCAUUAUGGCUACUGAUAGUUACAGGAGUGAAUUGGAUCUUAUUCUAGAAUGAUGUCCGUAAUCUGGACGGCAAAGAAGCAUCUUCUUUCUCAGUAAUAGGGGGAAAUUGCCGGUUUAUCUGGGACUUGAAAUAGUGAUCCAAGUCAAAUGCUAUCUGCUAGGAAGUAGUAGUGAGAUUGUUAUUUGUUUUCUUUUACUAAAAGUGUUUGGUUUGCAGCAGAACCCGUGAAGCCCUUGAGCACGAUUUGAAACAGGUUGUGCUUAAGCUGAGUGGAAACAACAGACCUCUUGGCAGCAAAUUUUUAAGUUGGGAAGUGGGUCAGACCUCUGGGGUAGACGAUAAGAGUGUCAGACGAAGGAUCACCUCAUGGCAAAAGGGUGAGAUGUUGGGAAGGGGGUCAUUUGGAGAUGUCUAUAAAGGCUUCAGCGAGUAAGAUUCCUUUGCUUUUCUCUUUGAUAAUCAGUAAGUUAUUCUUGCUAUAAGCAUUUUCUGGGGAAAAGUACAAUCAGACUUCUCCCAUUAUGAUGUUCACUUGCAGUUUUGUUGCAUUUAUGAGUGCUGCAUUCUGUGGUUGGAAUUAGGAUGACUUCUGUAUACUGUAGAACGCGUUAUCAUUUGGUUGACAUAAGGUGCCUUAAAUAGACAUGUCAAAUGGUUAUUCAAUUGCUUAAAGUGCUCGAUCUUCAUAUUUGGAUUGGAGUUCUAAGAUUAUUGGUUUUCCUUAUUGAAGACCAUUCUUGAUCAUCAAACAAAUUGAUGAAGUACAGAUCUAGUACAUUAAAUCACAUAAAUUUAGUUGUCCAUUGUUUUUCUGUACCGUUACUAGCUUGAAUAGUGAGCAAUUCUUUUGUUCUAUUUUCGAAAAAUGGAUAGCAUGAUGAAUCAGCAUGUAUUUAGAAACCAUUAUUCUAUUGUAAAUUCAAAUGUUGAAAGCUAGGGAACUAUUUUAGUUAUAUUGAUGAGAGCAUCUCUUUUUUUUUUCUUCUUUAUAUCAUCUGGAGUGCAAGAAUUAUCUAAACUAUGUCUGAUCAAGGCAUCAUUCACGAAAGAAUUGGCAUUUAUAUUCUGUCUUUCUCUCACGCUUCUCUGUUUCCACAGUGAUGGAUUCUUUUUUGCUGUAAAGGAGGUGUGUUUCUUAGAUCAAGGAAGCCACGGCUAGGAGAGCUUGUCGCAAGUAAAAGCUUUUUCUUUCUGUAAUUUGUCAACUGGUUGCUAGGCAUAUACAACCAUAAAUCUGUUGCGAGUUGAUAGAUUUUAUUUUGACUCUUUUUUUUAGUGAUGCUCUGCUUUCUUUUCAGGAAAUUUCUAUUUUAAGUCAGCUUCAACAUGAGAACAUAGUUCAAUGUUAUGGCACUAAGGAGGUGUGUUCCUUCUUUCUAAGUUGCUUUCUGCAGUAUCUUUCACUUUGGCUUCGAUUAUGAUACCACCGGAACUGAGCAAAAUGUUUAGGUGGACAUGGCUGUGAUCGCAGCCACAAGAUAGUUGUAGUUCCAUCAUCACUGCAUGAAUAAGAUCACAGCAGUUGCGGCCUUUUAGCAGUAACGGCCUAAAUGACAGACAGACAUUUUAGGUCGUCCUCCCCCCACAAGAAAAGUUUGUGAUGAAUUGACUAUCACCCGAGAUAGUAAUUAUAUGACUAAAGAACAUACACAGAGUAGAGGUCAGUUUAUGGAGUCUCCCUCUCUCUAUGAAAGCAGUUUUUUCUCUCCCAUCUAAAGAGAGCUGUCAUGUAAUCAACCCUUUCUUUUCUAGUGGUGGAUGAUAUACAAAUUAUUUAUUUUGCAAACUGAAGAUUCAGGUCAAACUCUCAGGACUAAAAAAGAGGAAUCUGAGGCUUAGAGAAAUGGCAGCCUCGGCUAAUAAAACAUAAAGGGAAAAAGGAUAGAAAAUGAAGUCAUUUAAUUCAUUAGAUAUCCUUUAAUUGACCAUCUGAUACUCACAUGACUAAAUGCCAACCUCCUUCCCUUGUCUAUAACUGGUNNNNNNNNNNNNNNNNNNNNNNNNNNNNNNNNNNNNNNNNNNNNNNNNNNNNNNNNNNNNNNNNNNNNNNNNNNNNNNNNNNNNNNNNNNNNNNNNNNNNNNNNNNNNNNNNNNNNNNNNNNNNNNNNNNNNNNNNNNNNNNNNNNNNNNNNNNNNNNNNNNNNNNNNNNNNNNNNNNNNNNNNNNNNNNNNNNNNNNNNNNNNNNNNNNNNNNNNNNNNNNNNNNNNNNNNNNNNNNNNNNNNNNNNNNNNNNNNNNNNNNNNNNNNNNNNNNNNNNNNNNNNNNNNNNNNNNNNNNNNNNNNNNNNNNNNNNNNNNNNNNNNNNNNNNNNNNNNNNNNNNNNNNNNNNNNNNNNNNNNNNNNNNNNNNNNNNNNNNNNNNNNNNNNNNNNNNNNNNNNNNNNNNNNNNNNNNNNNNNNNNNNNNNNNNNNNNNNNNNNNNNNNNNNNNNNNNNNNNNNNNNNNNNNNNNNNNNNNNNNNNNNNNNNNNNNNNNNNNNNNNNNNNNNNNNNNNNNNNNNNNNNNNNNNNNNNNNNNNNNNNNNNNNNNNNNNNNNNNNNNNNNNNNNNNNNNNNNNNNNNNNNNNNNNNNNNNNNNNNNNNNNNNNNNNNNNNNNNNNNNNNNNNNNNNNNNNNNNNNNNNNNNNNNNNNNNNNNNNNNNNNNNNNNNNNNNNNNNNNNNNNNNNNNNNNNNNNNNNNNNNNNNNNNNNNNNNNNNNNNNNNNNNNNNNNNNNNNNNNNNNNNNNNNNNNNNNNNNNNNNNNNNNNNNNNNNNNNNNNNNNNNNNNNNNNNNNNNNNNNNNNNNNNNNNNNNNNNNNNNNNNNNNNNNNNNNNNNNNNNNNNNNNNNNNNNNNNNNNNNNNNNNNNNNNNNNNNNNNNNNNNNNNNNNNNNNNNNNNNNNNNNNNNNNNNNNNNNNNNNNNNNNNNNNNNNNNNNNNNNNNNNNNNNNNNNNNNNNNNNNNNNNNNNNNNNNNNNNNNNNNNNNNNNNNNNNNNNNNNNNNNNNNNNNNNNNNNNNNNNNNNNNNNNNNNNNNNNNNNNNNNNNNNNNNNNNNNNNNNNNNNNNNNNNNNNNNNNNNNNNNNNNNNNNNNNNNNNNNNNNNNNNNNNNNNNNNNNNNNNNNNNNNNNNNNNNNNNNNNNNNNNNNNNNNNNNNNNNNNNNNNNNNNNNNNNNNNNNNNNNNNNNNNNNNNNNNNNNNNNNNNNNNNNNNNNNNNNNNNNNNNNNNNNNNNNNNNNNNNNNNNNNNNNNNNNNNNNNNNNNNNNNNNNNNNNNNNNNNNNNNNNNNNNNNNNNNNNNNNNNNNNNNNNNNNNNNNNNNNNNNNNNNNNNNNNNNNNNNNNNNNNNNNNNNNNNNNNNNNNNNNNNNNNNNNNNNNNNNNNNNNNNNNNNNNNNNNNNNNNNNNNNNNNNNNNNNNNNNNNNNNNNNNNNNNNNNNNNNNNNNNNNNNNNNNNNNNNNNNNNNNNNNNNNNNNNNNNNNNNNNNNNNNNNNNNNNNNNNNNNNNNNNNNNNNNNNNNNNNNNNNNNNNNNNNNNNNNNNNNNNNNNNNNNNNNNNNNNNNNNNNNNNNNNNNNNNNNNNNNNNNNNNNNNNNNNNNNNNNNNNNNNNNNNNNNNNNNNNNNNNNNNNNNNNNNNNNNNNNNNNNNNNNNNNNNNNNNNNNNNNNNNNNNNNNNNNNNNNNNNNNNNNNNNNNNNNNNNNNNNNNNNNNNNNNNNNNNNNNNNNNNNNNNNNNNNNNNNNNNNNNNNNNNNNNNNNNNNNNNNNNNNNNNNNNNNNNNNNNNNNNNNNNNNNNNNNNNNNNNNNNNNNNNNNNNNNNNNNNNNNNNNNNNNNNNNNNNNNNNNNNNNNNNNNNNNNNNNNNNNNNNNNNNNNNNNNNNNNNNNNNNNNNNNNNNNNNNNNNNNNNNNNNNNNNNNNNNNNNNNNNNNNNNNNNNNNNNNNNNNNNNNNNNNNNNNNNNNNNNNNNNNNNNNNNNNNNNNNNNNNNNNNNNNNNNNNNNNNNNNNNNNNNNNNNNNNNNNNNNNNNNNNNNNNNNNNNNNNNNNNNNNNNNNNNNNNNNNNNNNNNNNNNNNNNNNNNNNNNNNNNNNNNNNNNNNNNNNNNNNNNNNNNNNNNNNNNNNNNNNNNNNNNNNNNNNNNNNNNNNNNNNNNNNNNNNNNNNNNNNNNNNNNNNNNNNNNNNNNNNNNNNNNNNNNNNNNNNNNNNNNNNNNNNNNNNNNNNNNNNNNNNNNNNNNNNNNNNNNNNNNNNNNNNNNNNNNNNNNNNNNNNNNNNNNNNNNNNNNNNNNNNNNNNNNNNNNNNNNNNNNNNNNNNNNNNNNNNNNNNNNNNNNNNNNNNNNNNNNNNNNNNNNNNNNNNNNNNNNNNNNNNNNNNNNNNNNNNNNNNNNNNNNNNNNNNNNNNNNNNNNNNNNNNNNNNNNNNNNNNNNNNNNNNNNNNNNNNNNNNNNNNNNNNNNNNNNNNNNNNNNNNNNNNNNNNNNNNNNNNNNNNNNNNNNNNNNNNNNNNNNNNNNNNNNNNNNNNNNNNNNNNNNNNNNNNNNNNNNNNNNNNNNNNNNNNNNNNNNNNNNNNNNNNNNNNNNNNNNNNNNNNNNNNNNNNNNNNNNNNNNNNNNNNNNNNNNNNNNNNNNNNNNNNNNNNNNNNNNNNNNNNNNNNNNNNNNNNNNNNNNNNNNNNNNNNNNNNNNNNNNNNNNNNNNNNNNNNNNNNNNNNNNNNNNNNNNNNNNNNNNNNNNNNNNNNNNNNNNNNNNNNNNNAUAUAGGAUAUUUUAACCAGAUUCCCCACAGACAACCCUACCAAAAAGCAAAUAAAAUGAAAUGUUUAGACUCCUCUCACCUAAUAAUUUAAUCUUUUGCGUUCGGAAAUGGUUUCAGAGCCAUGUUCUGUCUUAAUUUAUUUCUGUGCGGGGCUCCUUUUCAUCAAUUCUGUGUGCACUUCUCAGACCGGUUUUCACUUGAGAGGUCUUAAGAUAUUCAACAGUGCUUAUUUAUGUGUUUUCAAAUACUUUUCAUCUCCCAUUACUUAGUAACUUAAAUUUUGGGUUGGAUAUUCUAACAUAUAUAAUUUUCUUUACUCUCUUCUAGGAUGAUAAGNNNNNNNNNNNNNNNNNNNNNNNNNNNNNNNNNNNNNNNNNNNNNNNNNNNNNNNNNNNNNNNNNNNNNNNNNNNNNNNNNNNNNNNNNNNNNNNNNNNNNNNNNNNNNNNNNNNNNNNNNNNNNNNNNNNNNNNNNNNNNNNNNNNNNNNNNNNNNNNNNNNNNNNNNNNNNNNNNNNNNNNNNNNNNNNNNNNNNNNNNNNNNNNNNNNNNNNNNNNNNNNNNNNNNNNNNNNNNNNNNNNNNNNNNNNNNNNNNNNNNNNNNNNNNNNNNNNNNNAAACGUAUAUUUUUGUUUCAUGGCUCACCCGCUUGGUGCCUUUUGAUGAUUACUUAUUUUACCUACCCAAAUAUCAUUCUGGAAAUAAGGGAGUCGUCCAAUCCUUGAACCAAUAGGUAGUGUCAUGAGAAUGAUUUUGUAGAGCAGCUUAGACAAGAUUAUCUUACUAUGUGAAUGCUUGAAGGUGGAAAUGUGAAUUUGCAAUAUUGGUAACUGUGCGGGCGAUUAUAACUGUUUGUAUAUUCUAGGCACAGCUAUGCUGAAUUCUCAUGCUUCCAGUUCCUCCAAUCUGUAGGGAUAUUAAAUGUGCUAACAUAUUGGUUGAUGCAAGAAGUUGUGUGAAACUUGCAGACUUUGGAUUGGCAAAGGUAUGUCUCAUCAGCGAAAGUGAAUUCUCUCUCUCUCUCUCUCUCUCUCUUGGGGGCUCGCACAUGUGCGAUCAUCAAAGAUGCAUGUACAGCUACAUGCGUGUGUAGGAAUUUUCACAGGCAUUGAAGUAGUGCAGCACACAUACAAUUGGAUGAGUGCAUGACAAACACACGUAUAGACAUGCACAAAGUGACAUAUAUUGUCCUUUACUUUUCUAAAAUGACAUAUCAACUUUCUGUGUUUAUUCAUACAGGUAAUCAAAAAGAAUGAUGCUAAAUCCUCCAAAGGAAGUCUUCGUUGGAUGGCACCUGAGGUUUGCACUGUCUGCUGCCAUUUUUUUUGGCAUACUUUAAUUAGUUGUGUUGCAUGGCUUUUACUUUUCUUUCAUCCUUGUUGGUUGUGAAUGCAGGUCGUCAAUCCAAAAAACAAAAGCUAUGGAUCGGCACCUGAUAUUUGGAGCCUAGGGUGCACUGUUUUAGAGAUGUUAACCCGCCGGUAUCCAUAUUCCCACUUAGAAGAAGUAUGUAAUUAAGAACCUUCAUUUCAUGUUUUAUAUCCUUGAGAUCUAUGUUUUGCCAGAAUUAUUAACUAGUCGCAACUUUUUUGUUAUUGCUACAUUUUAUGUGGGCUUGCUAAGUUAAGCGCAUGUUGUGACUAGUCAAUUCGGCCAGCAUUCUGAGAAAAAGAAAAUGAGCAGGAGCACUACGUAGAAAAGAGAGAGGACAGAGAAUUCAAUGAUAAUUAUCAAGAUUAUCGUAAUGUCAAAGGAUAUGCAUAGUAUUUAUGGCCAACAGUUGCUUGAAACUCUGGAGCAAAUGGUUAUGUAACAUGGUCUGAAGCCUCUGUUGAAUGUCUGAAUCUUGACUUUCUCAUUUAAAUUAUUUGGCAUUAUUGUCUAAUACUUUUAAUUACUAGUAUAAGUUCACAACGGCAUAAGUUUAGAUAAUCGCAUACUGACAUCUGUAUAUAGUUCCCCACCAAUAGAUAUGGGGUAUGCAUAUAACCCUAACAUUCAGGCUCAAAACUCUCUCCACCUUCUCCUUCAAUGUCACAUGGUACUUGAGCAGCCGAGAGAGAUUGAAAUCCUAAUAUUGGCAUCGCAAUCUGUGCUCCAGAGCAGCACUGACAGUGAUUGCUUCAUCUUCCCUAGUGUGUCCUUUAAUUGUGUGGUUGUCCUCUAAUCUGUCGCUCGCCACUAUCAACUUUGGUGUUUCUGCCAUUGCCCUUGAGUGUUGAUCCCUCUCUGCUCUUCUUUGGAUAAAUUGUUGACCUAAAUGGUUGUCUCCUCUGCUAGAUUUUGUCACUUUCGAUAUUAAUCGUAAAUUCUCCGUACUUGUAGUAAGGUUUCCAUCUGGGAUGGUAUUUACUGGCUCUAGCCAGCAAAUUACUUUAUGGUGUUAUCCCCUUUUUAGGCAUGACAGCAUGGAAACGCCCUUUUGUUGAUAGAAUGGCUGCUGCUGAAGUUUGGAGUGCUCUUGUCUUCCUAGUGAAUUGCGAAUGUUGCACUUCUCUCAUGCUCAUUUUGGAUUUAUUUAUUAUAAUGGAGAAAAAAAUAAUACCAUCCUACUCAAAGCCAUUGUCAAAACAUGCAACUAACACCCCCUUUUUUUUCUUUUUUAAAUUUAGGACACUAAUAAUUUUGAGCAAAAAGUAAUACAUACUUAUGCUUUAUUGGGAGCAGUUGGAAAACAUUAAUUUUGUUGGUCCUUGUGAACUGUUUACCUGUCAUCCAUGGUCUCCCACUUAAGCAAUAACUGUGAUUCUAGAACGAUUUGGUAGAUGAUUGCCUGAAGCAUGAUGCACUUAUAUUUGUCUACAUAUCUUAUUGAUUUAUGCAGCUAUCACAUGUUAGUUCCCCCAGGAUUUAUGAUUAAUACUAGCCUCUGCCAUGUUCUCUCUUAUUGUGGCAGGCACCAGCAGUGUACAAAAUUGGCCAGGGUGAACUUCCUCUAGUUCCCGAUUUUUUAUCAAGCGAUGCACGAGGCUUCAUCUUAUGUUGCUUGCAAGUAGACCCAAAUAAGCGGCCUUCUGCAGCGGAGUUGCUUGGCCAUCCCUUUGUGAGGAAUGCUUCUUCUGGUUUUGCCUUAGCUCAUUUCAACAAUGUACAGUCAUAAGGUUUUGCUAGGCCAUCCCUUUUGGUCCAUGGCUGAAGGUAAUUUUACACUUUCUGUUAUUUUGCUGUUGCAUCGCUAGUGAGAGUAUUCUUCUUUUGGGCUAAUGGCAAAAUAGCUUCAUUAAAUUACCACAUUUGUACGGUUUACUCAAUAAAUUUAUAACUUUUAAUGGUCUGCACUAAACUUUUAACUUGGAAUAAAUAGUCCGCAGUCUAUGUUCAGUUUCCCAAUUCACUUACAAACAUUUCACAUUUUACAGCUCUCUGCAUAAGCUUUAAUGUUUCCACCAGAUUGUCCUGAACCUCUUCAAAAUACUCACUUAUAGUGGUCAAUUGGUAUGCCAUGGGUUAAUUUGUCUUUACCUAGGGGAGUAGUAGGUGCAAUUAAUCAUCAAGCCAUGAAAACAACCAUAAUUGCAGUUUCCCUUUGCAUAUAUUAGAACUUGGGAAAGUUGAUGGACCUCGUGAAUGGUCUUAGACAUGAUAUUUACAAUUCCCAGAUAAACAGCACACUGUUUAAUCAUUAUGCUAGACAUUCGGAUAGGAGAAACAGAAUGCUGCAAUAUUCAGGUUUCUCUGGUUUUGAUUUUAUCAUAGGCUUUCCUCUACUUAAAUUGUUGUUAGUGCACUCGCAAUGCUGCUGCAAUUCUUUGAACCGCUCAGUGGUCAGCAGCAUGUUGAUAACCGGCAAACACUCCCAUGGCAGGGCCAAGCUUACGAUGUUAUGCUUUCUUUUUGCCAGAUGGGAAUGCCUUUGGCAGCAAUGGCCAUCUAAUAAUUCGGAGAAGAUUGUGGUACCUUGCAAAUGGUCUUGGGCUGCAACUGAUUUUAUGGCGUCUUUGUUCUGCUUGCGUUAACAUCUUGUUUAUCUGGGAAUUGUCAUGUCAUGUUGUAUAUUUCCCGUUGGAAAGAAGGGAAGGAAACAAAGAUGUUGGCGAUGACAAGUUUUCUGCUUUUACGAAGCGUAGAUAGGUGCACAGAACUUAUACAGGAUUUGUAAUCAAUUAAGAUUGGAUGCGCUUGAGAUUCGCAAUGGAAGGCGCAUUUUGUUUCCUUUUUAUUUGUUUGAUAUGGGACCAUGUUUGGUAAAUUCAAAUGUUUUUUUUUUUUAUCAAUGACGUGUUGAUGAGCGCUUGUAUCGUAUUGAAAAUAUUGUAUGGACAAAGGUUCGGUGAUGCAGGAGCAAAUUCGACAUAUAGGAGAGGUUUUGUCACAGCCUGCUGCCUGGACAAAUCGGUCUGCACAGUGCACACCUCGGUCGCUGAAAAUAGUUUUCGUGAUGCCGCUGGUCACAAGCACCAAUACGAAGAAAAAUAACUCUUGUUUAAGAAGUCUUGAGUUCAAAUGAUAUCAAGGUUUCUUUCGACAAAAAAAAAAAGAUAAUAAAAAGGCUCAACUUAUUUCUGAUUUGACCCUAAUUACAGUCCCAUCGUCAUCCUGCCACUGUGUUUAUCUCGCCCCCACAAAGCCGUAGCAGCUGCUCCAGAUCGACACCUCCAUCAGCACGUCCGUCAUCGCCAUCCCCAUCUCCACUUGAUCAUUCGACCGUCAGGAUGAUUUCGUUGUUUCACAUCUAUCAAUCACGGCCCCUCUUUCUGGUUUCUGUCGAUCAUUGAAAUUAACAGCUUGAUAGCGGAGUUUUACUAUGUUUCAAUCCACCUUAAAAUAUUUUGACAAUCGAGGCACCCUUUUACUCCUAGCGUUUGAAAUCAACUUUUAAAUUUCUAUUGGAUAUUCUCACACCAUGAAGUAAUCAAAGAUGCUCUAUUCUCAGAUCACGUUUAAAAGCAAUUCUCAGAGCACAAAAUACGCUACUAUUGCUUUUAUUGUACAUGAAGAUGUAUUCCAAGUUGGAUGUGAACAUUGCAAAUGAAGAAACAUUCCUUCUGGCAUUACGUCAACUCACUUGAACCUUAGAAUUGGUGCAUCAAGAAUUAGAUUGUAAUGCCUCAAAUAUGGCUAUAAAUCAACCCUGCAAAGUUUGACAGGAUGGCUGAUUCAUUUUGAAAUGAUGGCGAGAGGACUUUUUUUUUUGGUCGGAAGAAAAUUUAUUCAUUUAAGUAGAUACUCUGAAGUGUCCCAAACAAGGUGAAUCUAAACAUAAGAGAGCCCAUAGGGCUUGCGGGGGAACCUAAAACCAAUUCUGUGGAAGAAAACCAAGAUUCUUGUGUUUUGCAAUCCAAUCUACCACUACAUUUGAGGCCCGCAGACAAUGGGCUACGCUGAUUGAGGGGUGGGCCUUGAGAAAUUGAAGAGUCGUUGAUUGAGAGACGUUCUUCCCAUCUGAACUGAUCUGCAGAUUCAUUUAUCAAGGUUUUAACUAAAUCCAUGCGAUUAGAUUCUAUAGUGAUCAGAUUUGGAGAGCUUCAAGUACGACUGGGGUUUUAGCUUGAGAUGCCGAGGAGACCUUCACUGAUUUAGCAGUAACAAUCGCUCCCUUGUAAUCUCGACAUAUACCAGCUAUGGCGCCAUCCACAGAACCAUCAAUAAAGGAAGUAUCAACAUUAAUUUUCAGAGCUUUCUUCCUAGGUGUCGCCCAGGCCUUCAACUCAGUAAAGGUAGGAUUUUUCCUCAAUUCCGGUUUUUGAGAGUUCCAUUUUCUGUAGUUUGCUUGCGAGAAUAACGAUGAUUCAACCGUUUCUUGCGAGUUUGGAUGUUUACCCUGAAAAACGAAAUUGUUUUGGGCUUUCCAAAUGCUCCAUAAAGAGGACGCCACCAAAGACACAGGAAAAAUCAGCUCCUUCUACAGCAAAUUCCAUUAGCCAUGACUCAAUCCUCGUGAUCUUCUUGUAGUUGAUUUUGAUCUUCAUAUUAGUGUCAGCCCAGAUACCUUGAGUCCAGGGGCAACGUAUAAAGAUGUGCUCAAUCGUCUCCUUUUCCCGUUAUAGAGGGGGCAUAUCGGGUCAGGUAUGAUAUUCCUCUUCCAUAGGUUCUCUUUUAAGGGGACUGCAUUUGUACAAAGAGACCAUGGGAAAACUUUUACCUUAUGGAAGGUCUGCAUGUCCCAUAUAGCUUUCCAAAGUGUUUUGGGAUUUUGGUAUGAAGAGGAAGCUUGUUUAGGAUUGCACUUCUGUUCAAUCUCUUUUCUGAUGAUGUUGUAGCCGUUUUUAACAGCAUAGCUACCUGAUUUGGUGCCUAACCACACCAAUUUAUCCUGUGCAUAGUAUGCUCUAACGGGGAUUGUUUGAAUCUCCCGCACUAAUUGCUCAUCAAAAAGAUCCUCUAGCUUUCAAGUACUCCAUUUUCCUUCCUCAGCCAAGAUCAGUUUUGGUGGCAAAACUGGGUCAUUUCUGUUUGGUGAUCCCCCAAUUAAGCCACUUUUUAACCAUUUCUGCUCUUUGAUUAUUACUUAUUUACCAUUCCCAAUUGACCAACUAACUGAGUUGGCAAUGGAAUCCCUCCCUAAUAACAAACUUUGCUGUCCCCAAGAAGGCUUGGAACCUCUUUUAGCUUGCCAAAAAUCUCCUUGAUGAAAGCAAAUGCCUUUGAAGAACUUGCCCCAGAGAGAAUUAGGAUUCUAUGCUAGUCUCCAUGCUUGUUUACCAAGCAUGGCCUUAUUAACUGAUAUAAGAUCUCUAAACCCCAUGGCCCCUUGGUCCUUCCUCAGCUUCAGAAUGUCCCAUUUUUUCCAAUGAAGUAUUGUUUUGAAAUCUGUUGUUUUCCACCAGAAAUUGGCAAUCCUUCCCUCAAUUGCUUUGCAAACUGAAAUAGGUAUUUUGAAAAUCGACAUAGCAUAGUUUGGAAGGGCUUGUACGACUGUUUUCAGAAGAAUCUCCUUUUCAGCUUUAAAAAAUAAUUAUUCCUUCCAACCUUCUAAAUUAGCAUUUACUCUUCCAAGAAUCCAAGCAAACAUAUUUCUCUUCAACGUGCCCUAGUCUGAAGGAAUACCUAAGUAUUUGCCUAUGUGGCCAAUCUCAACUCCUUCGCCAUGUUUCCUAUUAGUAGAUGAGGACGCCCCUUGCUAAAAUAAAUGCCUGACUUGUUUAAGUUUAUGGCUUGGCCUGAUGCAUAACAAUAUUGAUUAAAUAUCGUUGAAAUAUUCUGGCAUUCCGUUAUGCUUCCAUCUAAGAAAAAAAUGAAAUCAUCAGCAAACAAAAGGGGUGAUAGUGUCGGACUGAAUCUGUUCAGUUUGAUAUCCUUAAUAAUUCUAUUUGCCACUGCUUUAUUCAUCAUGAAAGAUAAAUAGUUAGCCAGAAGAAUAAAAAGGUAUAGUGAGAGAGGAUCUCCUUGCCUAAUGCCUCUUGAGGGAUUAAAAAAUGGGAGGGAUUCCCCAUUAAACUUCACACUGAAUGAGACGGUUCUCACACAGUACAUAACCCAAGUGAUCCACUUGUCUUCAAAACCCAUUUUGAUCAUACAAGCUUUUAGAAAAUCCCACUCUACUCGAUAAUAGGCUUUUUGCAUAUCUAAUUUUAAAACUGCUUGAAAUUUCUUUUGUCAAUUAUUGGUUCUCAACUAAUGCAGGACCUCUUGUACAAUAAAAAUGUUGUCUUGUAUUGGCCAACCACACACAAAGGCACUUUGUUCUUCAACAAUCAAAUCAGGUAGCCACAUCUUCUGUCUAUUGGCUAAAAUCUUUGAAAUAAUCUUAUAAAUAAAAUUGCAUAGGUUGAUUGGGCACUAUUCUUCCAGCUUUUCUGGGUCAGGAAUCUUUGGAACAAGAGUUAUAUGGGUUCUGUUUAGCCUUGGGUCAAGAAUUCCUGUUGCAAAGAAAGACUGGACAGUGGUGAGCACAUCCCUUUUUAUAAUAUCCCUAUGGUGUUUAAAGAAUAUACCAUUCAGCCCAUUUGGUCUAGGUGCUUUAGUUGCUCCAAGCUGAUAAUUGCCUUCCGAACUUCUCCAUAGUCACUUCAGCAGUAAGUUUUUCAUUUACUUCAGCUUUGACUAAACAUGGGAAGUGGUCUAUUACCAGGAUAAUAGUUCUUGGCCCAACUGAGGAAAACAAGUUUUGAAAAUCUUAUGUUGUUCGCUGCUUCGACAUUUUUUCAUCCCUAAUCUACUUAUCAUCAGGUCCUUUCAGUAUGGUUAUUCUAUUUCUAUUGCGGCGCUGAAUUGUAAUAGUGUCUUGUCCUCCCACUUAUGCCAAUUGACUCUUGAUCUUAAUCCUUAGUACAUCUCUUCUCUCCUCCAAAUAUCCUUCAACUCCCGUUUAAUACUUUGCAUUUUAUUCUUUUCAAAGGAAGAGUUUGAACUAUUUGUAAUUACUUGAAUUUCCUGGUUUAGCUCCUUUAUCCUAUAAGAAUUGUUGGUAAAUUUCUGUUUACUCCAUAAUUGUAAUUCCUUAGUCACCCUUCCUAAUUUCACCACUAUUUUCUCAUCUCCAUCAUCAUCCAUAUUCCAGGCUUUGGAUACAACACCUAGAGAUUCAGGAUCUUCCACCCAGAAAGCUUCAAAUUUGAAAUCCUUACCUUUUUUCACUAGCUAAUUCACUAUAGAAAGCAGUAAAGGGCUAUGGUCAUAUCCCACCGUUGGUGAGCAUAGGCCUCCGCUGCAGGGAAUGUAAGACGUCACUAUAAAUUGCAAACCACUCGAUCUAGUUUUUCCUUCACAUAAUCAGCUCCUUCCCUAUUGUUUACGCAUGUAAAAGCACGCCCCUUGCAAACUACUUCAUCAAAGAGUAGUCAUUCAGACAAUCCGAAAAGCAACUAACGAUAAUUCUCUGCCAUUCGUUUUCCUUCCCACAGAAGGCUAUCAAACCUGCUUACUUGCCUUAAUCUAUCCCAAAGAAGUAGUCUGUCUUUAAAAUCAUUUGGGGCAUGAACAAAAGAAAUCCGCAUUCUGACCUUAUCAGCAGGAACAGUAAAUAAGACGUUAAUCAUCUCUGUUGAUGCCUAUUCAACAUCGAACGAUAUGUCAUCAUUCCACAAAACAGCAAGUCCCCCUGUAAUCCCAAUCGGGUUCACAACAAAACAGAAAUUAAAUUUUAAUCUUCAUGCCCGAUGAUAGUACCAUUAUGCACUUGGUCGCCUUACUGGCUUUGCCCUACUGUUCACGAAUGCUUGUCAAGCAAACGACUGUAAUGUUUGGACUUUAGGACAUGUUGAAUAGAUCAUAUUUACAUUUUCUUGUCCUCAAAUAUGGGUAGAAGACUAACUCGUCUUUUCCUGUUCUAGGAGGAUGAAAUGGAGAAAGAUUCAGAAAAUGAAAAAAAGAAAAUGACUGAUUGAUUGUUCCAUAGGCAUAGUACAACGUAUCUGCAAGCCCUCGUGAUUUUUUCAAGAGAGAAGUCUUCGGAGGCAGACAGGAUAAGUACAUUGUCGUGCAUGAUAAUGCAGACAUGUUGUCAGGAAAAACUGAGUGGAUCUCUAUGCAUUAUGUUUAAGGGAAUAAAAGCUAAAUCGAUGGUUCCAAGGGAAUACUUGCACUCUUCUUGAUAAACUCAAGUGCAUUGUGGUCGAGGGAUAGGUUUCCUGGACACAGGAAUGCAGUUUGCAUAUGGAAUCUACUCUGCUUUGAGGAUUUGCUAACUGUCCAUCCGUUGAAAGAAAAGUCAUUCCCUUUGGGAGCAUCAGAUCGCUUGCCACAUUUGAUACAUUUAUCUCAGUAAAGGAAUGAUUCUACCAAAAUUUCUCAAAUAACUGAAGGGUGUAAAAAACCAAGAGGAGAAAUGAAGUAAAAAACAAGCACAAGUAGGCAAUUUAAAGGUGAUCAUUAAAUCAAUCUAGCACGAGCUCCUCCAAAAUCUGUCCAGAUAACAAACACGUGCAAUCCUUGGCCCUACCAUUACACUGUCACGGAUGGCUAGAUAUAAGAGGAGAAAGCAUUUGUCUUUCCGUUGCCAAUGUUUAUGAGGUGGACAAAACUUAUGGUAGAAGAGACUAAUUAGAUGAUACCCGCAGGCAAUUCUACUUUCUUCUAGGAGGAAAUUUUAGUGGCAGAAGCAGAGGGCACAGACUACUGACUAUGUCAUCUCANNNNNNNNNNNNNNNNNNNNNNNNNNNNNNNNNNNNNNNNNNNNNNNNNNNNNNNNNNNNNNNNNNNNNNNNNNNNNNNNNNNNNNNNNNNNNNNNNNNNGUACAAAGGAUUUUAAUGGUCUAUUGGCCACAUAAGAGGUUGCUACCUCAAAUUGCAAUUUUGGUUGCAAUAAGUUAUCAUGUUUAUAUGUUUUAUUAAUUCUAUGUAUAUAAAUUAUAUAUAAAAAAAUUUGGUUCGGUCCGGUCGGUCCGGUUCGGUCCGGUUCCCACCUUGAAACCGGGAACCGGACCGACCGGCCACCGGUUCCAAGAUUAGGAACCGGGGACCGAACCGCUGACCGUGGGAACCACCCAAAACCGACCGGUCCGGUCCGGCCGGUUCCCGGUUCGGGCGGUUCCCGUUGCACACCCCUAGUCCUGAUGAGCAGUCACAUUGCCAACUCCUUGAGCAAUUCGCAGAAAUCGUCAAAAAGCAUGGCAUUAUGCUUUCUCAAAGGAAAAUGAAUAUUGCCCAAACAGAGAUUGAAUUUCUUGGUAUGUACCUCAACAAAGGUACGUACUACCCAGGGCCACGUAUUGCUCAAGAAUUAUUGAAGUUUCCUGAAGAUAACUUCACUACAAAACAAGUUCAGCAAUUUCUUUGGAUAAUCAAUUAUCUCAGGGAUUUUGUCCCAAACAUUGCAAAGCUCCUGAUUUCUUUGCAAUCCACGCUAAAGAAGAAUCCCCCACCUUGGGGAAAAACCUAGACUAAAGCAGUUGCUGAGCUUAAGGAGAUUAUGCAGAAUCUCCCACCAUUGCAAAUACUAUCAACAGGAAAAAAUAUUUCUUCAAACUGACGCUAGUGAUGAAUAUUGGGCAGCCAUCCUGUUCGAAGAAAUUGAUGGUAAGAGACACCUUUGUGCUCAUAAAAGUGGAAAGUUUUUUCCAGCCUGGUAGGAUCCUCCAAGAAAUGCAUCUUGGGUAGGUUAGAAACGAUUCCAUCCUGGAAUGUUUGGGUGUCUCUAGGCUCUGAACUAAAGGGCUGAGUAAUUUUCUGCUAAAAAGUCGUCCCUGAAGGGCUUGAACGGGAGUUGUUCGCCCACUAUGGGAUGCAUACCUGCAGGAAAUUAACUCAAUACUUCAGAUUUAAGAGAAAUCAAAUAGACACAUCCGAAUCGAGUAUAAUUGUCUAUAAAUAUGAUGAAAUAAACACCUCACGAGCCAUGGACGAGCAAGGCUUGCGGAUGAGCCAACAUAUUUGUGCACGCGGUCAUGGUCAUGUUGGGAGGUUAGAAAUGAUGCUUCUUUUUCCUUUUUGUAUGAACUCCAUGUGGGGUUAUAUGUGGUCGGGCCUCGAACUCAAUCUAUGCGAGAAUUUCCCCUCCUGCGAUCCUUUCCCGUUUGGAUGUUGCUAAAUUUGGGGACGCGACUGUUAGACGACAUUAGAGUGUGAUGUGGGCAUAUUUUGUCAAUGUUACGAAUUCUUUUCUUUUCUUUUCCUUUUGUCCAUGGUAGCAUCCAUGUCAAUAAAAUGCCCUGACGUCAAUAGACAAUUAUAGCAGCUGGGUUUGGCCAAAUAUGGUGUUGGAAGAUCUUCAUUUGACUAUUUGUGCAAGUAGAAGGUUUUUUGUUAGAAAAAUACAAGUACCGGGAUUUGAUUAGAAAAAGCGUAGAAGCGUGGGACGACAACUGUUUUUUUUUCUUUUCUUUUCUUUUUUUUACUUCUAAUUAAUGACUAUUUCAUUGGAACGCUUUGUUGUUAUUUCAAGAUGGAGCAAACUUUUUUUAUUUUGAUAGAGCUGUAUUUAGCUCUACGAGAUCAUGUAAAUAGACCGCUUGUCCUGAAUAUUUACUUACCACUCAUAACAUGUCACUCUCCUUGAAUAUUGUCAUAUUGCUUCGCUAUGCAUUGCGUAGUACCUGAACAUGUAUUUACUACUCAAGAACCUGUCACUUCUCUUGGAACUGUACUAACGAAGGAAGAGAAUUCUGCUUGAUUCAUCGCAUUGGUUGGGCCAAGCUUGAUAAAUACAAGAAAUAUUGGGCCUUAUAAGUAAGAAAAAAGCGCAUAGAGCACACUAACUUGUGGAUAAGCCCACUAUAAUAAGCCCCGUGACCUCAUUCUACAUUAUACAAAUGUCCUUUGGCAACGUAUGCCUUCUCUAUCUUUAUCCUCUCCUUCUGCAAAAACGAGAGGCUAAAGAUAAACGUCCGACCGCUUCUUUUUUUAUUGGCAGUGCGAAUUCUUCAGAGCAUUCGGGUCCGUUACUGUCCAGUUGCGGAUCCGCACAAUUCGUGCGUCAACAAAGCUUAGUCCCACUAAUUAGAUUUUAUCAUACUGAUCUACUCUUCUUAAUAUGUUCUUCACAUAUCAAAUUAUGCAAUAGGGCAUGCCAUAUAAUGAAGAACUUGAAACAAAGACUUAUUUAUGUUGACACUUGCAUCAUCGGGUAAACUUCUAUCCAAUGACACCAACAACUUAGAAUUUGAAUGGAUCUGAAUUUAUAACUUAACUACGAAAUUUCAAUAAAGUUUGUAUUAUGGUUUAUGGGAUAUUGGGAGCACACACGUAGCUCCUAUCUUUCUCUAUCUAUUAGAGUGCGUUUGGCAAUGAUUCUGCUCCUAAGAACAAUUUUUUAUUAGAAAUUUUUUAUUAUGUUUCCAGCAACAAAUUUUGAGUAAAAGAGCGUAUUUGAUAACUAUAUAAAAUUUUUAUUCUCAUGAUAGAAAUGUGUUUGGUAGGAUUCUAAAAUUUUUUUAUGAGGUUCGACGAGGCUCUACCUCGCCUAGGCGGCACCAGGUCGGCCUCGCCCUAGCCUAGCAAGUCCCAACCGGCGAGGUCACUAGCCCUCGUCUAGCCAGUCACCGGUCAUGGCCGAGGCCAUCGACUGGCCAAAAGGAAGAAGAAGAAAAUGAAAGAGAAGAAGAAAAAAGAAGAAAAAAGAAAAAAAAAAUAGACUUGAUUUUAGGAAUUAUUCUCGGAAUCAAGACGCAACUUUUCUUUACUUUUUUAUUUUAUUCCAAAUCUAUUUUCAAGGAAUAAUUUUUUUUUUUGUUUCCAAAAAUAAAAGAUUUACUGAACUGACUUUUGUUUUUUUUUUAUUCCCAAGAAUAAAAGAGUGGAAUUAGUUGUUUACGGGAGUGUUAUCAAAUAGACCCUUAGUUGCUCCGCUCUCUGUAUUUUGUUCUUCCCUUUUCCUCUCUUGCUUUCCGUGCUAGUCUCUCUCCCUUAUUUUCUUCUCUUCUUUACGCUCCCCUCUCUUUUUCCUACUCUCUCUCCUUUGCUUUCCGCGCUAGUCCCACAUGUUCCCCUCCUUUUGACUAACUCUCUCCUUCCUUUUUCCUCCCUUUUUUUCCGCCCUCUUUCCCCAUUAAUAUUAAUGUUGUGACGAAGUUUCUUAUGUUUGCCGUAAAGACUUAGCAUCAAAGGAAACGAGCUGCUGUAGCAAAAAGUUGAUUCUGAUUUGGGAUUGACCUUAAGUUCUAAAUGGCAAAUUCAGUUUACCAAAACAUGACUUGGGGUGCUUGGCCCCUAAUAGCUAGUCCUCCAUACUCUUUGUUGUCUCCAUUAAUUCUAUCUUUAUCAGCAUUUUUUAGCAAUUAGCUUUGCCAUCCAAUACUCAGGUCAAACCUUGGUUAUUAAUAGCACACCCAUCCCACUCCACCGCUCAAGCCGUUUCUCCCGUUAAACUUCUUAAUUUCUAUUUUUGUUCCACACAAAAUUAGAAUAACAGAAUUUCUAGACAACAAUUAGACAAAUGAAAGCUCCAAAGCAAAACUCGAUAAAUCCUAAUCUUAACUUUGAUGUUAAUUGUUGUAAAAUUAAAGUGGAAGCCAAUUGGCUCUUGCCUUUAAAUCAAUGUGAGAAAAUGAAAUAACCCAAUAAAUCAAUAAGGAAAAAUAACAAUUAUAAGAAAUUACGUGGUUCGAUCUGAAUUUUGUUCCAUAAAGAAAGUGAGUCGCUAAUAAUCCACUUUACAUAUUCAAGUUCUUCCCAAUAUUAUACAUUUAUACCUAUGGGAGUUAGCUCAUAGCUUGAAACGCCCGUCUCCAUAAAAAAAACGGCCACGCCUUUCUUUUUUUUCUUUCCUCAAGAGUAUAUAGUAUAUAUGGCCCCUUCUUUUGUACGGCCGAAAGAAAUCCCACCUCUGUGCGCAAUAUAAACAAAAGUCUCCAAGUAGUCAAACUGGUCAAACUUACAUACUUCUCACCAAUUGAAAGCAAAAUUUGAACAAAUGAAAAUCCUCCAAACGGGUCGGGCUCUGUACCCAACUUAAAAUGACGAAGCGCAUGCAGCUUCCUCUCUCUUUCCCUCAAUUGCUCCGCUCCCUCUAUUUUCUUAUUCCCUUUUCCUCUCUUGCUUUGUAACGCUCAUUCUCUCCCCCUUACUUUCUUCUCGUCUUUACGUCUCCCUGUCUUUUUUCUCUUUCUUUCCUUUGUCUUCUUUAUGCCUUCAUUUUCUUCUUCCGUGUCCCACAUGUUCCCCUCCUUUUGACUAAGCUCUCUCCUCUCUCUCCUUUUCCCUGUUUCUCAAUGAUUACACCUCGUGUUGACGUUGUGACGAAGUCUCUUGAGUUUGCGGUACGAUUUAGCAUUGAAGGGCACAAACUAUUGCAGUAAAAAGUUAUUGUGAUUCGGGAUUGGCCUUAAGUUCUAACUGGAAGGUUCAGUUUAGCCAAACACGGAUUAGUGAGCUUGGCCUUCAGUAACAAGUCCUGCAACUGUCUUGGAUAUUUGGGCAGUUACUAUUUAUCUUGUGGCUGUUGCUCGAGGAGUUUACUAGUAAUAUCUGUUGUACUCAGCUGCCAGUAAUAAUAUGCUUGAUUUUAUGUAAAGUUGGUGCUUUAUUAUGGAAUUAGGCCUAAAAAAAUUAUACUUGGGAAUAUUUUUCGUGCUUGAUAGGGACUUAAGUCUUGUCUGAAUGGGGACAUUUUGAGGGCCGUCUCUGUUUUUUAAUUUAAGCAUCGGAGGCUGAUCCAGGAACGUCCAUUCUCGCUUUCGGGUGAGGGUUCCCUUUCAAGGAAGCGGCUUCGAUGAAUUCCUUGAAAUCAGUAUGUGCACUCACAUGAUUUCUACUUUUUAACAUAAGGGAAGACGCAGCUCCAAGUCAAGCAAACACCAAAGCAAGACGGGAGACCUUUUGUGAGGGAAACCCACAAAAACAUGGAAGCAACAGGGGGCUGCGGCAUCCACGUCAAAUUCUCCAGCAAGGCAAAUUGCUGAUGGCAAUUAAGUGAUCAAUUUUUUAAAUUUAUGAUAUAUAAGUGAGUGAAAAAUAAGUUAUGGACUUACACUGUUCUUGUCCCAACAUGACGAUGAGCACUUGUAUCGUGUGAUUGUACUGACAACAAUUAGGUUCAGUGUACACUCAGACAUCUAGGAGCGAGGGCUCUUGGGAACAAUAGUGGUGCUUUUUUUUUUUUUCAGUCUUGUUUAAUUUAGAUUUUUUUUUUUUUUUGCACAAUGCUUAUAAGAGAGGUUUUGCUACAGCCUGCUGCCUGAACACCUUAGUACUUGAAAAUGGUUUUCGUCAUCCACUAGUCACAAACACCAAUAUGAAGAACCAAUUGCACUUUGCGAAAAGAAAAAAAGGUUCAACUUAGCAGCCACGGCCUCAUCAUCGCCCCCGCAAGGCUGUAGCCGCUACUCCUGAUCGACACCACCAUCAGCACGUCCCUAUCGUCGCAAUCCCCAUCUCCAUCUGAUUAUUCGUCCAUCACCAUAAAUUCUCUCUUUCGCAUCUUUCAAUCACGGCUCCUCUUUCUGAUUUCUGUCGAUCUCUGUAAUUAAUAGCUCAAUGGCGACGUUUUACAAUGUUUUAAUCCACAUCAAAAUUUGAGGUGGGAAAUAGGAUUCUAACUAUCGAGGCUUCCUUUUCUCCUAGCAUUUGAAAUCAACUCUUAAUUUUCUUCAAUUUGUUGGAUAUUCCCACUCCAUGAGGUAAUCGAACAUGCUCUUUUCUCACAUCAUGUCCAAAAGCAAUUCUCAAAGCACAAAAUAUGCUGCUAGUGCUUCUAUUGCAAACGAAACGCGUGUUCCAUUCCAAGUUGGAUUUGAACAUCGCAAUAAAUCAAACCCUGCAAAGUUCGAUUGGAUGACCGACUCAUUUUAGAAUGAGGGCAAGAGGACAUUGACGAAUGAACAAGACUAGAAGAAACUUCUGCUUUGUUUAAGUACAAAAUGGCACAUACAUAAUGAGGGAAUUGUGCAUCAAAAUCACAGAGACCAGUCAGGUGAGAAGCAAGCAAUAAAACGGCAGUUGCUUAAGCAGAAAACAAAAAAUGACUGAAUAAACGAGGAUUUAUGACAAUUGCAUUGCUGCAAAUCAUUGAGCUCAAUUGUGCAGGCAAAGAGGCUAUUUUGCAUUCCAUAUACUCUUUGUAUAUGAGGAUGUAAACCAUUUGCGCAAAAAAAAAAAAAAAAAGUUACACUGCGCGUUCCUCUUCCUCGGCGGGUAAAAGGAGAACUCCACCUUUUAUCUUUGCUUUUUUGAGUCCAUUUUUCUUCCCACGACAGACCUACCGACCCCACAAGUGAAAAUAUAUAAAAGACCAAAAGAAGACCCUCCUUUAUACACUAUGAACAGACAGGCUAAGUUGUCAAACCGGUUAAAUUUACAUAAUCGUCUCAAACAUAAAACAAAAUAAAGUUCCCCUACCCAAGAGAUCCAAAUCUGACUCGGACCAAAGCGCGUACCAAACUUCAACAAAUCAAAAUCCUUCAACCGGGUCGGUUUCAUUCGCAGUUCAAACAGAGAAAGCGCCCAUGUCUCUCUCUCUCUCUCUCUAAGCUGCUCCGCUCACUAUUUUCUUCUUCCCUUUUUCUCUCUUGCUUUCGGGCGCUCAUUCUCUCCCUUAUUUUCUUCUAUUCUUUCCGACGUUUCCGUCUCCCUCUCUCUUUUAUCUCUUUCCUUUGUCUUCUUAUGCCUCAUUUUCUUCUUCUUUGUCCCACAUGUUCCCCUCCUUUUGACUAAACUCUUCCCUUUCUCUUCCUUCCUUUUCUUUUCCUCAUUAGACAGUGAUUAGCGAACGAAGUUGCAGUCCAAUUUCUCCAUCAGCUUCAUUUUUUAAUCUUUUCUGAGGGCUAGUUGACACAGGUUAAGUUGAAAUAGCUGCUAUUGUUUUAGCAAUGUCUAGAGAUGGCGGCAACUUGUAGAAGUUCAUGAGGGUGGUGGCGUACCGUUUACAUGUUUGUCAUUAGCGAUUAGACUUGAUGAAUGGACUAUACUACAAUUCCAUGACUUUGGUCAAUUAUAUUGUUGUAUAAUAUUGCAUCAUAAGCAAAUGGUGUUCUCUUUUUUUGUUUCCUAAAUAGAAACACUUUUGUUAACAUGCGUAAUGCACUACCUCAAAUUACAAAUUGGAAAGAAAAUGAGAUAUGAUAGUAUGUUGGACAUGUUCAUAAGGAUGUCGGUUUACAAGAUACAUGUUUUGAUAUUGAAGAAAUAAACUUGCAUAUAAUAAUAAUGAGUAGAUAGCAAUAAAUAAAAUGAAAUACAUUUUAGGAUGAAUAUGAAUUGCAAUUUUUCUGUAUGAAACACAUAUCCAAGAUUAUUUCUUAACAUAAUGUGAGAAGAAUCAGUACUAAUAACAUAAUAGUUCAUAGAAUUAGGAGAAUUAUAAAGUAUAAUCAUUCACAUGCUUAAGUGCUUCUUCAUAGUAAAUUAUACCUAAACACUAAGAAUUAGUUCACAAAUCAAACCACUUAUGUCACACCACGAAGAAAACGGAGGAUGUGAACUCUUUGCGGAAAAAAAGAAAAAAAAAUGAUCAUUAUGUAUCCACAAAGAAAAAAUGCCUCAAUUAAAUGUCGAAUUUUCUGUACAAAUCUCCGUGUUUCUUGCUCCUCUUAAAGACAGGAACUUUACUGUGCGGCCUUUUAGUUCCAUCUCUUGUGCGAAAUAGAGUCCUUCACUUUAUGCCUCAGUUAGGUCAAAUCUUGGAUGUAUACGUAAAAUCACCGCCCUUGGAUAUCUUCUUAACCAAAUCUUGGAUUAUAUAUCCAACAGAAAACCAAAUUAUAAUCGAAGGGCAGGCCAAAUCAAAGUCUAAAGACUUUUAACUUUUAAGACUCAUAUUGAAACAUAAUUUGACAUUUCCCUCCACAAACCACAUUUUCAGAUGUUUCCAAGCGUUCGUGCUCAGUUAUAUAAACAAAAGGUGACCAAUUCAAGUGACGGACAGGUGAAUAAAUCUACAAUGGCGAUCGAAUUUGGGAAUCUUGUGAAAUUGCGAGAAGCGUUGGAGUUUACUCAACGACGACGGGCGGUGAUGGGGUCUUUGCUCAACGGCGCACCCUUAUUUUAUUAUCGUCUUUACGCUCGCUCUUCUUUUCCCUUCUCUUUCUCUCCUUUGUUUUCUUGUGCCCUCAAUUUCUUCUCCCUUGUCCCACAUGUUCCCCUCCUUUUUUAAAAGAUCAGGCUUUUCCCGCUCCUCAUUUGGCUUGUACAAGUCAUUCCACUAUGUUCUGAUCAUAUUACCCCUUGCUUUUUCAAAUGUUAGCAUGCUCAUACGUGGUGCCCAUUGGCGUCCCUCUUUUUUAUUUGUUUCGUCUUCUUCUUCCACUUUCUCCUCCUUCUUAGUCCGCCCAAGCACGGUCAAUUUAAGUUCUUUGUUUUGUCCUGCGUUCUUCUUUUUUUUUCCGUCUCUUUAGAAUUCUGGCAAUUCUUAUGCACCCCUAGCUUAGACGAGAAAAAUCAUACUGAACGCCCAUUCCAUUAUCAACAUGACUUGGAGAAUCACUACGCCAAUCUUGCACAUUAUUAGUCGUUGGAGCCACCGAACAUUGAGUUUGCGCAUCAAAGCUGAAGCUGGACAAGUUGCUUGAGUAAUCGUUGACGGUGUUGGAGGUGUGGGGGAUCUAGGCCGGUUAGCGAACUCGGAGGUGUACUGGUGGUAGUGGGUGGGGGAAGAUGGAUGGCUUGGAAUGGGAGACCACGCAGAUGAUUGCAGGUCUUCGCAAACGAGCAUUGGACAUAGAAGAAGAAGAAAAAGAAGCAGAGCGAGAGAGCGACGUCGUUUUGGAGUAUCUGGAAUUGGUGGAACGAAACGAAAAAAUGGGAAAAGAGAAAAAGAGGACUGGCUAGGUGGGUGACUGAGUGGACGGCGUGUCGUUUUAUGGGUGCCCAUAUCAAAUGGAAAUGCUGAAUCCUUUUUUUUGUUAAUAAGUAAUUGAUUAAAUGAACUAAUUAAUUUAAUAAAAAUGAUUAAUUUAUUUUCCCCUCUUUUCAAGCAAUGUUGGACGGACGAACUUGCCUCAAAAUUGAUAUGCUCAUGCAUGUGAAGACUAAUAUCAUAUUCACGAGGAUGAUGUCACCCACGUCCAACGAUAUAAGUAUAAUUAUUAUGUAAUCACAUAAGAUUACAUAUAAUUGGAUAAGUACAUGUUGAAUCUAAAUAUGUUUGUGGAUGUGAAAAGAAACUUUUAGGAUAAGAUUAUUUUUAGCAAUCAAACUCUUAGUGAAUGUUCGAAGUUGGUCGUCGAAUUUCUACUUUUUUUCAAAUUGAUCCUAGUACUCUUUUAGGUGGUCUCCGACUCUCCAUGGUCAAGUAAUUUUAAUUGGUCUUCCCAAAGAAAAGCUUACUUGGCAGCAUUUCUUUUUUUGUUUUUUCCUGAUGGAGAAUGCAAGAAAGCCGAACUUUGCAAUUAGAAGGUGACUUUUUGAGCUAUUUAUAGGUUUCCAAGUACAUGUCAUCUUCAGAGACAAUACUUACAAGUGUUCAUGUACACAUAUAUAAAAAAAUUUCUUCAGUAAUCCAUAGAUUUAGAACCUUUAGAAGAAAGAAUGUUACUUAAAAAAAAAAUAAGCUAGGAAGAACUUAUUUAUAUUUUCUAUUGUGUAUAUAUUUUCUCAAUUUAACUUUAAUUUACAUGUGAAGCAAAGAAAAAAAGAAAGAAAGGAAAUUUGCUCCAGAAUCCAUUUUUUUGCAUUUAUUGUACUGCUAAUUUCCUUAUAACAUGUCUUUAGGUUAAUACAAUCAAGACAAAAACAUAGUUACAAGUUUACUUUUGCCAUAUUUUCCGAAUUAUGAGUAUAGUAUUAUGACGUAUUUUCUUCCUCUCAUCAGUAUUUCAACUCUUAAAUUAUUAUAUUCAUCUAAUAAGUUAUAAAUAUUAUUAUUCAAACGACCUUCGACUCCUCCCUUGCAUCACAUUUCCUUUACCAUAGGUUAUUCAUAAUUGAAAACUUGCAAGAAAAGAUAUAUCCGAGUGAAGUGCGCAUCAAGUAAUUAACCAAAAAACCAUAAAAACAAAAAUGGAGCUCUAGUGUCGUUGCUUGCGCAGUUUACUAAUCAAGUUACUAAGCUGCAAGUAAUGGUUUGCUGAAUGGGAUCAAUUGUUAUGGGUUUGGUUUGGCUACCCAGCCUAGUCUGAUGAUGAAUUGAACUUAACCUGCCCGUCCAAAAAACUAGAAAAAAGAAAAAUUGAAUUUCGGAAUAUUUUUCGAGCUUGACCCGGUCAAACGUCCUUAUCUGUUUACUUUAAGCAUCGGAUGCCGAUCCGAUCCAGGCCAAAAGCUCGAAUAUCCGGAUCUUGCACGUGGGCGCGGGUCCAUUUCGAGGAAGAGGGCUUUUGAGGGAUUCAUUGAGAUCGGUUUGUGCAUUCACAUCAUGAUUUCUACUUUCUAACCCCUCCGAAGACGCAGCUCCAACUCUGAGCAGGCAAAAACCAGAGAGAGACAGAGAGAACUUUUGCGAGAGAAGCCCCCCAAAAAACAUGGCAGCAACCGGUGGUUCCGGCGCGUCGGCGGCCCAGUACGACGUGUUCUUGAGUUUCAGAGGCCUCGACACUCGCGACACCUUCACCGAUUGCCUCUACCGGACCAUGGUCGGCCAGGGGAUCGCCGCUUACAGAGACAGCGAAGAGCUUCACGCCGGUGAUCGGAUCGACGAUCUCCUGAGAGCGGUCGGCAACUCCAAGAUCUGCUUACUGGUCCUCUCCAAAGGCUAUGCUUCGAGCGCUUGGUGCCUCCGCGAGCUCGCUCGAGUGACGGAGCUCCAUGAAUUGACUGGGAAGCCGGAGAUCCUACCCAUCUUCUUUGAUGUCACGCCCACCGACGUCAAGCUCAGGACGGAACUGUACCUGAAGGACUUGGAGAAGCAUGAGCAGAGGCAUGGUGCUGAGAUCAGGCAACGGUGGGAGGCGGCUCUGGGAAAAGUGGCUGAGAUCAAGGGAUGGGAAGUCCAAGGGAAAGCGUAAGUAAAUGCUUAUUAAUGGAACUCUUUUCAAGCUUCAGUCCAAAUGCUAUUCUCUUAUUCUUCUUGUAAAUGGCAGUGAAAACUAGCUGGAGGGGCGUUUAUUGUUAAAAUUUAUUGGUUGACGUGGCGUAAAUUCACUAAUUCACAAACCGAUUUUUGGUAUAUGAGCAGUAAAUUUCAUUUCUCACCGGGAAGAAAAAAAACAGAGGCAAUUCACUAAUUCUCAUACAUAAGCAGGGCCAUUUUUGGCUAGUGACAGUUAUAUGAGUGAAUUUGAUCUAAUUCUAGAAUGAUGUCUAUAACUUGGACCACAAAGGAACGUUUUCUUUCUCAAAAAUAGAGGGAACUUGUAAGUUUAUCGGCAUAACACCAAUCAUAUCCAGCGGAGUCUAUUUAACCAAAAUCCUUCUGGUCUUAUAAAAUUUACCCAGGACUUAAAAAUAGUGAUCCAAACUCAAAUGCUAUGUUCUAGGAAGUAGUAGUGAGAUUGUUAUUUGUUUUCUUUUACUAAAAGUGUUUGGUAUGUGGCAGAUACGGUGAAGUUAUUGAACUCAUUGUCAAAGAGGUUCUACUUAAGUUGAAAUUAAAACAAAGACCUUUGGACAGCAAAUUGGUUGGGGUAGAUGAACAAGUAGAAGCCAUAAUGAAGUUGUUGGAUGUGGACUUUAGCAUGGGUGUGCAUUUUGUUGGAAUUUAUGGAAUGGGUGGGAUCGGCAAAACUACUCUUGCUAAGAUUGUUUUCAACAAAUUAUGUCCUCAGUUUGAUGGCAAAUGCAGCUUCAUUGGGAACAUUCGAGAAUCAUCAAACAGAUAUGGCCUAGUAGAUCUGCAGAAACAGUUGGCAUUAGACAUCUCUGAUUCUAGAUUUGUAGAAAAUUUUAUCCACAUUGAUGAAGGGAUAGACAGCAUAACAAGGAGAGCUAGUUCUAAGAAAGUUCUUAUUGUUCUAGAUGAUCUAGACAAGAAACAACAACUUAAGGAAUUAGUGGGGGGGUCGGACACUUUUGGUUCCGGGAGUCGGAUUCUCAUCACAACAAGGGAUAAACGGAUUUUGGAUGAAAAGGAGGGAAUCUUCCCUUAUGAAGUAAAGAAAAUGGAUGGUGAUAAAGCGCUCGAGCUUUUUAGUUUGCACGCCUUCAAAAGUGUGUCUCCUCCAGAUACUCAUCAGAGUCUCUCUCGAGAAGUUGUAGCUACAACUGGGGGACUCCCAUUGGCUCUUGAAGUCAUAGGUUCCUCUCUUCGUCGCAAAGAUAUAAUAAUAUGGAAAGAGAUGCUAGAAAGGUUAAAGAAAGUACCUCAUAAUGAGGUCAAGGAUAAGUUGAAGAUAAGUUACGAUGCAUUAGAAGAAAUGAAGAAAGAAAUUUUUCUUGACAUCGCAUGCCUCUUCAUAAACGAAAAGAAAUCAAGGGCAGCCUAUUUCUGGGAAGCUUGUGGUCUAUUCCCACAUAUGGCAUUGGAUGAACUUAUUGAUUUGUGUCUAAUUAAAAUUGUUAAUGGUGAUGGUAUAUGGAUGCAUGAUCAGUUGAGAGACCUUGGAAGAGACAUCGUUCACCAAGAAUGUACUCGAAAUUUGACAGGGCGCAGUAGGUUGUGGAAUGACAAAGAAGCUUUGGAAGUAGUAAGGUGGAAAGAGGUAUAGUAAAAGUAGGAUCCAUACAGUUCCAAUUGUACAAUAAUUUUCUAAAACCCAUUUUAAAGUUUCCUUUUGGCCAUUUUGAAGGACAAAUUUAAUGUUUGCAAGCUCAUGCUCAUUGAUGGUUUCUGUUGGCAGAGAAAGGAUAACGUUCAAGCACUCAAUUUAGGUGGACAUCAUUUGGAUCCCAUCAGUGUCACGAAUGAAGAACUUGAGAGGAUGCCAAAUCUAAAAUUCCUUAGGCUAUAUGCAGUGACUUUUGCUGGAGACAUCAACAAUUAUCUCAAAGAGCUAAGAUGGCUUUCUUGGGGUUCUCCGCCUCUAGAUUGUAAAAUGGCCAAUUUGCACUUAAAAAAUCUAGUAGUUUUCAUACUUUCAAACGGUAAAAACACUGAAGACUGGGGUGGAUGGAACAUUUUAAAGGUGUGAGUUCGUACUUUUGUUCUCUUAGCAUAGACAUAGUAUUCUCUCUUUGAUCCUCUCUAAUAAUAUUUCAGCAACUUAUGCAGAUGGCAAACAAAUUGAAAGUUCUCUCUCUCUCAGGAUGUCAAGGAUUGAAACGGACUCCAGACUUUUCUGGAUGCUUAAGUUUGGAGAUACUAUCUCUCGAAUUCUGUCCAAACUUGCAAGAAGUUGACUCCUCUAUUGGGAAACUAAAAGGUCUUACUCACUUGCAAAUUCAUUCGUGUUAUUUACUUCGGAAGUUGCCUAAAGAGAUGGGGGGACUAGUGAAUCUGAAGCACUUUUCUAUCAGGUCGAGCCCCAAAAUCAAGAAACUUCCAGACAUCGGGAAAUUAAUAUUAUUGUCUAAGUUGGAGAUAUUACAUGCAAAAAUUACAAGUUUACCCAAUUCUAUUGGUAAUGUAAAGAACCUAUCAUCCCUUGAUCUAUCAUACUCGUCAAUUGCGGAACUUCCAAUUUCUAUUGGAGAGCUUACGCAACUCAAUUUCCUUUCACUCCGUAAUUGUCAAAAUUUUGUGGAGCUUCCGGAAUCAAUAGGUAAUUUGACAACAUUACAGAAUUUGAAUCUCUCAAGUACAAAAAUUGUUGAGUUACCUAAUUCAAUAAAAAAUCUCAAGCAAUUGAAGGUGAUGGAGAUGGAAAAUUGUCCAAUACAAAGGUUGCCUAUCGGUAUAUUCCAGCUAGAGAGCUUGGAGAAGCUCAAUGUCCGAAAUUGUCAACAACUUGUGGGCGAACUCCCAACUGCAAUUGGCGAACUAUUGUCUCCAAGUAUCCUAGACAUAUCACAAACUAGUGUUUGUGCAGUCCCAUCGACGACAAUUAAUUCCCUUACGCAACUCCAAGAGCUGGAUCUAUCAUUUUGUAAUGAGCUUCAAGAGCUACCAAAACUUCCUUCAAGUUUGAAUUGCCUACGUGUUAAAUCGGCAUCAUUGUGGUUAGUUCCGGAUCUUAGUUACCUCACGAAUCUAGUGACUUUGGAGCUGUCCAACAACUCUGGACAAGCACUUGCCCAAGCAUCAACUCUUCAAUUGCAAUGGGUUGGGAAGUUAUCUAAGCUGGAGCGGUUGGAGUUGUGCCUUUCAGAUCUUCCUGUGCCAUCAAUGGAGUUGGGUUGCUUACCUCGACUUAAAAAACUAACCUUACCUUGCAUGGAUAGUUUCGACUCGGUAGUCGUUGGACCACAAUUUUUGCACUUGAAAAAUUUGUCGACAUUGAAUCUUUGUCGCUGUCCACUGACGGAAAUUCAACUUGAUGGGCUUGAACUAUUGGGAGAUUUGACUGUGACAUAUUGCGAGUUUCUUGAGGGAUUGUCAAUUAUUUCAUCAAACUUGAGGAAGCUCUCUAGAAUGAGAGUUGAAGAUUGCCCAAAGCUACUUCAAAUUGAAUUUCUCAGUACGAUGGAAUCAUUGGAGCAUCUCGACGUUGAUUACUGCGUAUCCCUAGGAGGGUUGUAUGGUUUAUCAAACUUGAAGAAGCUGAAGCAUUUAGAAUUAUAUAGUUGCCUUAUGCUACGGGUUAUUGAGGGCCUUGAAGAAUUGGAGCUUUUGCAGUGUUUGUAUUGCAGCGCGUGUCCAUCGUUGAAAGUGUUGACUAAUCUAUCCAACUCAAAGAUACCAAAUGAAUGUAAGAUGUAUAUAUUGAAUUGCGAGAAGUUACCAAAUUGCCGUUGGGGCCGUUACGGGGAUUAUAGAGAGGAGAUUCUUGACUGGACGAGGAGGGGAUUAAACCAGGUGCGCCUUCCUUCUACCCUUCACUUAUUUUUCAAAUUUUAAUUUUUCGGAAACGCAGGCGGUAGGCAUGACUUUUCUUUCCCUUGUUCCGUUUACUUUCAUCUCUCUCUCUCUCUCUAUUUUCCGCAGACAACCGCGUCGUGUGUUUUUUUCUUUGUUAACAUUUCUCAAUACUUGGCCUUCUUCCUUUCAGGAGGGUGCGGCGCGGUUCUUCGAACGUGGCCAACCGCUCAUCGUACAGGUAUGGUCUCUUCUACGGACCCAAAAUUCUUCUCGCGUCCAUGAAGUGAGAAAAUUUCUUUUUCUCGAAUGUGUUGGAUGAAAAUUUUAUCUUUUGUGAACUCAAUAUAUUCUCAAAUAUCGAAGAGCUUAAGUAUUGUAAAAUGAAAUUAAGGUCGUUUUCAGAAAAUAAGUUGCAGUCUCUAGAGAUCUUUGUGCUAAAAGGAAAAUAAUAAAAGUUCCCUAAAAUCAAAUUAACUCGAAAUUUUCUUUUAAAUAUGGGGGAAUCCGUAAGCAGAGAGAUGAGUUUAAGGUAGAAGAUAGAGAUCCUAAAAUAUCACUUGAGUCAAAUUAAAUUUCAAUUAUAGAAGUUUUGCCUAUAGGGAGUAGCCUCGUUAAACUAGACACGUAGAUACACUUAGUGAAUAGUCUAGUCUAGAAGGUGGACACUUGAGGUGAUUAUUAACUCUUUCACAUGAACCAUACAAUUAUGAGUAUAACUAUUUCUUACACUGGAAAUUGAUGUAAUAAAAAUCGUUCAUAUAAACAAGAAAGUGAUUGUGUCAAUAUUUCCCCAGCAAAAGAUAAAAAUUUGGUGCGUGGGCAAGAAAGUAGAAGCUCAACUGUGGUUGGUUGUUCAAAUAGAUUUCUCUUAAACAAAUACACUUUCCUUUCAUAUUUUAAAAUGAAAAUAUAAAUGUAUAGAAAUGAAUAUAUGAUUUAUGCAAUUUGAAAGAUUUAAGGUGUUACGAUUGGAUGAGCCAUGAGAAAAGGGAUAACAGUGAAAAAACAUAUACCAAAAACAGAGGUAGCUUAUAAGCAGUACCCUUUGUAACAAUGUUCUACUUGUCCUGCUACGCCUGUCAGACUAACUGAAUGGUUUGGCAUUCUCCAUAAGAAGGCAAGCAUGUGAAAAUAGUACAACUCUAUCAUUUGCCCAUAUUUUACUUAUUGCUUGAUAUUACAAUUUUUUCUCGUCAAAGGAUUUACUCCAGAUUUCUAUUAAACACAUGUAGAAAAAGAUAAUUCAUGAUAUCUAUUUAUCUAAUCACACAGCGAAACAUAUUGUUUUGUUUUCUUUUCCUGAUAGCUGAAUCUGAUAAGAGUGAAAUACGAAGUAGCCAAUGAAAUCUGGCUGAAAUAUGCACAUACUUCAUGGACAUUGAAUCAUUAUACUGCUAUAUUGUUAGAUAAUUAUGUUCAUCAAGUUCUUUUUUAUGAAUACAUGUCAAAAGCUAAUAAAAGCAGGGACUUUUGAUGAGACAUCAACAAUCAUCACCUGAAGUUAAGAUGGCUUUCUUGAGGUUUUCCUCCUCUAGAUUGUAGAACGGCCAAUUUGCACUUUAAAAAUCUAGUAACUUCCAAACUUUCACACAAUUAAAACACCAAAAACCAGGGAAGUUGAAAAUUUUUGAAAGUCUGAAUUUGUACUUUUGUUCUCUCAACAUAGAAAUUUUACUUCUUAUUUUUUCCUUUGACGCCACUCUGAUAAUGUUUCAGCUACUUUGUAGAUGCUAGAAGAAUUGAAGGUUCCUUAUCACGAAGAACGGGGUAAAUUGAAAUGGACUGGAUACCCGAGUUUAGAGACAUUGUAUUUUCACUACUGUCUAAACUUGCGAAAAUUUGACUCCUCUAUUGGGAAGAUGAAAGUUCUUACUCACUUGGACAUUAUUCGGUGUAGGAAUCUUCGAACUUUACCUGAAGAGAUUGGAGGACUGGUGAAUCUGAAGCACUUGUCUAUCAAAAAGUGCUCCCAAAUGGAGAAACUUCCAUACUCUAUAGGGAAAUUAGGAUCAUUGUCUAAGUUGGAUAUAUCAUCCUCAAGAAUUACAAGUUUACCUAAUUCAAUUGGCAAUGCGAGACAUCUGUCAUUCCUAAAUCUAUCAGGCACGCCAAUUGUGGAACUUCCAAUUUCUAUCGGAGAGCUUACGCAACUCGAGUUUCUUUCUCUCAAAUAUUGUCGAAAUUUGGGGGAGCUUCCAGAAUCAAUAGGCAACUUGACAUUGUUACAGAAGUUGAAUCUCUCAGGGACAAACAUUGUUGAGUUACCUAAUUCGAUAAAAAAUCUGAAGCAAUUGAAGGUGAUGAGGAUUGGAUUUAGUCUGAUAAGGAGGUUACCUGCCAGUAUUGAAAUGCUAGAGAAGUUGGAGGAGCUCUAUGCCGAACAUUGUGAACAACUUGCAGGCGAACUUCCGAUUGAAAUUGGCAAACUAUUGUCUCUACGCAUCCUAGACAUUUCAUAUACCCAUAUUAGUGCAGUGCCGAUGGCAAUCAAUUACCUCACGCGACUCCAAAAGCUGGAUCUAACACAUUGUGAUGAGCUUCAAGAACUGCCGAAGCUUCCCUCGAGUUUGCAUUGCCUACGUGUUCACUCGGCAUCAUUGCGGUUAGUUUCGAAUUUCAGUAACCUCACGAAUCUAGUGCAAAUGCUUUUGUCUAACGGCUUUGGACAAGCACCUGCCCAACCAUCAAACCCAAUGCAAACUUUCCAAUUGCAAUGGGUUGGAAAGUUAUCUAAGCUGGAGAAGUUGAGCUGGGGCCUUUCAUAUUUUCCCAUUUCGUUAACAGAGUUGGGCUGCCUACCUCAACUUAGAGAACUCACUUUAUCUAGCAUGGACAGUUUUAAUUCGAUAGUUGUUGGACCACAAUUUUCCAACUUGAAAAAUUUGUCCAUAUUGUGUCUUCAUGGCUCUCCAUUGAGGGAAAUUCAAUUGGAUGGGCUUGAACUUUUGAGAAAUUUAGGUGUGAGAGAAUGUGAGUUUCUUGAGCGACUAUCAGUAAUUUCAUCAUGCCUGAGGAAACUCUAUAAAAUGGAAGUUUUACAUUGCCCAAAGCUACUUGAAAUUCAAUUUCCCAGUACAAUGGUAUCAUUAGAGGAACUUCGAGUUGGCAACUGCGAUUCCCUGAGAGGGUUGCGCGGUUUAUCAAACUCGAAGAAGCUGAAGGCUUUGCAGAUCUACCAAUGCAAUGGGCUAUGGCUUGUUGAGGGCCUUGAGGAAUUGGAGCUUUUAGGUUUUUUGUAUCUUUCUAGGUGUGGAUUGUUGGAAAGGUUGACUGAUGUAUCCGACUCAAAGAUACCAAAUGGAUGCAUGAUAGAAGUAUGGGGUUGCAUGAAACUAACUAGUUAUGAGGGCACUUACCGGGGUUACAAAGAGAUGAUUCUUGUCAAGACGAGAAUGACAUUCAUUGAGGUGUGGCUUCCUUCUACCUUUCACUUAUUUUUCAGAAACGCAUGCAGUAGGCAUCACAUUUCCUCAUUUUCGCUUGUUCCGUUUGCUUCCUUGUCUCUUCGUCUAUCUCUGUCUUGCAUGUCUCAAUUCUUACUUUUUUAUAUAAAUCUAUGGAUUAUUGUUUGGUCCACUAUUAGUGUAAAAGAAACAUUCAUUAUUUUUCUGUCUGAACUUAAUUUUGGAAUUGAAAUUUUUCAAUGUGUCAACCAUCCAAUGGUGUGUAUGUGUAAAUUGUUUCUUACAAGAGCAAUGGGCUUAAUAAAGAUCCUUUACAUAACUAAACAAUGAUUAUAUUAAUAUUUCACCAAGCAAAGAUAAAAAUCAUGCUCUCUACACUAAUCCAUUAGAGUUUAAAAGAAAUAGUAAAUUAUAUAAAAACAAAUAUACGAUUUAUGUAUUUAGAAAAAUUUGAAGUGGUACUUAUUGGAUAAGCCAUGAGAAGAGGAAAAAUAGUGAAAAAAGGUGUACCAGGAGCAGAGCUUAUAUGCAAUGCCCACUAGUCAACAAUGUUUUACUUAUCGAGCUAUGCCGAGCAAACUGUAACUGUUUGGUGUAAGAACGGGCAUUUCACCUGUUACUGUCAGUGAGAUGGGGACUCACUAAUGAUUGUACCAUCAUAGACUUGGUCGUGUGACUGGCUUUGCCCUACGUUCAUAAAUGCUUGUGAAGCGAACGACUGUAAUGUUUGGACUUUAGGGCAGGCCGAUUAGAUCAUGUUUGCAUUUUCUUGUCCUCCAAUAUAGGUAGAAGACUAAUUCAUAUGUUUCCCGUUCUAGGAGGAUGAAAUGGAGGAGAACGACCGCAUUGAUUGUUACACGGGCAUAUUAGAAUGUAUCUGCAAUCCCUUAUCAUUUUUUCAAGGGAGGAGUCUUCGGAGGCAAACAGGAUAAGUAAAUUGUCUUGCAGGAUAAUGCAGACGUGGAGUCAGGAAAAAUUGAAUUGAUCUCUAUGCAUUUUGGUUAGGGGUACAAAAACUAAAUCGAUGGCUCCAAGAGAAUGCUUUCACUCUUUUUGAUGAACUCAAGUGCACAGAGGUCGAGGGACCAGUUUCCUGGAAACAGGAAUGCAGUUUGCAUGUGGAUUUACUCUGCUUCGAGGAUUUGCUAACUGUCCAUUCGUUGAGAGGUAAGUCAUUCCCUCUGUGAAUAUCAAAUUGCUUGCCACAUAGAAGCAUGGUCAAGAUUCUUGACAACUUAGACAAUAGUUUCCAAUUCAUAUGAUACUUUUAUCUGGAUAAAUGAAUGAUUCUACCAAAAUUUCCCAAAUAACUGACGAGUGCAAAAAACCAAGAGGGAAAAAGAAGAGAACCAAGCUGAAGUAGGCAAUUUUGGGAUGUCCCAAAUGGUGAUCAUUAGAUCAAAUAUUGCAUGAAUGCCCCCAAAAUAUGUCAAGAUUACUAACACGUGCAAUCCUUGGCCCUAGCAUUAUGCUGUCACGGAUGACUAGAUUUAAUAGGAGAAAAUAUUAGUCUUUCCUGUGCCAAUGUGUGAAGUGGGCAAAACUGAUGGUACAAGAGACUAAUUAGAAGAUUAUCUGCAAGCCAUUCUAAUUUCUUCUAGGAUGAGGUUGUAGUGGCAGAAGCAAAAGCAGACACUACUGACGUCUUCUCAAUUCUCAAGAGUCUGACGUCGAGCAUUCACUUGAGUUUUUGCAACAACAAUUCUAAUUUCAUUUUGUUCGGUUCUCAUCCAAUCAAAUCAUCAAAUCUCAUUUGGCUUUCAUUUCAUUGUUUAUUUUCAACUCAUUUACAGCUCUUGUUUCUUCUCAAAUCAUGCAUACUUGCAGCUCGCAUGCUCCAGACACGAACUCUUUUGAUAUAUGCAACAAGCAUGGACUACUCAUGUAUAUGAUCAUAAGUAGCCUCAUGUUGAAAUAGAAAAUAGUACUCCCACAAUUCUCCUCUUUCCUUCAGCACCUCACCAUCUCAAAAUAACAUGCAGGAUCACCAUUUGACAUACACAAUCACAUAUGAACAAGAUUUGAUCCACGCAAACACUUAUGAGCAGCAUUUAACAUACAUCACCUAUAUAUCUAAUUAGUUCACAUUCCAAUCAGCUAUAUACGGGAAAUCUAGCAAAGACACAACAAACGCAACUUCAAUUGAACAUUGAGACAUUGGUAAACAGAAUGCAAUAGGAAUUAUCUGCAAUGGAGUAGGGCAUUCCGCUGAAAAGGUUGUGAGCAUGUGGUGUGAAGUACUAUUAACACCAGAAUGGCAUGGCGUAAUACAGAACACAAACAUCAGAGUGGAAAAUCCAUGCGUACAAGCAAUUCUUACUACUUAAUUGGAAAAGAAACAACCUGGCGGUGAUGAGAAUUGACACAAAACAGAACAGAAAUGAAAAGAGACAACGGAAUUAACUUCAUCUCCACGGAAUGCCCUCAAGCUCAUUGGUCCCUCUGUUUUCUUAUGGACAACAUCAGAAUUGACACAAAACAGAACAGAAAUGAAAAGACAAAACCAAAGGCAAUCGAAAUCACUUUUAAAAUUAAUCGGAGACGAAGUGACCUGGCAGGUGUGGCUCUCAGUUGUACUUAUCGAGCUAUGCCUAGCAAACUGUAACUGUUUGGUUUGCAGUCACCUUAGAAAGGCAAGCAUGCGAAAUAGUACAACUCUAUCAUUUGUCAAAACUUUAAAUAUUGCUUGGUAUUCAUUUUUUUUCUUCUUGUCUAAGGUUUAUUAAACAGAAAAUUUUGUGAAAAAAGGAGAAGAAGAUGCCUGUACAAAACAAAUAGUUCAUGAUAUCACGUGCACUUUAUCUAAUGAAAUGGCGGAAUGUAUGUUUUUACUUUCCCUGAUAGCUAAAUCUAAUUAGAGCGAAAUACCAAGUAGCCAAUAAAUUGUUGGUGAAAUAUUUACAUGGUUAAUAGAUAUAUAAUCAUCAUACUGCCAAUAGUUGGAUAAUUAUGUUGAGUUCAUGAAGUCCUUUCAUAUAGAUAUUUGCAGGAAAUUAAUAAAGCUAUGGAUUAUGAUAGAUCUGCUAGCACUCGUUUGCAUAAUUAGUUUUGAACGUGAUGUGUGAACCAAGGUGUAUAAUGUACACUAUUAUACACCUUGGUUCACGCAUGAUCCAUAAAUAAAAUAAAAUAUGCAUUGUACCUCAACUAUGAUAUGAAGCAUUGGAAUGGUCGGACUUCAAAGCAGAUGGAUUGGAUAAGAAGACUGAUUCAUUUUUUCUUGUACUAGGAAGAUGCAGGGAAAACAGAUGCAGAAGAAUCAGUGAUGGAGACCAAUAACUACUAUUCUCAGAACUUGCCAUUGACUAUAGGUUUUCUAUGGUCUCCAGGACCCGACACUGAGCUCGAUUCUACAAGUAAGUCACUGCUGUUAAAAUGAAUAUAAUGUCAUCCUGUCACACAAAUUAACAUCUGUUAGCUUAUCAACGUACAAAAACUAACAGGAAUUGAACUAAUCUUUAGAUGUUCUGCUGCUAUUUUGGAUAUAAUAUCAUCUAUUAGCUUCCCUCAAUAGUACAAACUAUUCUUGCAGGCUUGAAUAAUUCCAAGUUCUUCCACGAACCACAUCUUCGGAUGUUUCCAGAAGUUUAUGCUCAAUUCUAUAAGCAAAAUGUUACUGAUUCUAGCAAUGGAGAGAUGAAUGAAUUCACAAUGUGAUCGAGUUUGGGAACCUGUGAAAUUGCCAGAAGUAAUGGAGUUUGCUCUAAGGACAUGUCCCCCCUCUCCCAGGUCCAUCACAAGAGAAAAUUUUUGUGGAUUUGUCCGAGGUGAUUAAUUCCGUUUUGUGAAAACCCAUUUGUGUGCCACAUCAAUUUCCGAUACAUACGAUACUUUUCUCAAAGGUGUGCAAUAUCGGACCAGGUCAAGCUCUAGGUAAUGGUAUGUUCUUCUAAUUAUUUGUGCCUUAGGUCCCUCUUUUUUGUCAUGCCGUAAGAAGUCAUUUUUAAGCAGUUGAAGAAGAAGAAGACCUAAUUCUCCAGUUAAACCAGUAUUUCGGAGUCAGUAGCAGUGAUUGUGAUCAAUUUUUUGGUCAUAUACAGCAGGGCACUGUUUCUUUAUCCAUUUUUGGUAGAUUAAUGGUUCUAUCAAAGUUGCUCAAAUAACUAAAUAAUGCCAAAAUACGAAAAAAAUAAAAAUAAAAUGAACGAAACAAUCAAGCCGGAAAUAGUAUGUAUCUGGGGCUGUUGAUCCUUAAUCUAAACUAGCUCACAGUACACAUGAACUUGAAAAGAAAAAGGACAGUGAAAUAAGAAAGUGGUGACAAAACUCUUCUGCCUUUGCAGAUAUGGAGGAGAGCUCUAUUCCUAUGUGCUACCGAUUGAGUUCCCGGGAAACGGAUUUUUGGACUUCUCUGGAGAAAGCAGGCCACUGAGGGACUAGUUUUCGGGUUGAUUACGCUGAAGCUACAGUGGAAUGGUUUCAUAUGCAAUAUAUGGAGAGCUAGGAAUGACUUGCUGCAUAAUUAACUUGCUCCUCCUGUUGAUGUUGGGAUGAAUCCCCUUGUGUUUGCGGUAAGAUAUAGCAUCGAAGGGUGCAUAAGCUGGUGCAGAAAAAAGUUAUUCUGACUUGGCAUUUGCCUGAAGUGUAUUGGUAUGCUUGGCCUUUAAUAACUAGUCUUGUAACUGUUUUGGAUAUUUGGGCAGUUAGUGUUCACGUUCUAGUUGGAGCUAAGAUUGUUGCUUGAGUAGUGUGGUAACGAUAUCAUUAGGUUUGGAUAAAUUAUAUUGAGUGGACAAUUUGAUGGAGAUCUUUGAUGAAUCAACUUUGAGGAUGGUAGGUCUCAAGGGUUCUUUAUUUAUUUAUUUGGGUAGGUCUUGAGUUUGAAAAGCUGGAAUUCAAUGUAUUUAGGUUUCAUUGAUUCACUAAACAAUGAUUAUCACCACAAAAAUGAUUCUGGUCACCUGUUAAUUAUCACCACAAAAACGAAAUGUCUUGAUUAACUAAACAAUGAUUCAAGUGAUUUGGAAGAGCUAUGCUGAUGAUUGUAGGGAGCUGCACGAUGAACUUCCUCCUGAACAAUGGAGAUCGGGCCAUUUGAGAAAAGCAAGGGCUGGGAUCAAUUCGUUGAAUUUUGCCAAAACGGACUAGGCAGGAUGGGCAGCAAGAAGGGCGACAUCAUGAGCGUUGGUUAGUGUCGUGAUCAAACGGUCCCAGAUUGAAACAAUUUGAUCCAAAGGUGGGGAACAACGACAGGCUUAACUUCCUCGGCAAGUUUUGCACGCUAAGAACGCGAUCGACGCAUUUCCAGAAGUUUAUUUACCUUUUAGACCAUCUAGAUCAUAAUCGAUGAAGCUUGAGAUUGGGGGCAAGUGAUUGACUCCAUGCUACAUCUCGCGUCAGAUCAUCAUCUCGCAACUUCCUCUGUCAUUUAUUAGAGAAACGCUCCUAUAACAAUGAAUCGGUAUAGUGAUUUUACGACUCUCAUAGAAAAACCAACAAUAUCAUGCCCUAAUUUUUAUUAAUUAGGAUAUUACCUACGUUCUUCAAAUUCAUCAUGAGCUUCUUAAACUCAUCUGAGAGGUCUUUGUUAGAAGUACAUUUAGCAUGUUGAAAUUGAAAUAUCAUCUUCAACAUAUAUGAUAAUUAUUUAAACCCUUUCUCAUGUAAAGAGCCUGAAAUUUUCCUCAUAAUGCUGCGGCAUGUCUCUUCUCAACCACUUUUAUUAAAACCUAAUCCAACGAUAUCAAUAUGAUUAUACUAUUUGCCCUCUCCAUUAACUCAUCUUUAUUGGCAUCUUUGAUCAUUUUCAGCAACUUAGCUUGCCGUCCAAUUUCUCAUCUCACUUCGCUGCCCAAUUUGUUCUUUCCAUUGAACUUCUGAAUUUCUAUUUUUUCCCUAGACAUAAUUGCAACAACACAAUUUCCGAACAAUGAUCAUACAAGCAAAAACCCUAAAUCAAUAUAGAAAGAUACUAAGCUUAGCUCUGAUACCAAUUAUCGUAAAAUUAAUGCGAAAGCUAAUUGGAUCCUAUUAUUAAAUCAACGCACGAGCAUGAAAUAACCAGAUAAAUCAACAAGGAACAAUAAGAAAUGCAUGAAGUCCCAGUGUCAGUAUCUACUUUAGAGGGAGAUCGGUUGCAAAUUAUCCACUAAUCAAUCGAAGGAUUAUAAAGUACGACAGCUCACAUUUUCAAGCGCUUCUCAUUCCACCUAAAGCACAGUGUUUAGCCUUAAGAAGAAUUACGGUUUGAAACACCCGCAUCUCCGGAAAGAGAAGGGAGGAUGUAAACUCUUCGCGCAAAAAACGAUCACCGUGAGUUCCUCUUCCUCUCCGCGUGGCUAGAAGGACAACUCCACCGUUUUACUUUUCUUUUUACGCGGCUGAAGGGGAUGAGAAAAUUAGAACCCACGCCUUUUCAUUUUUCUUCCUCUGACAAAUCUACUGAACCCACAAGUAUAUAUUGAAUAUGAGAGCCCCUUCUUCUUCUUUUGUACGGCCAAAAUAAGUCCCUCCUCCACAUGCGAUAUAGACAAAGAGCCCAAGAAGUCGAAUCUGCCAAACAUAAAUACACUUCAUCGAACAGAAAACAAAAUCAAAUUUUCCAAAGCCCAAAAACUCCAAAUUUGACUUGGAUUAAAGCAAACACUGAAUUUGAACAAAUCAAAAUCCUUUGAGGUUUCAUGCACAUUUCAAAACUCAAGACAUAACUUAACAAGAAAGUAGGUCACUAAGGUAUUAGUAAAGGUCUAGCAUCAAAGGGCCCAAGUUGCUGCAGCGAAAAGUUGAUCCCCAGCUUAGUUUGAUGAAGAAAUGAAUUUAACUUACCCGUUAGAAUAACUCAUCUUUUCCUGUUCUAGGAUGAUGAGAUGGAGAAAAAUCUGGAAGAUAAAAAAUUGAAAAAGACAGCAUUGAUUGUUCCGUAGGCAUAUUACCAUGUAUCUGCAAGCCCUUGGGGCUUUUCCAAGUGAGAAGUCUUCGCAGGCAGACAGGAAAAGUACGUGUCUUGCAGGACUAUGCAGACGUGGUGUCAGGAAAAACUGAAUGGAUCUCUAUGCAUUAUGGUUAAGGGAAUAAAAGCUAAAUCGUGGCUCCAAGGGAAUACUUGCACUCUUCUUGAUAAACUGAUGUGCAUUGUGGUCAAGGGACAAGUUUCCUGGAAACAGGAAUGCAAUUUGCAUAUGCAAUCUACUCUAUGCAAUCUACUCUGCUUUAAGGAUUUACUAACUGUCCAUUCGUUGAGAGGUAAGUCACUCCCUUUGUGAAUAUCAGAUUGCUUGCCACAUGCAAGCAUCAUCAAGAUUUUCGACAACUUAGAUAAUAGUUUCCAAUGCAUAUGAUACUUUUAUCUAGGUAAAUGAAUGAAUCUACCAAAAUUUCUCAAAUAACUUACAAGUGCAAAAAACCAAAAGGAGAAAUGAAGAGAAAACAAGCUGAAGUAGGCAACUUUGGGAUAUCCCAAAUGGUGAUCAUUAAAUGAAUAUUGUACGAACACCUCCAAAAUUUCUCAAGAUUACUAACAUGUGCAAUCCUUGGCCCAAGCAUUAUGCUGUCACGGAUGACUAGAUCUAAUAGGAGAAAAUAAUAGUCUUUCUUGUGCCAAUAUCUGUAAAGUGGGCAAAACUGAUGGUAGAAGAGACUAAUUAGUUGAUUAUCUGCAAGCCAUUCUAAUUUCUUCUAGGAUGAGGUUGCAGUGGCAGAAGCAAGGACAGACACUACUGACUACGUCUUCUCAAUUCUCAAGAGUCUGACAUCGAGCAUUUACUUGAGUUUAUGCAACAACAAUUCUAAUUUCUUUUUGUUCGGUUCUCAUCCAAUCAAAUCUUCGAAUCUCAUGUGGCUUUCAUUUCAUUGUUUAUUUUCAACUCAUUUACAGCUCUGGUUUCUUCUCAAAUCAGGCAUACUUGCAGCUCGCAUGCUCCAGACACAAGCUCUUUUGAUAUUGCAACAAGCAUCGAUGACUCAUGUAUACAAUCAUAAGUAGCCUCAUGUCCAAGUAGAAAAUAGUACUCCCAGCAUUCUCCUCUUUCCUUCAGCACUUCACCAUCUCAAAGUAACAUGCAGGAGCACCAUUUGACAUACACAAUCACAUAUGAACAGGAUUUGAUCCACACAAAUAUUUAUGAACAGCAUCCGAUAUACAUCACCUAUAUAUCUAAUUAGUUCACAUUUCAAUAAACUAUAUACGGGAAAUCCAGCAAAGGCACGACCAACGCAACUUCAAUUGGACAUCAAGACGUUGGUAAACAGAAUGCAAUAGGAACUAUCGGCAAUGGGGUCAGGCUUUCUGUCGAAAAGGUUGUAAGCAUGUGGUGUGAUGUACUAUUAACACCAGAAUGGUAAUACAGAACAGAAACAUCAGAGUAGAAAAUCCAUGCGUACAAGCAAUUCUUACCACUUUAAUUGGAAAAGAAACAACCUGGCGGUGAUGAGGUGAUGACACGCACGGCAAUCAUGAGGCGGCCGUUGCUAUGGUUCACGUUCCAACGCCCCGGCUUCAUCUCCACGGAACGCCCUCAAGCUCAUUGGUCCCCUCUGUUUUCUUAUGAACAACAUCAGAAUUGACACAAAACAGAACAGAAAUCAAAAGACGAAUCCGAAAGCAAUCGAAAUCAAUUCUAAAAUUAAUCGGAGACGAAGCGACCUGGCAGGUGUGGCUCUCAGUUGAUGGACGGAGGAUCGGAGAUAAAGCCGCCGGAGUCAUCGUUACUCCCAGUGGAAUAGCAAUCGAAGGAGCGAAUAGAGUCGCGGGCGAUUAGGAAGAGCAGCGACGACGACGACGACGGAAGGUGCGUAGCGACCAUGGAACCGCGAGCCAACAUCAAACCGCCGGAGAAACUGGUGCACGGAGACGUCAGGACACUUGAAUCGGCGGCGACGAUUCCCCUCCGGCGAACCUCGAAACGAAGGAAAAUGGAGCUUCCGGCGAGAGCCCCGACGAAGGAUUUGAGAGUUCUCCAUCUCAGAGCAAGGAUCUACAUUCUCGGUUGCUUUGGGUUCUUAAUAAAAUAUAUUUUAGCGGGAUUUCUUGGUUACAUAAUAGCAUUUCUAUUCUAAAAAGUAAAAAUGUAUGCAUGUCCUUGAUCUUCUAGUCCAACUUUCCCGAUUCCCACUGUUUCUCGAAUUUCUGGGCAAAUUAGUUAUAAUUUCGAAUCUAAUAGUGAACAUGGAAAAUAUUAAAGGGAAGCAACAACUUAUAAGCGGUAGAUACGUAUUCAAUCCGUUAUGCAGUUGAUGAGAAAGCACCGUGACAAUAUUUAAUAAAUGCGAUAGCUUAUGAGUGGAAGUACAUAUUCAAGAUAACUAGCCUACGAUUCAACUAAAUCUCGACAUUUUUUAAACAAGCUAAAUGCAACUAUGUCGUAGGAACAAAGUUCACUUCAUCUUAAUAAGAGUAGGACGCAAUAGUGGAUUGAAAUUCUCGACCAUCAGCGGUCUAGUAGUGUUAGUGGAUGAAAGCAUCUUUGAUAGUGAUUUACUUUUGUUAAUGGAUGAAAGUCACAUUUCCUAAUGUUUUUUUUUUUUUUUGAAAAACAUUUCCUAACGGUUAUGGUGGACUAAAGUAUAAUCAAGAUUUAAAGCUUUUUAAAUGGUUUGAUAAAAUCCUAAAAUUUGUCCAAAGAGUACGCUCGGAUACUUCUAUUAGCACCCUUAGUUUGGAGCAACAAAAAAUUUCCAAUCCGACUUUAUGCAAUAUUUUGGAGGAUACUCGAUGCCAGACACCAAUCAACAAAAUGGACUAGAAACUUGAAAAAAUUUAGGGAGGGGUGGGAGAAGGGGGUGGCGCUGCCGCACCUCUAUGGACAGCAGCGGCGACCAACCCUCUUCCGGCCACUCACACGAGUACCAUAGGCGUUUCCAUGAGGGCAAUCACCUCAGCAAAAUGGCACCCAAUGAGGCACCCCUUUGACACCACAUCAUCGCCUCAUCAAAGGUUCUACUCAAAUAUAAGUCAUUUACAUGUUAACGUAUGGGCAAGAAGCUGUUAUUUUUUUGGAGAUAAACGCGGGAACCCCCGUCGGACGCGAGUACCCUACGCCCCCGUCCGAACUCCCGAGGAACCCCCGACAGACGCCGCCAGCGUCCCAGCCCCGUCCUCCCACGCCCUAACCGACCUCGUCAAGGUGAAACCUCCGGGAGAAGAGGCUCCUCAGGUCAUGGAGAGUGUAGCCGUUGGCCCCAAGCACGGCGGCGUCGCCGGGAGAUUAUCGGCCAAGUCCGUGAUAAAGUUCGGCGCUUAUUUGGCUGUGGUUUUCUUGUUCCAGACCAUUUGUGCUGUUUGGGUGUUUGGCAGCAACGGCUCCGAUUCUAAUGGUGAAAGUGAGGAGAGAAUUUCGGUGAACGGGGAAGGGAGGGCGGUGGCGGGAAAGAAGCUCUUGUCGAGAGCGAGGAAUGUGGUUUACUUGGAUGAGUCUGACUUGGAGAGGAGGACUGAGGAGAUAAUGUCGAUGGCUAGGGAGGUGCGGAGGAGCGAGAAGAGGGGGCUGAAGAGGGACGAUGCCGGGGAUGCUGAAGGCGAUGAUGGCGAUGACGAUGAUGAUGGUGAGGCGAUUCCCGACAGCAGGAUGGCUAUUGAGAAGGAAAUUGGUUCUCGGUUGGAUAAGCUGCAAAAGAAAUUGAGACCUGUUCGGAAAUCGCCAGGUCUAAGUGAAAAUGUGCCGCUCGAGGGAGCUAGUAGUUUGAUGUUCGAGAAAAAGUUGAAGUUUAGAAGCCCUUUGGUGGAGAAACCCGGUACUGCUCCGAAGGGGUUUCAGCGGUUACGAGGUAAUGGUAAAACAAAGAAGAAAAGCAAAAACGAAGUCAAUGGAGAAGGGAAAAAUGGAGGUCUUGAUCACGGUGUUAUGGAAUCAUCAAAUGGAGAAAAGUGGGAGGAAUUGGUAGAUGGUAAGGGACAUAGCGGUCUCUCCGACGACAUCAAGCGAGAAGGUGAUGAAACCAUGCUUUUCACGGAGAUGCAGAAUGAUUUGUCAUAUCAUGUACUUUUUAUCAAUUAGAAAGUCGGCAUCAACAACAAUUCAUUAAAAGAGUAUUAAAUAACAUCGUAAAAUGAUGUUAAAUAAUUUUCUAUCAAUGUUAAAUGGUUUUUUAAUAUCUAAAAAAUUUAAAGAUGAAGUUGAGUGUGAUUAGCGUGGUUUAAUUAACGACAAGAUUGGGACAAGUGUCUUAAUAUUUCAUUCUUAAUUAGGUAAGAGAAUUGAAAUUCUCUCUCUUUUUCAAAAUAUAUAAUUAUAGGUUCGGUUGAGUCAGUUCUAUUAUCAUUAAAAAAGGAAGAAGAAUAAGAAGAUGUGUGAUUUCCACUCUCUCUCCAUAUGUGAGAUGGGGCAAGCGACGUCGUUUGGUGUAGCCGGAUUUGGCGCAAACAGAUUAAAAGGUAAAGGAGGACAGACUUGUAGGCAGAAGUGGACGGCUUGUCGUUUUAUUGCUGCUGCUCGUGUCAUUUGGAAAGGCUGGAUCCUUUCUGUUCUUUUUUCCUUCUUAAAUAAACCAACCCAUUAAGCGGACUAAUUUUUUUUUUUCAACAAGUGGACUAAUUAAUUCAAAUAAAAAAUUAUUGAUCCCCUUUUCCCCUUUUAUUUUUGAACCUACGUUGGAGGGAUGGACUUGCCUCCGAACCAAAGCCGAUGUGCUUGCGCACGUGAUGAAGGCUGACAUCAUUACUCAAUAGAAUGGCGUUACCCGUGUAAGGAAAAUAUAAGUAUAAUUAUUGUCUAAUUAAAUAAGAUUACAUGUAAUUAGACAAAUAUACCAAUUCAUAGGUGCUUGUAUGAAUCUGGAUCUCUACGCGGGUGCUAAAUAAGAAAAUUUCGAGACAAUGUCGAGAUUAGCCCUUAAAGGGAACUUUUUAGUCAAUUUUCGAAGUUAGUCAUCAAAUUUAACUUUCGGAAUCGAAUCGGCCCUGAGUACAUUUGUACUCUUGCAAGUGGCCUCUACGGUCGGGGCAAUUUAGGGCAAUCUUCUUAAAGAAGUGCUUCGUCUUCAACCUCACUAGCUUAGUAAAAAGGGAAUCGUGCAUGUUUUCAUGAUCAAAACGUUGACAGACAGAUACCACGGCAAUGGCAUGACCAAGCCAUGUCGAGCUUUGCUAUCUUUGGAAAACAGGACCAAUCCACGAUCCAAAAGAUUGAUUUUCAUGGAGAGAACUAGGCAAUUUCUCUGCUUUCCAAGCACGCUCUCUAGAAAAGCAAGACAUCAUGUCGACUUAAUUAUAACUAGUAACUUCAGCGUGACUUUCUACAUUCCAAACAACUUUCUAUAAUCAACAGAAGCUUUGACUUUGUCAAUCUUUUUUUUAACCUUUCGUAACUUUUCACGUAGAAAAUCGAAGUAAUAGUAAUUAAUAUAUAUAUAUAUAUAUAUAUAUAUAUAUAUGUGUGUGUGUGUGUGUGUGUGUGUGUGUGUGUGUGUGUGUGUGUGUGUGCUGCAAUAACUCCAGCUACAAGAAGCAACAACAAAUUAUAAAGCAACAUCCGUGCAUCAACAAAAAACGCAUCGGUGGCCUUAUUGGUGUCAUCAAUUAGGGUGCGUUUUGGGGAACAAUUUUUUUUUAGAAACAUUUUUAAUGUUUUUGUUCUCAGAAACAAUUUCUAUGUAUUUGCAUACAUUUGAUAACUAUACAAAAUUCUUGUUUUCUGGAGAAAAAUGCAUUUGGUACGACUCCUUAUAUUUUUAUGACUUAAAAUUUCUUUUAAUUUAUUAAUAAUGUUAUUACAUUUUUUUUCUUUUCCCUUUUCUUCUCCUUCCUGGCGACCAAGCAGACAAACGCCGGCAAGGUCGCCUACCUCAGGGGAGCCUCCCCGGUCCCCGGCGAGGUCACCCCGAGCCACGUUGUGACUGGGCGAGGCGAGGCUCGACCUCCUUGCCUAGCCUUGGCGAGGCUUUGGGUGGGGGGGGGGGGGCUUACCGGUGGUUGUUGAGCCUCAUCUAGCCGGUUGCUGGCCAAUGUUGAGGUCAGCAAGUCAGCAACCGGCUAGGGGAAGAAAAAAGGAAGAGAAAGAAAAGAAAAAAAAAGCUUGAUUUUUUUAUUUUUGUUUCUUGAGUUGUUUGCGAAAAUAACAAGUAAAUUCUUUUUAUUUCUUAUUUUUAUUUCUAUUUUUUUCCGAGAAUAAAAAACUUAACACAUGUAUUUCUUUUCUAUUUAUGUUCCCAAAAGCAAAAGAAUAGAAACACACAUUCCCGGGAAAGUUACCAAAUGCAACCUUAGUCUUCUUGCUCUCACAUAUUUCAAAAUAAAAAUAAAAAUAGCUCCAUCUUCUAUCACGCUCGUUUCGGGAUCUUUACAUCCUCCUCUUUACCUAUGGUCAGAUAAAAAAAUAAAUGAAAAGGUCAAGACUAAGCCAAGUGCAAAAAAGAACGAAUGUAGGACGAAGUCAAGGUGUUCGAUCCAAGGCUGAAAGCAAGGAGACAAUCCGAAUGACCAAAAGCUGAGAUGAGAGAGUCGAGACGCUCCUCGAUUUGGACGGAACGUGUCGGCGUAUUUCUUCCUCUGCUUCGUCACCUCCAUCGUCGCUGCUGAUCCAUCACCACCCGCGAUGCCACUCCCUCUCGUCUUUCUCUCCCCGUUCCGAUCAAACAGUUGCAGCCCCAUCUAUCACCCGUCACCGCACCAAAAGAAUAAAUAAAAUUAUUCUCUGCACUUGAUAUAUACAAUAAACUAAGGGUGCGUUUGGGAACCACUUCCCAAAGCCCCUUGGGAGUCCAAAGCCCUUUGGGCACAAAAAAUGGUGUUUGGCAAAAAACUUUGAAAGGGACUUAGGCAAAAUGCUAGCAUUUUUAAGGCUGAAAGCCNNNNNNNNNNNNNNNNNNNNNNNNNNNNNNNNNNNNNNNNNNNNNNNNNNNNNNNNNNNNNNNNNNNNNNNNNNNNNNNNNNNNNNNNNNNNNNNNNNNNNNNNNNNNNNNNNNNNNNNNNNNNNNNNNNNNNNNNNNNNNNNNNNNNNNNNNNNNNNNNNNNNNNNNNNNNNNNNNNNNNNNNNNNNNNNNNNNNNNNNNNNNNNNNNNNNNNNNNNNNNNNNNNNNNNNNNNNNNNNNNNNNNNNNNNNNNNNNNNNNNNNNNNNNNNNNNNNNNNNNNNNNNNNNNNNNNNNNNNNNNNNNNNNNNNNNNNNNNNNNNNNNNNNNNNNNNNNNNNNNNNNNNNNNNNNNNNNNNNNNNNNNNNNNNNNNNNNNNNNNNNNNNNNNNNNNNNNNNNNNNNNNNNNNNNNNNNNNNNNNNNNNNNNNNNNNNNNNNNNNNNNNNNNNNNNNNNNNNNNNNNNNNNNNNNNUCUGGUCGCCGGACGGGUCACCACCACGUCGCCGCGACCUCCCACGAACAGAUCUGGUCGCGCGACCUCCGCGCGACCUUUUGCGCGACCAGAUCUGAUCGCCGGAGGUCGCGCGGCGAGGUCGCGCGGCCUCUGCGCGACCAGACCUGCCUCCGGCGACCCAGAUCCGGGGUCGCCGGAGGUCGCCGGCGGUCGCCGGAGGUCGUUGAAGGCCGCUGCCCUUGCCGGUCAUUUUUUUUUAAUUUUUUUUUUUAUAAUUUUUUUUACCACAAAACUCCAUUUGCAAGUGUAAUUUCCCAAACACUAUUUUGCUCAAAGCACUUCACAAAGAGCUUUCAAAGUAUAAUUUACCAAACACAGUUUGCAUUUUACAAAACACUUUUAAGUCAAAGGUAUUUGCAUUUUCCUAAAGGCUUUCCCCAAAAGUAGUUCCCAAACGCACCCUAAAUCCGAAUUGCCAAAUUUGGUGGACCGCUUGUCAUUUCAGUGGUCAAUAUUCAAUUUGAUAUAUAUACUACACUUUUGUAAUAUAGUUUCUACAAUCAGAGAGUCAAUGGCAAGAGGAGAGUUAUCAAUAUUGGUUUGAGUAUUGCAAGGAAAUUUUCAUCUUCACCCAUGUUUGGAGUAUAAUUUGUUAUGAGAUUUCAUACCACAUUAAUUGACAUGUCAGUUAUCAAGAAAAUUGCCCAAAAGGUCCUACAUCUAUCGUAUGACAUUCGUGUCAAUGAUUUCCAAUACUCUAACUUUCCGAUUUCUCAUCUUUAUAUAUAUAUAUAUAUAUAUAUAUAUAUAUAUAUAUAUAUAUAUAUAUAUAUAUUUUGACAGAGUUGAUUUACGAGGGAAAAAUGAAUGUUUGUUUCUAUCCCUUUUUUUAACCAGGUAAAAAGCUACAAAAUAAACCCAAAACUUUAUGAACUGUGAAAUAUUUACCAUAAACUUUUUUCUGUGACACAAAAAAACGCAAACUUGUGUGAUACCAAAAAUCCUAAACUUUUGUUUUCUAACACCAGAAAUUCCAAACUUAUAUUCAUGUGAUACAUUUAUCCAAAAAAAAUUGGUACGUCAUAGAAUUUUUCUUUUUGGUUUUUAGUGUCACAAAAGAAAAUUUUGGAGUUUUUUGUGUCACAAAUAAAAGUUUAGAGUAAAUGUAUCACACUGCACAAGUUUGAGAUAAAUGUGUUAUAUAGGUUAUAACUCUGGGGUUUUUAUGUUACAAAAAAAGUUUUAGAUAAAUUUAUCACAAUAGACAUAGUUUCAGGCUUUUUGUCUUUUACCAUUUUAACUAAAACUGUAAAACGAAUUGUGAUUAGGACGGGAGGGCAUGUUUGUUAGGCAUUAAAUAAACGUAAACAUUAUUCUUCUUAUUUUUUGUCAAAAUUUAUAUCAUUAUGGGUAAUUGUUUAAAAAGAUAUUUCUUCUUUUAUUAGUAUCAACCUGUUAGGUAAUUGUUUACGAUCUUGUACAACCCAAGAGCCAAUGCAAGUGCAAUUUGUAUAAUCUAAUUUAUGAUAAGAUUUGUAAAGUUGCUCCCUUUUCCAAAAUUCAAUUUAGUUCGAACUACGCAUAUGUCAUUUUUUCAAAGGGCCAUGCUUUUCUUGCUCCGCAUUUGACUUAUACAAAUCAUUCCGCUGUGUUUUGAUCGUUUUAGCCCUUGCCUUUUCAAAUGUUAACAUGCUCAAACGUGGGGCCCAUUCGCGUCCCUCUUUUUGAUUUGUUUCUUCUUCUUCCACUUUCUCCUCCUCCUUGGUCCGCCCAAGCACAGUCCAUUUAAGUUCUUUGUAUUGUUCUGCGUUCUCUUUUUUUCCCGUCUCUUUAGAAUUCUGGCAAUUCUUAUGCCCCCCAGCUUAGAUGAGAAAAUCAUACCGAAAGUCCAUUCCAUUAUCAACAUGACUUGGAGCAUCACUACGCAAUCUUGCACAUUAGUAGCCGUCGGAGCCACCAAACAUUGAGUUUGCACAUCAAUGCUGAAGCCGGACAAGUUGCUCGAGUAAUCGUCGACGGUGUCGGAGGUGUGGAGGAUCCAGGCCGGUUAGCAAACUCGGAGGUGUACCAGUGGUAGUGCGUAGCGGAAGAUGGACGGCUUGGAAAGGGAGUCCACGUGGAUGAAUGCAGGUCUUCGCCGUUUGAUCAGACAAGCGGUGGACGUAGAAGAAGAAGAAGCGGAGCAAGAGAGGGAUGUUGUUUUGGGAAGAGAGAGAGAGAGAGAGAGAGAGAGGACAGGCUGGGCGGGAGACGAAGUGGACGGCUUGUUGUUUUAUGGGUGCCCAUGUCAAAUGGAAAUGCUGAAUCUUUUUUUUCUUUUUUCUUUAAUAAGUAAUUGAUUAAAUGGACUAAUUAAUUUAAUAAAAAAUGAUUAAUUUCUUCCCCUCUUAUCAAGCAAUUUCGGAAUAUUUUUCGAGCUUGACCGGGUCAAACGUCCUUCUCUGUUUACUUGAAGCAUCCGAUGCCGAUCCGAUCGAGGCCGAAACCUCGAACAUCCGGAUCUUGCCCGUGGGCGCGGGUCCAUUUCGAGGAAGAGGGCUUUUGAGGUAAUCAUUGAGAUCGGUUUGUGCAUUCACAUAUGAUUUCUACUUUUGGUAACCCUAACGAAGACGCAGCUCCAACUCCGAGCAGGCAAAAACCAGAGCGAGACAGAGAGACCUUUUGCGAGAGAAGCCCCCGAAAACAUGGCAGCAACCGGUGGUUCCAGCGCGUCAGCUACCCGGUACGACGUGUUCUUGAGUUUCAGAGGGCCCGACACUCGCAACACCUUCACCGACUGCCUCUACCGGACCAUGUUCGGCCAGGGGAUCGUCGCCUACAGAGACAGCGAAGAGCUUCACGCCGGUGAUCGGAUCGACGAUCUCCUGAGAGCGGUCGGCGAAUCCAAGAUCUGCAUACCGGUCCUCUCCAGAGGCUAUGCUUCGAGCGCUUGGUGCCUCCGCGAGCUCGCUCGAGUGACGGAGCUCCAUGAAUCGACUGGGAAGCCGGAGAUCCUACCCAUCUUCUUUGAUGUCACGCCCAUCGAUGUCAAGCUCAGGACGGAACUGUACCUGAAGGACUUGGAGAAGCAUGAGCAGAAGCACGGUGCUGAGAUGAGGCAACGGUGGGAGGCGGCUCUGGGAAAAGUGGCUGAGAUCAAGGGAUGGGAAGUCCAAGGGAAAGCGUAAGUAAAUGCUUAUUAAUGGAACUCUUUUC